rnacentral:lncRNA from 1 species
UUUUUUUUUUUUUUUUUGAGUAAAUGAAGAUAAUACGAUAAGUUAGUUUUUGUUUCUUGAAUAAAGGAUAGAAGAAUGCAAGAAGGCUUGUGAAUUAAAGUUUUCCGUCAUUUGACUCAAAAAAAAUUUAUUUUUUUUGUAUUUUUGUAAUCUUUUGUUAUUCUUAAACAGAGUGAAAAAUCCAGUUCUCAAAAGAUGAGACCUGAAAUUCUCUUCUUCUUUUUUUCAAUUUUAUAUCACUUUUCAAAAAAAAAAAAGUUUUUUUAACAUCUUGCGGACUGAUGGUUGCCUCCUCCAAUAAUCCAUUCAUAUUUUUACUAACCAUUAACAAGCAAAACUUCUGUUCUAGAUUCAUGACAAUCCAAGCUAUGGUGUUCUUACAUGAUAGUUCAACUGAGAAUAAUCAAAUGGGUAAAUUCCUAAGAUUGGGCUGCACAUCUACUUAUAGAUCAUGUGAUAUAUUCAAGAGAUAUAUAAUCGUGAUGAUUUAUAACAAUGUCAAGAAAAUGAUAGCCAAUGAUAUAGAUCAUAUGGUGUAUUCAAGAGAUAUAUAGUCAUGGUGAUUUAUGAUAAUGUAAAGAAAAUAAUAGCAAGUGAUACAGCAUCAUACAAGAAACUUUAGGUGACUCUAAAUUAAAUGGUAUACAAAUGACUCUAUUUCCUCUGCCUGCACAAGUAUUCUCUAGACUCUACACUCAACAAUGUUUUGAAAACUGGACUAGACUGGCCGGUUCGAACCGCGAACUGAUCAUGCUUCCGAUCUGGUUCAAUUAAAAACUCAAAAAAUUAAUUAAAUCGAUCAAAAUCGGUUAAGAACCGGUUGAACCGGUAAAAAUCGAUAAAAAUUGAGAGGUUCAACCGAUUUUUAUUAAGUAUUUAUUUUCUAAAAUAAAUAUUUUUUUAUUCAAAAUUCUUAAUACUAAAAUAAAUAAAAAUUAUUAAACUUUUGAAUUGAGGUCGAACCAAUUGAACCGUAAAUCGGAAGGUUUUCCGAUUCAUUUUUCGGUCCGGAUUUAAAAACAUUGGUUACAAUGAGGAAGAGUUUCAUAAUUACCAAGAUGAAAAAUUCAACAAUAAAAGAAUCUGCUGUCCAUGAACUAUUAACACGUCAAUGGACUAACAUUCAUACAAACGUGAGGUUUAAAACCGUCCUCUUUUGUACUAUAUGAAAAACCUUCGAGUGUAGAGUAGUCUAGAGGUCCUAGAUCUCUGGCUUUGAUAUAUAGACUGAGAUCUCGAAUUGAAUAGACUACUUAAUUGAUGAGUGACAAUUAUGAUACUAGUAAUAAUUAGAUAGAUUGAUUAGUUUAGCAGUUAUAUAUGCAAGUGAUGUUGCUUUCAUUCUCUGCGCAGCACAGCAAAAAAAAAUACUACUGCCUCGAGUUGCCCUAAGCUGGUGCGUGACUGUGUGCAAGUUGUAAGAAGGACAGCGACUUCUUGGCAUUUCUCUAUGGCAGUCUCGGUCAUAAAUUGCAUUCAAACAAUUCCGCUUUUAAUCAGAAUUUCAAAAGUCGUCAGUAGGACAUGGAUCAUCUUCUUGGAUCACGCGCUUAUCUUCUUCAGCCUCACGUUUUUCAUAAAUGUGGUUAUUACUGAAUACUGCUGAUGCUUGCUUUUCAAUCUCUGCAUAUACAAAGGUCUGCUUCCACACUGUAUAUCUUCUCUUACACGACUCAUAAAUAAAUUCGCUUUGGCAGCGCCGUUUUGCAUGGCCCUGCCAAGGGUUUGGACUUUGAGGGAUUUCUUUAAUUAAUGAUUGUGGUUGAAUCUCAUACUAUCAAUUACGCUUACAAUAAAUGCUAAGUUGUCACUUAGUUAUUAAUCUUUUCGCCCUUAACGUGGUCCCUUUUCUUAGUACGGAGAUAAAAUUAAUGCUUCAAAAAGUUUGGCUUGGAGCUAGCUUAAUCCCAUAUGUAACCUAGAAAGAAUGUUAAAACAACUUGAAAUUGUGUGUCUCGUUGAAUUGUGCUCGUGUUUCAGAUUAUAGGUGAAAAAAAGAUGUUUGUAAAUAGUUCACGCGUUUUUCUCGAAUCUUAGACAAUUUCAAUUAGAAAAAUAGUUUGUCGGCAGACAAUUUUUCAAUUUGAAAAAUAGUUCGAUGGCCCUAUUUAAAAGCUUUUAAAAUGAAAUGUGAGAUAAUUAUUUUGCCUUUGUGGAAGGGGGAGGUGUAUAUACAAGGGGAAGGGUUUUCUAGGUCGAGCUUAAUACAGUAAUUAAGGCUGGUUGCCAUCGCUAGGGGUGCAAACGAAUCGAGGCUCGCGAGCGGCUCGAUUCGAGCUCGAUCAAUAUCGAGCUCGAGUCGAGCUCGAGCUGCUCGAGCCAGAGUCGAGCUCGAGCUCGAGCUCAAAACAUUAAGCUCGGCUCGCGAGCUCGAGUAUAUAUAUAUUUAUUUUUUUUAUUUUUAUUUUUAAUAGUAAAAUUACAUAAAUAUCCUUAAUAUUUUAUUAUUUAUUAAGAAAAAAUAUUAUUUUAUUAAUUUUUUUAAAAAUAAAAUAAUUAUUUUUUAUUUUUUUCGAGCUCGAGCUUGAAAAUUACCAGCUCGUCGAGCUCGAGCUCGAGUUCGAGUUCGAUGAAAUUAAGUUAAGGCUCGACUCGAUAAGGCUAAAACUCGACUCGGCUCGGCUCGUUUGCACCCCUAGCCAUCGCUGUCCUUUUUGUCUAGUAUAAUAACUUUGUUUGUCUUUUCAUUUUCCUUGAGGGCAAGUAAAUUAGUCAUUCUUUAAGGCACCUUUGAAUAUUUAGGCAUCCAAUAAUGAAGGAUCGAGAAACACAUUUUUUUUUUUUUUUACCUUUGAAAAAUCAAAAGAAUCGUGUUUAGCUUUUGUAUAUUUGAGCACCAUUUUCUGCUACCCUGCGUGCCUUGCAACAAAGACAUGGGCGUUGUGGUCAUCAUGCAAAGAAGAAGGGAGGAAGGAAAGCACGAGAAAUGGGUCAUUUAUGGUUUACUCAAAUAAUAACGAAAAAGACAUUUCCCCAAAGAAAAAUAAAAUUAAAGUUGAAAAAGAAAGCAGUCAUUGUCUAAUGUCAAGAAAGUAAUGGUGGGAAUAACUUUUCCUAACGCACUCCUUGUCCUUUGGAGCUUUGGAGCAAAAAACCACUCAUUUGCCACCUUUAUUGAAGCAACUUGAGGUUGCUUAUCAAUAUUGUAAUUAUUUUAUCGCAGUGAGAUAAAUAAAAAAGUUUCUUUACUUCAAUUUGGCCAAUUAACUUUUAAAAAGCCCUCUUUUAAUUAUUGGAUGGUUAGGAACUCACAAAUUUGUCUUCCAUCUAGAAUCAAUAAUGGCAUUUUUAUGAAAGAAAGGAGCGUUCACAAUCAUCAAUGCGUUUUUGCCUCAAAAUCUCCCCGUUGUAUUUGUCUAGAUCGAGCACCUGGCAGUAUUACUACUUAGCCAGAACAAGUAAUGUGAGGACUUGAACAAGAAGUUGAAGUCUAUUCUUCUUUCAUGUGCCCUUUUCUUUUUAGGCCACUUUUGUAGCUUAGGUAUUGGUCUCUAGCAAAAUAGACUAGGUUGGAAGCCAGACAGUACAGGGACCCCAAAUUCAUAUGUUCAUAGCCUAAAUAUACAAAGCACUGAAACAUGAACAAAACUACUUGCUUAAUUUUCAAACUGAUGUUGGACUGAUAAGAGAUCAUUCGAAUUUGGUUCAUCAACUGGUCAAACCAAAUUUAAACAGCAUUUUAUGUUUGAUAACUCACAAAUUCGAUUGAAAAAAACUCGUUCAAAUUCAGUUUGACAAAUAAAUAAGUCAAACUUGAAUGACAACACUGAGGUGCUUGAUUUGAUUAGAUUCGUUUGCACGCCAAAAUAUACACUAGUUUAUGAUUUCAAAUGUACUUGAUUUUCCAAUCAUCUCCAUGACAAAAGAAAUUUGAUUGGUUUCUUGAGUGAAUUGGGUUUGGGUUGGACUUCAAAUUACAAUCUGUAGUAAGUAAAAUUUCUUCAUGUCACGCUUAUAAUUCCAAGUAAAUUUCAAUUUUUUCAAGAAACCACAUACAACCUUUGUACAAUAGAAUGCCAUUUGCAAAUGUAGCAAUUCACAAACUAUAACAUGAUCCUGGUUUUUUCAGCAUGAUCCUUGGAGCGGAACCCUAGUUCAUGGCUCAAAAGAUACAAGCAUCAAACAUUUUCACAGUUUCAUCAGCAUAGUUGAAACCCUAACAAGUAAGGUCUCCAUCUUCUAGUACCAUACUAUCAUGGACCCUUGCAACAAUUUUCUCCCAAAAUAUCCCUCUUCCUUUUUCCUUCGAGCUCGUACAAGACCAACAUUUUCCAUGAUACAUUUCCACGUGUUUGACUCAGAAGUCAAGGACGGUGUUAUUACGUUGUCAAAAAAACAAGGGUUGAGUGGUCAAGACCAAUACUAACAUAAUGCAGAAUGUCCUUAUCGGAAAAUAGUGGCAAUCAUAUUUUAUGGUUCACGCCCCAUAACUUUUAGCGCACUCUUCUUCUUCUUUGGCCUUAUGGGCAAAGCUAACCAAUCAUCUUUCCAUGCCAUAUACCUUCCUUAGUGCCAAACUUUUCUGCCUCUUGAAGGGGAGCCCAUGGUUACAUAUGCUACCUAAUCUGCCCACCCAAUCAUGUAUAAUCCUCAUUAUAAAAUCAAUUACUUGCGCAUUAUCCUUUUGCAGCUGAAAGAUCUUCAAGUUUUGAUAACUUUAUAGUAGUUAAUAUUCACAUGUUGAGUACAUGAUUGAUUCUUAAUCACUACACAUGCAAUGUAUAUGCAAGUGACUAUCUCAUUCAUUAGAUUAAUGACUAUAGAUCGGCUAGUUUAAUCAGUUGAUAAUUCAUUCAUGGCACCAACCUAACUCGUUGCCGAAGGAUUCUUGAAAAUAGCAGCUACUAGCAUUAGAGCAGAUUUAAUGUUGCCAGAACUUUCACCUCUACUAGCUAAUUGACAUCUAAUACAGAAAAAAUGCUUUUGCAUUAUUCUGUUUCAUCUUUUCAACACCAUCCAGCUACGUACCAAAACUCGAAAGUGUAUCAGGAUCUCACCCUACUGCUCAUUAAUGCAGUUGCUACACAUUGAAUUGCCAGCUUGUGCAACAUAAUAUUGACAUACAUCCAUUGUUAUUGCAAAUUGGGUCCUCAAAAUUAAAUAUAUCCAUGUUAGCUAACUUUAUUUGGGGAUAUUUCUUUUUAGUUGUGUCCUGUACAUAGUACAAUAAAAAAGACAACCAUUAAUUGGAUCUUUCACAUCUUGUGGCUAGCUAGCUAGCUAGUUUUUGCUGAAAGUUAUAAAGGGCAAAUGGCACCAAUAUGCAUAUCUAUUUUUUGAAUUGAUUUCCAUUAGAUUUAUAGUUGAUUUAUGGAAUAUCAACGAUGCAAAAUACACAUGACUUAGAAAAUACAAUUAAAGAGAAAACCAUUAAUUCCAUCUUUAUUUCACAUCAUACAUAUUCCAUUUUUUUUUUUUUUUUGCAUUUGAAGUAAUUAAUCAAUUAUUCAACUAUGUGCAUUACACGACCCAUACAGAGGAAAAUCUGCUAAUUAAAUGGAGAUCUUUCUCUCCUUUCUUUUUCCAUUCUAUCUUCUUUACGUUUCUUUGUUCUUUUCAUUUUCCUUAUCCUAGAACCUUAGUUACGGUAUUGCCUAUUAUCCCUGGAAUUUGUAUCAAAAGGAAGUAGGCUAGGGCUGUUUUCUUCUGGUUCAUAAUCUUUUUGUAAACUUGACGAGGGAAUAGCCACUGUUUCGUUGAGUUUGUGUUAGGGGGAAAAAAAGAACGAACGAACAAAGAAAGUGAUGUUGGUCUUGUUAUUAUUGAAAGUUUGUUACUAUAUAGCAAAACUACCGCAGGAGAGAUACCAAAUAAACGAGCUAGGAAAGCUGUUAAAGAUCACUUUCAAAGCUUCAAUGAGUGGGUGUGAACUUGGGACACUUCAAUCAUGUAUUGAAUCAAUACCGGCUUGUAUAGCUUCCCGUUUUCGCAUAACCAUACACCUUCUAAUUAUUGAAAAAAAAAAAAGAGAGACUUCUAAAUAACUAUUCCUUUCGUUUAAUUGAAAGUAUCAUACUUUUUAUUUUGGAAUGUUUCAAAAGUUUAUUAUCUUACCAAAUCAAAAUUACUUUUGCUCUUUUUUUUAAUGUUAUCCAACCUUUAUCUAUAUUUCAUAUUAAAUUUAAAUUUAAAAUUUGAAUUUUUGGGGGUAACUUUGGAAACAAAUCUACAAACAUCAUUGUCAAACCACUAUUUUUAAAAAAUUAGAAUUAAACAAUUUGGGACAGAAAGUGUAUAAGAAAAUCAACCCAACCAUCAAAAAGGAAAAAGGAAAUUUUAAGUGGUAGGGAUUACUUACACCAAAAAUGUACUAGAAUAAUUUGGUUGUACUGACAUAAUUUAGUCUUCUUAUGGGCCCAUGUUACAAAACUAUCCUUGGUUUUCUUCGUGGGCAAAAGCUAUCUCUAAAGCAUGAAACUGAUGAAAGGCUUCUGACAGGCAAGGCCAAGCCAAGGUACUAUCUCUCAUAAAUCUACUGUUACAUUCAUCUUUGCUCUCCACUUCCCUCCUUCCCCACCAUUUUUUCUACCGUUCUCAUCAAGUACAGAGCUUAGGUUGCAUCUACAACAAGAUUUUGCGGCUUAGUAAAUGUUUUUGUAGUGAACAUUUUAGGACAAAUCUUAAUUCUGAAGCCAAAGUUGGAAGCCUAGCUUUUGUGACUUGGAGCAAAUUUUUAGUUCAACAUCUUAUGUUUUGCUAAAAAAAAAAAAAAAGAAGUCCUUAACCUGGAUUUUAUAUGUACUAUAUGCAUCUAUUCUUGGAAAACUGCAAUCUUGUUUGUCUCUAUGUUCAGCUCUGAUUUUGGAUAGAGAAGUGUCGGUUGGUUUUGUGGGAUCUACAGAUUACAUCAGAAGGAGUUUUUGGUAUCAUCAUCAUCAGCUGUGGCAGUCUCUUCUGAUAAGCCCUCUUGUAAUUUCUUGAUAAAGUAAGAAAGGAAGGAGCAAAAUAUAAGUUUAUAAGAAGUCUUUGUGCUGAAAGGAGAAAGGGUUAGAUUAGAGGUGAUAAACAAUAAAAGGGUUCGAGGAAAAAGAACAUUUGGAUCUGGAUAUCCAGUGGAAUUAUCAGCAAGAAGUGGAAAAUAGUACAAAAUUUUCAUCACAAGAAGAGGAAAUUCAAAGGAGCAUAUUUAAUCAUCAAUACCAGCAUCUGCAACUUCUUCAGCAACAGCAUGAACAAGCCUUAAAGUUAGCCCACCAGACGAAGACAGCGCCUGAACAUGCAAAGGCUGGACCACGAACUGGAAUGAAGCGAGCUGGGGGAGGAGGAGAUGGGCAAGGGGAGAUAAUACAAGUCCAAGGAGGCCACAUUCUCCGAGCUACUGGCCGGAAAGACCGGCACAGCAAGGUCUAUACUUCAAAAGGUCCAAGAGAUAGGAGGGUUAGGCUGUCUGCCCACACUGCUAUCCAGUUCUAUGAUGUGCAGGACCGAUUAGGCUACGACAGGCCUAGCAAAGCUGUAGAUUGGCUCAUCAAGAAGGCGAAAAAUGCUAUCGACAAGCUGGCUGAGCUACCCCAUAAUCAUCCAAAUGAAAUUAGCUUAAUGGCUGCUCCAAGUACUGAUUCCAACCCUGGUUCAGCAAGCGGCUGCCAGGGAUUUGAACAGCGAUCGGAAUCAUCUUCUCUUUAUGCAAUUCAAAGGCAUCAGCUGCAUGAUAAUCCAAAUGGGAAUUCAGGAGUUAUUCCACCAGAAGUUGAUACACAAUCCAUUGCAGAUACCAUGAAAACAUUCUUUCCAGUGAGUCCGGGGAAUUCUUUGAUGAAUAUGCAAAGCUAUCAGCAUGAUAGAAUGUCGAGACAGCCCUCAAUCCAGACAGAAGAUCUUGGCCUUUCCCUCCAUUCUUUGCAAGAUCAGAAUUUGAACCACAGGUCUUACACUGAGCAAAUGCUUUUUUCAGGGUCAAAUUCAACCAUGUUUCCUGGGACAAAUUAUCAACAAAAGACCGAGUCUUGGAGUGGAGCUGGAGAAGGAGAGAAUAGGAACAUUGGAUUUAUAUUCAACCCACAUUCAAUGCCAGUGCCACAACAGCUAAUCUUCAGCCAAAACUCAGCAUUUUCUCAGAGGGAACCCCUUCAGUCCAAUUAUUCACACCUCUUUCAUGCCUGGAAUGAACGACAGAUGCCCUCUGUGGAUCAUCACAAUGCUCAGGCAAUCAGUCAAUCUUCAAUGUAUAACAUCCAUUUCGGCUCAGAUUUUCAGGUUCCAGCUCGAAUUCGCGGGGAUGAGGAGCCUGGGGUGGUAUCCCUCCAGCCAUCCUCAGUCUCUCCAAGCUCACAACAUUAAUGUCAAGGAGCCAUAGCUUUCAUAUCCAUCAGGUAUAUAUUCAACCCAAAACCCUCGAUCUCUUAGCUAAAGUCAGCUUUAUUUUUUCCCAUGAUUUUUCCCUUUCUAACAUUGGUUUACUCAUACUGCUACAUUAUGAUCAUUUUAGGACAAAUAAUGAACGUGAUUCUACUCAAGCACUGGAGCUUUUUUGGUCAGCUCAAUCAAUUGAUUUUCAUUGAAGACAACUGAGAAGAUUGAGUUCAGUACUUUUCUUUAGAUUAAUUUUGCUUGUCUUCUAAAUUUUGUUGAAGCAUUCUUGUCUGGUUCAUAAUUUAUCUCCGCUUACGUACUAUUGUUAAAGUUCUUGUGGUCCUCGUCGGUUAUAUUCUUAAGUGUAGUCAUUUUGUCUUCAAACUGAUGAUGGUCAGACAUAAGAUCCUUGUUGACCUCGUUCUCUUUCUCUAUUAAUUAAACAUGAUUCUGAUUGAGUUUAUGAUCGAUUUGGUGGUUAGCUUUUCAAUUCUCGUUCGAGGGCAUUUUGUCUCUCUAGCUAUUUUCUUGGCAUAUUGGAUUUGAAGGAGUAUUAGAUGCACAAACUGUUAAGAUUUGGUGGAACUAAAUCCGUACGACUAGAAAUUAAUAAUGCAUUUCAAACAUAAAGUCUUUGUUAAUCUCUCAAGUGCAAUAUAUGUGCUUAAUUAAAUUGAUUCAUCCUAAGUACCUUAAUGCAUCUUUUUUUUUUUUUUGCCCCGACGCUUUUAAUAUAAGGCGACAUGAUAUAGGGAGAGACAUUUAUGUACAUUUGCAGAUAGUACAAGUUGAGUGGUAGGGGAACUAACCCUUUGAUAGUAUUAAGAAUUGCAUGUGACUACAGAAACUAAAGAAUGCAAUACGAACUUUUACAUGAUACUUAGGAGUUAGGAGUACGUCUAUAACUAGUAUUUUGUGACUAAUUUCACUCUAUUAUUUGGAUAGUGGUUACUAAGCUCUGUGACUUCUGGGGGAAAGAGUUAAGUGCCUAAGUUUUGCCUCGGACAGUUUUACAAUCAAGAACUGUGGUUUCUACGGGUGAGAAAGUAAGUGCAUAGGUUUUGCCUUGGACAAUUUUUAGAAUCAACAUAUACUGUGAUACAUUUAUUUUGGAGUAUUGCACGCCAUGCAUGGAAUUUGUCAAGAGUACUGCAAAAUUAAGAAUAAUACAUUAAGAUACAAUAGAUAUUCACAUUUACGUGCAUCUUCUCGUUUCUCCCUUCGGAAAAGUUCUGAUUGAAAAACAAAAAUACUAUUGAAUUUUAACGUAGCAUCAUCUGAUUCAAAAAUUUACACAUAUUAUACAUGUGACUAAAUAGAAUAUAAUGUCCUACAUUUUAUACAAAUUCUUAGAGUGAUUUAAAGAAAAUUAAAGAGAACUUGUGAUCCUUUUUCUUUCCUUUUGGUGCCCAAAAAAAAUAAAAUUUGCCGAGGUUUUAACAUUUUUGCUUGAACCAACAAUUAAGAUAGGCUGGUUAAAUGACUUAUGGCAGCUUGGGCUACAGGGUUCCCCAGAAAAUGAGGAGUCCAAGAUUAGAUUGGGCUUUACCAUCCACCCCACCCCUAAAAUCCUGCCACUUGAAAAACAUCAACUCUACAUAAUCGAGUAAAUUGGCAACAAGACCAAAUCCACUUCUUGCACAGAGGAAUUAACCAUUUGGUUUGGAUGAACUUUGGCCCAACAUAUGAAGACCAAUUCAUGCAUGUCCAACCCACUACACACUUACAAAAUGCAAUUCUUUUCACACCACCUGUCUCGCUGUUGACCAGGAGGGAAGGUAAUUCGUGUGCUGAUAUUCUAACCAAGUUAAGGUAGAAUCCAUGGUUAGGGGCUAAUUCCUUUGAUUAUUGUUUGAAAAAAAAAUACAAUAACACUCUGACAGAGUUCUGGUAAGAGAGAAUUUUUUUUCUUUUUUGUAAAUGUUUCUGGGAAAUCUGCAAAAAAGUGUCGGGCUGUCAACCCGACAGCCUGCAGCUUUUUUUUUUUCUUUUUUUUUCAAAAAAACUUCAAGGCUGACGAGUUUAGUAAGCCCAGUAGCCAUGAUAAAUUUCCAAAAAGUUUGGUUUGCGGCAAUUUUUUUUUUUUUUAACUUCAAGUUAGCCCAUCAACCUUUUUUUGAGUGGAAUUUUCCUCAUCAGUAGUAGUAGUAGCAGCAGCUUUGAAAUGGUAAGAAAGCAAAAAAAAAAAAAAAGGAGUGACGAGAGAAGAAGAUAAGGGUGUUGAGAGACAUGUGAGGAAUGAGAGAAGAUACAUUAUUACUGGUCUACUCCUAUACCAAUAUACUCAUUUCCCUUCUUUUGUUCAACAUAAUUUCCUUAUAUCCCUCUUUCCACUUUUGUUUUUACCUUUUUUCCCCCACCUCCGACCUCCUCCCGGUCCUCCUUCUCGUCUCCUCACACUCACGCAUGCACUCACCUUCCUCUCUACUUCUGUCCCACUGUAUUUUCACUUGUUGUUACAAUUAUUGAGAAAAAUAAUAAGAGAAGUAAAUGACAAAAGUUUAUUUCUUUGUAAAACUUAUUUAACUCAUAAUAUGAAAUUGUUCUAUUGAUAGAGUUUAAAACAACUCCACUAACUAUCCCACUAACUAUCCCAAUAACUCCACUAACUCCACUAGUUAUUUCAUUAAUUUCACUAACUCCACUAAUUAGGUAGAACAAAAUAAACAAAUAUGAUUAACUAACAACAAUAAAUAAUUUUUAACAAUCUCUCCCUUAAACUGAAAGUUUUUCAAAUAUUCAGUUUAAUAGGACUUAUCAAUUGCACAAACUCCAAGCAGUUUCUUUAAUUUCUGAAACGUGGAUAACUUCAAUGGCUUGGUCAUUAUGUCAGCAAUUUGAUCUUCAUUUUUGUAAUAAAGAAAAUCAAUUAUUUCAUCCCUUGUGAACUUCCUUAGAAAAUGAAACUUCACGUCUAUGUGUUUGAUUUUUUCAUGUAGAACUGGAUUUUUAGAGAGUUUGAUAGCAGAACUAUUGCUACAAUAAAUUGUAGUAGCUGAUUCUUGCCGAAAAUGCAACUCUUCAAGAAUAUUUUUUAACAAAAUUGCUUGACAGGUACAAGUUGUUAUAGCUACGUACUCUGUUUCAGUUGUUGAUAAAGUAACAAUUGGUUGUUUCUUUGAAUACCAUGAAAUAACUGCUAAAUCCAUUAUGAAUACAUAGCCAGAUGUACUUUUUUAUCAUCAGAAUCACCUGUCUAGUUACUGUCAGUAAAACCAAACAGAUAUGAUUUUUCACCAUUCUUGUAGAACAACCCUUAUUCAAUGGUUCCCUGCAAGUAUCAAAAAAUUCUCUUGACAGCUAAAAGAUGUGUCUCUUUUGGACUUUUCAUGUAUCUACUAAUAAGACUUAUAAUAUGCAUAAUAUCAAGCCUAGUUGCCGUUAAAUACAUCAAACUUCCCAUAAUUUGAUUGUAAAUGAUACUAUCAACUCUCUUUCCUUCAAAUUUUUUGAUGAGUUUUAAACCCAUUUCAACUGACGUACUAAUAGAAUUACAAUUUUUCAUUUGAAACCUGUUCAUAAUUUCUUGCACAUAUUUUCUUUAAGAGACAAAAAUUUUGGCAAUAGAUUGCACCACUUUAAUGCCCAAAAAAUAAUGCAUCUUUUCAAUAUCAGACAUAUCAAAUUCAGUCAUAAUAGAUUUCUUGAAUUUCUCAAACAUGGCAUUAUCAUUUUUAGUAAAAAUAAAAUCACCAACAUAUAAGCAAAUAAUGAGCAAUUUACCUCCAUCUCCAAUUUUUAUAAAAAAAUGUAUAUUCAUAUGGACAUUUUUUAAAUAUUUCCUUAGAAAAAUAAACAUCUAUAUGACUUUACCAAACAUGUGAGGUUUGUUUUAACUCGUAUAAUACUUUCUUGAGUUUGUACACCUUAUAUUCACUUCCAACUUUCACAUAACCAAAAGAUUGAUCAAUAAAUACCUGUUUCUGUAGAUCAUCAUAUAAAAAUGCUGAUUUCACAUUCAACUGGAAGAUAAGCCAUAAAUUUUGUAUUGCCAAUGCAAUCACUAUCCUGAUCGUGUCAUGCCUUGCGAAUGGAGCAAAAAUUUCUCCAUAAUCCACCUCAAACUCUUGCUUAUAGCCUUUAGAGACCAAACGUGCCUUGUACUUGUCAACUUCUACAUUCUCCUUUAAUUUCGUAUUUUACACCGACUUGACACCUAUAGAUUUUUGUCCUUCUGGAAGAUUGAUUAACUCCCAUGUGUUAUUUCGUUCAAUAGCUGUAAUUUCUUCAUCCAUAACUUUCUGCCACUUUAAAUCUUUGAAUCUUUGAUAGCCUCUUCAAAAACUGUAGAAUCACAAUCGAAAAAUAAAGCAAAAUAUGUAAGUGAGUUCUCAGAUUGAUCAAUUCCAAUUACCUCAUAAUCAAUCAUCCAUGCAGGUUUUUUUCUAAUAUGUUGAGGCCGUUCUUCAUCUUCUGCUAUUGUUUGAAAAUUUAGUACAUCAUCUGGACCAUUUGGUGGAAUUUGUUUUGUCAACUACUGCUUGUUUUCUUCAAUUUCAUCAAAAUCAGCGAGUAUUUGUUGUUUAAUAACAUUGUUGCUCCAUGGUCAAAAAAUUUUCUCAUAAAAAAUUACAUCCCGACUAAUGACAAUUUUCUUAGGGAUAGAAUUAUAAUCCUUAUAGGCUUUUGACUAAUCACUAACACCAAGAAAAAUACAUUUCUCUCCCUUAUUAUCUAACUUUGUCCUCUUUUGCUCUGAAAUAUGAGCAAAGGUAAUGCAUCCAAAAAUUUUGAAGUGAUCCACUGUUAGUUUUCGUCCGGUCCAUACUUUCUCAGACGUUAUAUUUUUAACAACAAGUGUGGGACUUCUGUUCAAUAUGUGAAUGCUCCAGUUAACAGCUUCAGAUCAAAAACUUUUUGGAAUACUACUUUUUGUUAAAAGACUCCUCACCAUGUUCAAUAUUGUACGAUUCUUCCUCUCCGAAACACCAUUCUGUUGUAACGUAUAAGCUGCUGUAAGUUGCUUCUGAAUUUCAUGUUCCUCACAAAAAUUUAUAAAUUUUUGUGAGUUAUAUUCUCCAUCACGAUCGCUGUGAAAAAUUUUUAUGGACGUGCCUGCUUCCUUUUCGACAAGGGUCAUGAAAUUUUUGAAAGUUGAAAAUGUUUCAAAUUUUUUCUGUAAAAAAUAGAUCCAAAAUUUUCAAAUAUAAUCAUCAAUAAACAUCAUAAAAUAACGCUUUUACCAUUAGAUGAUAGAUUUAUGAGUUCUCAUAAAUCAGAGUGAACCAGUUUCAAAACGUUUUUUGCUCUCUACGAUUUUCUUUUUGAAAAGCUAUCCCGAUAUUGUUUGACAACGACACACUCUUCACAAACUUCUGAAGGAAUUGUGAUUUGAGAUAGACCAACCACCAUAUUUUUCUGCUGCAAAAUUUUUAAUCCACCAAAAUUUAGGUAUCCAUAACGAAUAUAUCAUAACCAUACCACAUCUUUCGAUUUUGUUGAGAAACAUAAAUGAGUCGAGUUCUAUAAAUAGAGUGGGAACAUACAAUUUGUCGUCAUCUUAAUUUGAGCAAUUAAACCUAACUUUGCAUCUCAAACUUGACAUACACCAUUUUUGAUAAAAAUUUCGUACCUUUUUUCUAGCAACUGACUCACACUAAACAAAUUUGUCUUUAAAUCUAGAACAAAAGGACGCCAGUGAUAGUAUGAAUAGAGGAAUUUUCUUUAGUUUAGAUAGUUACCCUUCGUUUUUCCAUAACGGAAAUUAUAAAGUUACCAUCAAAUUUAACAGUAUUACAAAAUGACUCGUCCAACUCAGAAAAUGUCUUUUUAUCUCCACACAUGUGAUUGCUACAACUGGUGUCUAAAUACUACAUAUUUUGUUGAGUUUCUUCUCUCAUGUGACACAUCAUCAAAAGAGAUAUUUCUUCUUCUUUUUCUGCAAAAUUAGUCCUUUUUCACUUUGUCUAUUCAAAUUAGUUCGACGUUUGGACUGAUAAUGACCAUACCUAUGACAUUUGUAGCAUUAAAUAUUGGACUUGUCUGUUGACUUUGGUCUUUGAGUUGUUGAUGGAUGACCUCCUUGUCUUCUUCUUCUUCCUUAAACUUGAUUUUCUUGGUUUUGGUAUUAUUAUUGUUGGUUGCUAUGAUCAUUGUUUUCUCAACCUCUGCCUCUGCCUCCUUUCCAUGUUGAGUGAUUUUCUGUUGAAACCUUCAAUGCUUGCUUCUCUUUCUCUUGCAAGUUAAUUAUUUGCUUAUGAAUUAAUAAAGAACUCUCCAACUCAUCAAUUGAAAAUGUAUCAAUAUCUUUCGAUUCAUCUACACAGCAGACAACGAAAUUAAAUUUUAUUGUCAUUGAUCGAAAAAUCUUCUCGACAAUGGUAACAUCCUCCAAAUUCUUUCCAUGGAUUCUCAUCUUGUUAACGAUUGCCAUCGUUCUUACGAAAUAAUUUGCAACCGACUCGCUUGACUUCAUGCAUAAAGUCUCAAAUUCAAUCCGAAGAGGUUGAAGCUGCACUUGCUUUGCCUUCAUAUUUUCUUGAUACUUCUUCUUCAUAGAGUCCCAAAUCUAUUUGGAGGUAUCUUUGCUAAGAAUUGUCUCCAAAAUGGCUCGAUCAAUAGCUUGAAAAAGGUAAUUUUUGACUUUAAGAUCUUUCAAUUUAAAUGCUUCCAACUCCGUUUUCUGCACCUCUGACAAUAUUACUCCAACUGUUGGUUAUUCUACUAUAGAUUCAACAACCUGCCAAUACUUCUUGGAUCUCAAGAAGUUCUCCAUUAGUAUACUUCAAUGAUCAUAGUGACCAUCAAAGCGGGGAAUUGUUGGCUACACAAAAUUGUUGGUGGCUAUCAUAAUUUACCAACACAAUUCUCACAACUCACUUUUGUUUUCACUCACGAACCUAGCUUUGAUGCCACUGUCACAAUUAUUGAGAAAAAUAAUAAGAGAAGUAAAGGACAAGAGUUUAUUUCUUUGUAAAACUUACUUAACUCAUAAUAUGAAAUUAUUCUAUUUAUAGAGUUCAAAACAACUCCACUAACUAUCCCAAUAGCUCCACUAACUCCACUAGUUACUCCACUAAUUCCACUAAUUAGAUAAAACAAAACAAACAAAUAUGAUUAACUAACAACACUAAAUAAUUUCUAAUAGUCCUUACAACUUUUUGAUUUAAAAUUUUUUUUAUAUAAAAGUUAAAAAGGUUUUUAAAUUUUUUUAAGAAUCUAUAAGUAGUAUUAGUAGGACAAGUAUUAGCCAAAAAAAGGAAAAAAAAAAGAGGAAGAAGUUAUCGAUUGCCAUAGUACUACUCCGUCCCACUACUGACAUGUUACCACAUUGCAUCUUUCUGCAUUUGAGUUUCCCACAAAAAAGGAUGACUAUUUGUAUUUUAGUUUGUUCAACAAACGGACAUUUGUAAUUUAGUGUUUGCCCAAUAUAUUGGCCAUGCAGCCCUCCCCCCCCUUUUUUUUAAAACUUUUGAUGGCCGCCAGAUUUUUUGGAAAUUUAUCAUGGCUGUCGGGUUUAGUAAGCCCAGUAGUUUUGAUGUUUUUUUUAAAAAAGCUGCAUGAUGUCAAUAGGCAGUUUUUUUUUACAGAUUUCCCUGUGGCUGUGGCUGUGGCUGCUGGGCUGGUAGCCAAACAUUAAAAAAAAAAAAAAAAUUCUCUCUCUUGUCGGGCUGUGUCAGCUCGGCAUGCAUAGUUUUGUACCAGAACUCCGUCAGAACAUUAUUGUUGCAAUUUUUUUUUUCGAACAAUAAUUAGAGAAAUUAGCCAUAGUUAGGGGUCAUUUUAUUUUCCCUUCCUCCAUAUCCAAUUAAGUCUUUGUUAUCAGUGGAUUAAAUUGGUGUUUCCGAUUAUCGUGCAAUUAUUAUGUAAAUGGCCAUUAUGCCUCCAAUUGACUGGGAAAUAAUAAUUUUUGUUAAACGACCAUUUCCAGGAAUAAUGAAGUAUUAUGAAGAUUUUGUAUUUUUUUUUCAGUAAGGGAUGAUAUUAUCUUAUACAAUUGUUCACAUUGGAACAUUAAAAAAGAGAUGAAAUGGGAUGUUUUUGGUUUUUGUGGGCCGAAAGCCUCAAACUGAGCCCAAAGCUUCAUUUUAGUGUUAAGGUUAAGAUUGAGAAUUGAAACUUGGCUAGAAUAUAGAACAUUUAUGAAGGCCUAAAAAAAAACUAAUAUUAGAUUGGAUUGCUACUUUUUACAAGAAACUAUUGGAUUGCAACUUUUUAAUUUGUAAAAAAAUAUACUAUACCAAUUUGACAUAUGUGAUGUAAAAAAUUUAUUGAGAAAUAUAUUCACGAAAAAUGUUAGAAAUUUUUACAGAACGUUAGAAAUUUUAUAGGAUAUGUGAGUAGAAACUAUUGGAUUGCUACUUUUUAAUGCUUAAAAAAAAACAGUAAUGGCUUGACAUAUGUAAUGCAAAAAAGUUAAUUGAGAAAUGUAUUCAUGAAAAAUUUUAGAAUUUUACCUUAGAAAAUAGAAAUCCAACACAUGGAGGUAGUCUUAGGAUCACAAAAAUUAAUUUUAUGCUAGAUAACAUUUGGAAAUUAAGUCUUUGGUAGCCUGAUCAGGUUAAUCAAUCCUUUUAAAAAAAAUUAUUCCUUUGUUUAAAAAAAAUGACUGAGCACUUCUGGAGUUGUUACUUUCGCGUUUCCAGCAUUGGGAGUAUUAAGUUUUCAAUCAAAUUGAAUAAAAUGUCCACUCCAACUCAAAGAGCAAACCUUGCAUUUUUUUACUGAAAAUUUUAAGUUCGAGUUAAUAACCAGCUAUAAAUAAAUCAGCAAUAAAAGAUAUUUGACGCAUUUAUACACACAGUAAAUGGAGAAAUUAUCGGCAAUUAUUGAGACUAAUAUCAGACAAAUCUCCAUAGAUUCUAUGCUGAGAAAGGAAAAGCAGUAGUAAAAUUUUGGCCAUUCUGGUAUGGAAUUAAAGUAUUGGACUCAAUUAGUGUUGCUAAAAAUUUCCAAAUCCCAGAGCCUUCCCUCCUUUCCGUGCCCGCGCGGGCGCCUCCAUUUCCCGCAAAUCCAAAUUAACGUUUUCAGUUUCAGUUUUUUGAUUUCCUUUCCCUCUACCUACCAUAUCUGCACACAGUCACACACUACAAAGAUUCCAAAAAUUCCCUCAAAUUCAAAUCCACAAUCCUCCCUCUUCCUCCUCCUUUCAAAAGAAAAUUUGAAGGAAAAGAAGUGUUAAAAGAUGGUUUUUUUAAAAAAAAAAAAAAAAAUUCAAACAAAUUCAUUCAUCAAUCACCCCGUUUCAUCUCCACCUUCAACUACAAAUACCUCAAAUGGAACUCGGGAAUUCUCACCACUUGCUUAACAGCCUGCCCCAUCUCCACCCCACCACCACCACCACCACCACCAAAACGCCGUAUCAGAUUUCAGAACAUCAAACAUGGAACGUGGUGACAAAGAAAACAUCACCGUCCCAUUUGGGUUCACAAAGAAAGAAGCCAAUGUCUCAAUUCUUGAAAAUGCCAAAAAAUUUCCUGCCCCAGUUGUUAAAAGAAGGUUCAGAAGCCCACUUCGAGACAUUACUCAUCUGUUCAUUAAUUCACAGCCACCGGCACUACUUUCCUCAGCCGCAUUUAUCUCUGAUUUUCAAGCCCAUUCUUUUAUUUUACCUCUUCCUGCUAUGAAUUCUCGAAAAAGGAAAGCUGAUGGGGAUGUUGAGAUUGAUUCAAUGAAGAAGGCUGCAUCCAAGAUUUUGAGAAAAGAGUAUAGAUAGUUUUAUUUAGAUAUAUAUGUAGAUUUUAUACAUCCAAUUGACAUUGGUUUGAUAGGUGAAGUGUUGGAUUUUAUCAUUAUAUCCCAAGUUUAAUUGAUGUAACAUUUUUACUUGAUAGAAAAAUUAAAAUAAUGAGAUGAGCGGCUAUUUGAAUUUUUUUUUUUUACUUUCAUUUUAAUCUUUGGUCAAUCAUUAAUUUUCAUGCUUUCUUAUUCUUCUUUUUGUCAAUUUGGGCGUUCUUCUUCUUUUAUUUUUUUUCCUUUAAAUUUGUUUGUUUCAGAAUUUGAGCUGCCCUUGCUGAAUUUAAAUGUGAUUAAUUUCAUGCCAAAAGAAUUUUGAUCAACUUUUGGCAUCAAAAAUUUUUGUAAAGAAUUUGACUAACGGGCACUCGCUAAGAUACCUUCACAUGCUAAUUUUUCAGCGAAAAUAAAACUAAUUCGAGAAAAUAUAGCAAUAAAUGUGACUAUACUUGCAUGAUAAAUUAAAUAAGUAUAAUUUAAAUAUUUUAAUGAAUAUUCUGAAAUACUCAUUAAAAAAAUCCUUUUGUGAAUUUACACGGAGGAGCGCACCUCCCGGUAUGGAAAGUUUUAAGAAGACACAGUACUUCGGCCAAAUGCAUUCACUAUAUUAACACAAACAAUUUGUAACAUCUGUAUCGCAGUUGAGAUUCCUUCGUGCAACAACAGCUUAUAGUAUGUUUAUCUUCACAAAGAUUACACUUUUAAUGAGUGUUGUAAGAGCAUUCGCAUUAUACCAAACUCACCAUAUAAACAAUAUAUAUAUAUAUAUAUAUAUAUAUAUAUAUAUAUAUAUAUAUAUAUGUGGAAAAAUGACCUGUUUCAUCCCUUACUUUUAAAAUGAAGCAAAUUCAUCCCUGACAUUUAAAAAUUAAAACUAUUACAUCCCUGAACCUAAUUUUCAAUCUGAAUCAAACCAACCAAUAACCUAGUAAUAAAUUUCGAAAAUAGAAUUGAUAGAUCAUUCGGUCAAUUCCAUCAUAUUCACAUGACAUUUAUUAAACCAAAAAAAUAAAAAUUAUAACAUAAAAGGUCAUUCUUUAUCUUGGAAUAGUAGAAUUUUUUUUUUUGGUAAAUCUUUUCAUACACCGUUAGUAUGCUUGCUUGCAAAUCUAGAUAUGUAUCAUACAUAUAAAAUUUGGUGUUUAAAUUUAAAUUAAAAUGAUAUGAUGGUACAUAAAACCGUCAGUGUAUACAAAUGAUAAUGUAGAAAAGAUUAAUCUUUCUUUUUUAUGUUAUAAUUUUUUAUUUUUUAUUUUUAGGUUAAUUAAAUUUCACAUGAAUAUCAAGUUGAAUUAACCAAGUGAUCUACCAAUUAUACCCCCAAAAUUUGUAAUUAGGUUGAUUGGUGGUUUGAUUCAAAUUGAAAUUUGGGUUCAGGAUGUAAUAAUUUUAGUUUUUAAAUGUCAAGGACGAAAUUGGUUCAUUUUAAAAGUAAGGGACGAGAAGAAUAUUUUUGUGAAAUGUGAAGGAUGAGACAGGUCAUCUUCCCUAUAUGUUUAUAUAUAUAUAAACACAUAUAAACAUAUUAUCUCCACUUGUGUUAACAAAGAGAAUGUUACAAUGCUCAAGUAUUUUAAAUAGGGGAUAACCAUUACUAGGUUUACUAAAAUUUAUCUACUUUUCAAUAGGGGGAUAACCAUUACCAGAUUUAGUAGGUUGUCCUAAAAUUCAUCUUUUUAAUAAGGGGAUAACCACUACUAAAUUUAGUAGGUUGUAUUAAAAUUUAUCUACUUUUUAAGAUCUAAGACUAGAUUCAUAAAUAAGUAUUGUGAGAUAUGCUUUGAGUGCAGUAGGUUAAAAGUUGAGAUAAGGCAUACCACUAAGACACUAUGAGGACUCUUAGGUCUCAAGUACUCAAAAAAAAAAAAAAAAAGAUCAAAUAUUUGAAUCAAGAAACUUGAUAAGAAUUUGGAUUGAGAUCAUGUUGAACAGAAUGGAGGACUAACAUGAUAUGGCUAUUCAAAUGCAAGGUGUGUGUGUGUGUAUAUACAUAUAUACAUAUAUAUAUAUAUAUAUAUAUAUAUAUAUCUAUAUCUAUAUGUUCUUGAAUAAUAUACAUCUUCGUUCAGACAAACACAAUCCCACAACUAUAAAUUCCAAUUGAUCAGGAAUACAUGACCAAUUAAAGCUACAAAAAGUCUGGAAGUGGAAGCUAGUUGGACUUAAAUUAACAUUUAGCUUUUAGCAUAUCUUUGAACGUACGUAGGAUAUACUAAUUACUACUGUGCUGUCCUAUUCUUUCUGUCCUCAUGUAUCAAGUGCUUAUUAGGCCAACCAAAAGUUCUUCCAGAGUCAAAAUUGAUAGGUCAGUUUCAAGUUGAUCAUGCACCACGUUAUGUUUAUUUCUUCAGAAUUUGGAUGUUUCGCGGAUAAAAGGUUUCUUGGACCAAUGAACCUGUGUUCGUACGCACUGUUAUUUUAAUUCAAGAAAGCCAUGAAUUUGUGAUCGGCUAUGUUACGUGAUCACAAGAGUCAGAUUUCUAGAUGAAAAAAGUGCAAGAUCUUGGUGACACUGAAAUUUAAAAAGGUCAUUACUAGCACAGCACUGGGAACUGUGAAGAAUUGAUGCAGACACCGUUGAAAACAUGGUUCGCCAUCGCGGGUCGCAGUCGCGCCGCUGUUUUGGUUAUUCUACAUUCAUCGCGACAUAUCGGUUGAAUAUCGGGUGAUACACACAUUCUAACGCAUGAAAGUUUCCAAAAAUUUUGAAAAAAUUACUAAAAUUGAAAAAUACCAAAAAAGUCACAGUUUAAAAAAAAUAUCCAAGUUGACUUUGAGUUGACUCGGAUAUAUCGGUCGAUAUUAUGCAUCACGGAUUCGAAUCGGCCAAUAUCGAUCGAGUCAGAGCGAGUCAUCGUGGAUAUAGUAAUAUUCGAGAUUCAGGGAUCGGGCUCGUACCGAUUCCCUUCGUUCCAGUUACGACUCGGCCAAUACGUAUCGGUAUUAGCCGAUAUGGCGAACCAUGGUUGAAAAGUGCAGCCACCGCCGAUUUAUUUACUUGAGGUAGCGAGUUGCAACAGCAUUUGACAUCAUAUCUCUCUUGAGUAUGCCAUUGGAGUCUCUUUCCAGCAUCAAUUAAAGAAUGAUUUUCAAGUGGAAAAGGCUUUAUAAGGGCGGUCACUAAGCAAUUUGAUAAUGCAGUAAAACUCAGUCAUAAGAUGUCCCAUGAACUUUGUCUCUCUUAAUCAACUGACGAGGAAAAGUCUGUUCCAUGUAGGCAUUUGUCUUGUUUCUCAGGUUUUCUGUUGGUAUUACAGUAAUUCAUCAAACAAUAGCACUUUAAGUGCUUUUUUAUGAGCCAAUAUAUGUUGAUAAACAACGCUGAAUAACGAAAUCAUGAAUGCUACUGCAACUACUGGCCAUGUCUAGGCUGUUCUUCAAUGCUUUAUAUAAUUAAGUGACAACAGGAUUGGCAAGUUAAACAAGAGUAGAUAACAGUAAAAAUGAUUGUGCAAUGCACUUUAGAUGCGUUAUACAUAUAAAUCUAUUCAUGUACAGCAAAUAGCAUACCUUUCAUGAUUAGUUGGCAUCAUUACUUCCUAACUAGCAUACCUUUCACUGUUUUUCUUCUCUUUAUUUUUUUUUGCAGCAGGGGAGGGUGGGAUUUAAGAAGCAGGGAGGGGAUAGGGGGAUUAGAACACAGGAUCUCUAAUUUUUGGAACCUCAAUCUUAGCCACACUGUUUGUCUUCUCAGUUUCUUUCUUUGUCAACCUAAUGACUGAAAAAGAAUAAGUUAUGCUCUUAGUGCACAUAGAUUAAUAAUGAAGAAAGUGCAAAAUAACGCUCGUAUCAAUUCAGAACAAGAAAUGUUAGAUGCAGAAAGGAAAUAGGUAUUCCUUCUGUGACUGAUCUAAAAGAAUGUUCCCAGAAUCUCGUAAUGUUUUAUAGUGCAUUGGUUUUUUUUUCUAUUUCCCCUUCAGAAUGAAUAGUUGCUACAUUGUCUCUGGUUGAUGUCGAUUUUUGAGAACUUGGUAUGGAUUUGUCAUUGUGUCUAGAAGGUAAAGACCAGCCACAUAAUGUCAUGCUAUAAGAUGCCUCAAACGAAAGGCAAGUCAAAAAUGCCUGACCAAACUACCCUAUACAGAGUUCCUACAGUGUAUGGUCACAUAGUUGUACCCUUUGAGCAUAUACUUCUAUUCACAUUUCAUCCAAUGAGCCUGUUUCUGCAAAAGUUCUGUAGGUUUUACUCCUUUUUUGUUGCAAGUGAUGGAAAAUUCUAAUCUUUAUUGGUGAUAUUCAUUCCUAGAAGAUUCAAACACAAUGUUACUGGACUUAGUAAAGGACAUCUGGUUAAAGACUAGAAAUUGAGAUAUAUUCUUAAGAGUCAUGAUGUUCAGUGCUUUCUUUGACUUGAGCUCCUUUUCCUCAUCGCAUAGAUCAGUAAAUGGAUAAGUAGAUGUAUACCCAAUUAGGAGUAAAACUGGAUACUGAUGUUUGAACUUCCUGCAGUGCAUGUCACAGUUACUAUAGGCUAAUCGCGGGCAUUUGCCUGAUAUCCUGCAAAUUUUUUGUAGGAAUUAAUCACAAUCAAUUAACUGUCCCGGUUUGACCAAAACAACAACAACAACAACAACAACAAUAAUUACAGUCUGUUUAACAGCUUCUAGAGAAGCAUUGGUCCUUUGUUCUGCUUCUUAAUGGUCAGGUGCAGGAGUUGCAGCUAUCUUAAAAUUUUGAGUCCUUGACUGCAUUAAUUUAGAUUCAAAUGCAAUGUGGAUAUAGUUAACUCUACAUCACAAUGACGACCUUUGUAAGAGGAAGUGGAGAUAAAGUGCCGCACACAAGAAGCCACAUUUUUGUAUGACAUUGACCUUUGGAUGCAUCACAGAGGAAGUUCUGGGAGUAGACUCCAUUACAAGGUCAGAGUUGGGGCUAUUCGAUGUCAUUAAGAGCUAACAAGACCAACAUUCGCUGACUAGAUAUACACGUUGCUUGCUUAUAUUUAAAAUAUCCUUACCAAUGUCUACAAAUUCAUUAUAGUUUCAGAAUGAGUUGCAGCUAUCUUAAAAUUUUGAGUCCUUGACUGCAUUAAUUUAGAUUCAAAUGCAAUGUGGAUAUAGUUAACUCUACAUCACAAUGACGACCUUUAUAAGAGGAAGUGGAGAUAAAGUGCCGCACACAAGAAGCCACAUUUUUGUAUGACAUUGACCUUUGGAUGCAUCACAGAGGAAGUUCUGAGAGUAGACUCCAUUACAAGGUCAGAGUUGGGGCUAUUCGCUGUCAUUAAGAGCUAACAAGACAAACAUUCGCUGACUAGAUAUACACGUUGCUUGCUUAUAUUUAAAAUAUCCUUACCAAUGUCUACAAAUUCAUUAUAGUUUCAGAAUGAUGGGCAUGAGAUGCAAGGUUGAUAACCUUCUAUUUGAUUCCAAUGACUUGGACUUCUCUAAUCUUUCAACAGAUUGGCUGCAUUGAACUCGUCUCCCACUUCAUUUCAGCUUAAGAGUAGGAAACUAUCUAUAUAUACCAGGGCUUAAGAUCAUCUGAUACCCAACUCCUGCCAGAGGUGGUUAGUACCCCCAAGAGCCAAUAAUGUCUUGCUGGAAGUUUUUCUUGUGUCUUGCCAUUGCCAUUUUUCUGCUUUUGGCAAUGGGGUCAGAAGCUCGGCCUCUUUCACCAUUUCAUCACAGAGUGAAAAUAACCGAGCAAUUCCGGGCAUUUUUUGACAGAAGGAAAGUACUAGAGGAAGAUUAUCAAUUUGACAGCAGCAGUGAAGGUCAUUACCAGCCUGCGCGUUCCAGUCCCGGAGGACCUGAUCCCUACCAUCACUUUUCAAAUCCCUAGUAACGUACUUUUGGCGGAGUGAAGAAACAUUCUUUCUGAAGUUAGAUCAGAAGAUGUGCUAUAAUCCUUCUGCAUGCACAUCCACUGUUACAUGAUUUUGUUUUGAUAAUAAGAAUGUGCAAUGCAUGUGAACUUUGUUAAAUUGUUUUUAUUAACCUCUUCAUAAUAAAAAUAGCAUUGUCACUUGUGGGACUUUAUGACAUAUGACUGAACUAACUAAAGAGUACAUGCUUGCCAGGAAAGUAGUACUUAAAAAUGUGAUUGUUUAUAAAUGAUCAUCAAGUUGGUGCAGGUACGUUUCAGUUUCUUAUAUCUACACUCACAUGGCUAACUGUAAAGUCAGCAAGAAAAGGUAAUAGUUUGCUUUCGGAAGUUAGGAUAAUGAUAAUGAAAUGGAAGUCUACUGUCCAUCUGAUGCAUGAAAGACACCUUUCUUCUUCUUCUUCUUCUUCCAAAUAGAGGGCGUGCUUGAAAAGCUCUCGAAGCUUAUGAAGUUUGAUACAAUAUUAAGUACUUUAGUACCACCAGGCAGCAUCCGGAAGAAGGUACCUCUUACCAUUUAGAUGAAAUUAUGGUCACUGCAAUAAGGCAUCCAUGCAGCAGAAGUUGGACCAAGAAUAUUAACCGAUCUGCAAACAUUUAAGAAUGGCAGAGGUUUUCCAAAUUCGCUUGAGUGAGUGUAUAAAUUGUAAUAAAGCCAGCAAUUUAACAACUCAGAAGCAACAUUUUAUGAUGAAUCGCCAUAACAAAGCAGUUGAAGGUGGAAGCUUUUGAAUAGUCUUCUCCAACUGUCAUUAACAUUCACCCACAACGAAAAAAGAAAUCCAUUUUACUCAGAUAAGAUACCAAAUAAAGGCCUUGCAAUUUGUUUAUCUUAAAUUUAUGCGCAAAUGGUUAUUUACUCAGUUUUCAUUAGCAAGUCACUAUUCUUACAAGGAACCUCAGAUUAGACACUUAAUACAUUCUGUAUUUUGUUAAAAAAAAAAGGAAUAAUAGAGCACAACAUAGGUUAGUUUUUACAAUUAAAAUACUACAUCCAAAAUAAAACUUUAGGUUUCAUGCCAAAUUUUUAAAAGGGAUUCACCCAGAAAAAGAAUAAAAUAUAGGAACUGAAUUACUCAUAAUAAGUUUAAGGGAUAAUUUCAGAAACCUCUCCUGAGAUUUCUGACAGUCUCACUCUCCUCCCCUGUAGUUUCAAAAAUAUCACAAAUCUCCCCUGAAGUUUAGAAUUUUGUAACAAAAUCAGCCCAUGAUGUCAAAAGUGAACAUAAAAAAGUGUUUUCAGGACAGAGAGGGAAUUUUGUUUCCAUAAAUGCCCCUGAGGUAAGUGCACAAGUUAUAUUAGUGAAAUAAUGAAAACUAAUAAAAAUAAAAAAUAAAUUAGAAAAAAGGGAUAUUAAAUCAACCAUUAGUGCUUAUGAGAGUGCAUUACAUAUUUAGUGGAGAGAUAGUUUACUUCAAUAAGUAGCAUGUAUAUAAAUAUUUAGUGAAUGUACAAUCUGAUUGAAAUAAUGCAUAUUGUGUUAUCGACCAAGUACGAUGCAUAUAAAUUGUUGAACAUGCAGUUAUUUGUUCACAUGCAUAUUGCAAUUAGUCACUGCAACAAUAUGCAUAGUGCAAUGGUAUGUAUACAUUUGGAAUAGUUAUUGAUACUUUGACCUACUUGUGCAUAUCCUUACAAGCUGCAGUGGGUAUGCAAUUUUAUCUAUAUGACUAAUACUAAUUUGCUUAUAAACACCUUACACGGGGUGAUCUAUGAGGUACAAUCAGUUUACAAAUAUAUACAUUAUAUUAGAUGUUAGUUACUUCACUGUGUAUAUUUAUAAAAGGUAGUGUAAUGGUACGCAUAAAUUUGGAAUUGUUAGGUGUUAAAAAAAUAUACAUCAUGUUAGGUAUUAGUUAUUUGACAAUGUAUAUAUAUAAAAGGGAGAUUAGAUAUAGCGUAGAAAAAAAUAAUUACGUGAGUUGGAAUGUAUUUGUCCUGAUAAUCAUGAAAUAUUAGUUGACUUGUGAGGGUAUUUAAGUCUUUUUGGCCAUGAUGAUGUAAGAAAUGAGACCUAAAUUCUGACAGGGGAGGUUUGUGAUAUUUUUGAAACCACAAGGGAGGAAAGUGAGACUGUCAGAAACCUCAGGGAAGGUAUCUGAAAUUAUCCCUAAGUAGCAAUUAAGUAGCCGGUUCCUCAACGCAGUAAAAAUAGGCAUGCCAUUUUAUUGUUAAAGCUUAAAGCCUCUGCUGCAUGAGAAAGACAACUUCAAUUGCAUCAAAGAAUUUACCACUAUUUUGUGGAAUUACUCACCUCUGUUCCACUGAGAAGCUUUAUCACUCCAUUUCCUUCCAAAACCAGCAUCUUCAUCAACAUUUAUAUGGAGAAAAUGUCACACACCGGAGACUCAUUGACCUACUUCAAGAACCCACAAGGGUUCAAUCAGUCAACACAAUCAAAGCCUUCCAUGCACUCACAAUUACAAUGGGUCCAAACCCUACAGACCCCAUUGUUCUUUACAAUAAUAUCAUCUCAAAGUACGCCUCUUUGGGUGAAGUUGUUACAGCUCGUAAAUUGUUCGACAAAAUGCCGCAAAGAAAUGUUGUGUCGUAUAAUACUAUGAUCAAAGCUUAUAAUCGAAAUGGUAUUUUGGAGGAAGCCUGGAAGUUGUUCUGUGAGCUGAGAAUUUUAGGAUUGAAGCCUACACAAUUCACAUUUGGCGGCAUUUUGUCUUCUGCUUUGAUGAAUCUUGUUCAAGGGUUUCAACUGUUGGCAUUGAUUGUAAAGAGUGGAUUUUUACAUGCUGAUGCAAUUGUUGGUACUGCAUUAUUGGGUGUGUUUGGGAGUCAUGGAUGUUUAGAUGAAGUCACUCGGGUUUUAGAGGACAUGACCAUAAAGAACUUGGUGACAUGGAAUUGUAUGAUAUCUCUGUUUGGGCAGCAAGGAUUUGUUACAGAAUCAACUGAGAUGUUCCUUGAACUCUUGAGAAGUGGAGUGGAAUUGUCUCAAUCAACUUUUGUAGGUGUUUUAGCUGGUUUUACUGGGGAAUUUGACUUGGAACUGGGAGAGCAAAUACAUGGCUUAGUGGUCAAGUAUGGGUUUGAAGACUCAGUUUCAGUGGCUAAUUCUUUGAUUAAUAUGUAUGCCAAGUGUGGGGAGAUGUGCUCAGCGGAGAAAAUGUUUGAGGAGAAUGAUGUUAAGGAUGUUGUAUCAUGGAACACUAUCAUUGGAGCAAUGACAAAAAGUGAUAUGCCAGAUAAAGCAUUUUCAAUCUUUUUGCAAAUGUGUGGAAAUGAAACCUUUCCUAACCAGACGACAUUUGUGAGUGUUCUACACUCCUGCCUUUGCCUGAAGGACCCAUCAUAUGGCAAAUGUAUUCAUGCUAGGAUAAUCAAGAGAAAUUUGGAAUCUGACGUAUAUGUUGGCAGUGCGUUGAUUGACUUCUAUGCAAAACAUGACAUAUUGGAAAUUGCCCUUCUUUGUUUUGACAAAAUAUCUCAUAAGAAUUUGGUUUGUUGGAACUCUUUGAUGGCGGCUUAUUCAAAUAGAAACUCUUCUGUUGCCCUUCUGCUACUCCGAGAAAUGUUUCACUGCAGCUAUCGCCCUAAUGAGUUUUCUUUUUCUAGUGUUGUUAAAUCAUCUGUAGCCCUAGAGGUGCAGCAGCUUCAUUCACUCAUACUAAAGAUGGGCUAUCAUGAUAAUGAGUACGUAUCCAGCUCUCUUAUCUGCUCAUAUGCCAAAAAUGGAUUUAUAGAUGAUGCCUUGAAAUUUGUGGAUGCUAAGAGUACACCAAUUUCUGUAGUCACGUCCAAUGCGAUUGCUGGUAUUUAUAACAGAACCAGGCAGUAUGAAAAGACUCAAGAACUAUAUUCUGCACUUGAGGAACCUGAUAUUGUGUCUUGGAACAUCUUAAUUGCAGCUUGUUCUCGAAAUGGUGAUUAUAGAGAAACUUUUGAUCUUUUUGAUCAUAUGCAGAGAGCUAAGAUAAGACCAGACAAUUACACUUAUGCUAGCCUCUUUAAUAUCUGUACCAAACUUUGCAACCUUGCUUUGGGAAGGUCUCUUCAUGGUCUGGUUUUUAAGACUGAUAUUAAAUGCUGUGACACGUUUGUCUGCAAUGUCAUGAUUGAUAUGUAUGGAAAAUGUGGAAGCCUGGAGUGUUCAUUUAAGAUUUUUAAUGAAAUGACAAACAGGAAUGUUAUUACAUGGACUGCUAUUAUUUCAGCCCUUGGAUUACAUGGUCAUGCUCAUGAAGCACUACAAAAGUUCAAGGAGAUGGAGGCGGAGGGCUUCCUGCCAGAUAAGGUUGCUUUAAUUGCUGUUAUUUCAGCAUGCAGGCAUGUGGGAUUAGUAAAAGAGGGGUUGGAAUUAUUUGAGAAAAUGAAACUGGAGUAUGGAGUUGAACCAGAAAUGGAUCACUACCUCCUGGCCGUUGACUUAUUGGCUAGAUAUGGCAAUCUAAGAGAAGCUGAAGAGUUAAUUGCUGGGAUGCCCUUCCCGCCAAAUGCACUUGUUUGGCGUAGCUUUCUUGAAGGCUGCAAGAGAAAAAGAACCACACAUAAUGUGGCCCUUCUCAUGUAAAUAGCCUUGAGCAAAUGAGUUGACAUUCUACUCUGCUUACACAGAGAUCAGUGUGAGGUAAUUGUAUUAGCAUGCAAGAGGUUGUUUAUAGAAGUCUUGAAGUACUUCAAUAUCACAAAUGGGUCUAAAAUUAUACAAGUCAAAGAUAAUGAGCGUAAAUCCAUAUAUUGGUGAAAUUGAUCUGCCCUCUUCUGGUUGACAGAUUUGACUUUUCUUUAGUUUGUGUCACUGUGUUCCUUUCAGAAUUUGAUCCUUCAGUAAUGAAGUUAGAAGCAAAAUAAGGCUUUGAUCCUCUGCAGUGUUUUGCCUCCUUUUUAUAAACCACUUAUGCAGGACGAAUGCACAUGGUCAUUGAAGGGAGUGCUCUUGCGUCCACUAUACCCUUUCCCUUUUGUUGUUUGUUGAUAUCCUUUGCUUGCAUCCUUGUUCAUUUAGUGUUUGCUUGUUUUUAGUCUUUCUUUUUUUUCGUUUCCAUUUUUUCCAGCCCUCUGAACCUUGGGCCUUUUCUUUUUAAUAAUUUGUUCUAGAAAAUAGUUAUCGUCCUCUUAAAGGCAUGAAAGUUGGAAUUUAUACUUUAUCUUUUGUCCUGUCUAUCCGUUUGACUCACUGAUUUGUUAAUGUUACUGGUGAUGGCAACUCAGAUUUGUUACUGUUGCAGUCAUGAUAAACAAAAUGGUCGCCUCCAAAUGAAAUAUGCUAUCCCAUGACUGCUGGAGGGACAGAGCAAAUCUGAGGAUGAUUAUUGACCACACUGAGUGGUGGGAAGAAAGAAUUUAGUUCUAGCUUAUCACGAGGUUUGGCAGAAAGCACUCCGUUUGUAUUACUAGAUUGGGAAAUAAAUUUGGUCUUUGGACUUGGUAGAUACAAAUCUAUGACAAGCAGUUUGUGAUGCUGAAAGCACUAGUGUGCAAAAUCAUUAUCAGGAUGAUGACAAUAGGAUAGACCAUCUCCUAGCCAUCCCUCAACAGUGUCAUCAAUUUCUGAUAACAAACCAACUAGAAGAUGUCCACUUUGAGUGGCAUCAUUGUGCUUGAAAAUCUUUUAGACUAUUUGGUCUCCUCUGAAUAAUUGAUGGCCUCGUAUUGACUAUUGAAGCCGCCAACUUAUCCUGUCCCGUGUCUGCUUGGUCACCUUUAAGUAGUCCAUUCAAAUUUGGUUACUAUCUUGAACUUCAAAUGUAUUUAGGUAGUCAUUUCUUCAGCAUCUUUGCCAGCAUAACGGAGAUGAAAACAUCAGCCACUUAUCAUGACCAUCAAGGAGUGAGUCAGCGUGAUCUAUGAUGCUUCGCAUUUGUAGUUUAAGCAGAAAAAGUGGAGUCAUAAUUUUCUGGCAACGCUUAUUUCAACGUAUAAGGCUCUUCAUUUAGGUUAAGAAGUCUGCAUGGCAGUUUGUUAUUACAAAUCAAAUUAAAUAAACAGCACACUUGACAUAAAUAUAGAAGUGUCACUAAAUUGCUACUGAAAAAGUGACACUGAGGAUCCGGUACGGUACUCUGGUUCUUUGUGAGGAUUGACAUUGGCCUGGAGUUGGAAAGAAACUUGCACUUUUUCGGUGCUCUUUAUAUCCUAGUAGACAAAUAUAGGUUUCACUAACGGGUAUCCAAGGGGCACUCCCUCAGAGAGGCCUCGAGUGUAAUUAUUUACUAGAGUAUUGUUAAUUUGUAGGGCUAUCAGUCGGGCUUUGUGAGUCAGAUUUUGACAAAUUGAAGCUCACUCACAAAAGAAAUAGAGCCUUUGAAAUUUUGGGCUUUCGCACUCAGAUUCAUAUUAAGACUCAAAUCCUGUUUGAUAACUCGAUUUAUUACUUAAAUCAAAUGGAUUCAGAUCUUAACAUAAUUAGAUGCGUUUAAUAAUAAAAAAUACAAUAUCUGAAUUAAUUAAAGUCACUAAAUUUACUAAUUAAAACUUAUUUCUAAAAAUAAGUGAUAAAUUAUUCACUUAUCACUAAUGUGAUAUAUACUCGAAUAUAUUAUACAUAUUUAGGGUACAUGUGAUAAAACUAAAAUCUAAAAUAUGAAGUUUAAAUUCAAGUUUGAAAAUUGAAAUUUAAAAUAUGAAAUUUGAUGUCUGAAUUCAUUAAAUUACUAAAUUAUUGAGUACAAAAUCUGAUACAUUCGAAUGUAUAUUACAUUAAGUGAUAAGUAAAUAGCUCAUUACUUAAUUUUGAAGCAAGUUUUGCCUAAAAAAUUCAGUGCCAAUUAAUAAAUCCAAAUGUACUAUUUUUUUUGUUAUCAAACGCAUUUGAACAUAUUAAGAUCUGAAUCAAUUAAAUUUAAAUGUUAAAUUGGGUAUCAAACAGGGAUUUAGUACUUAAUAAUUCAGUAAUUUAAUGAAUUCAGAAUUCAAAUUUUAGUUUUCAUAUUUCAAAUUUAUCAAAUGCACCCUUAGUUUGGAGAUUGAGAUUUGGAGAGAAAAGAAGAGAGAAGGAGGAAAAUUCAAAGUUUAAUUUAAAGUUUUUCUUGUUUGGGAGUUUAAGUGGGAAGAAGAGAAAAGAAAGUGGUAGGAAAUGGAGAGAUAGAUUGGUUGAAAAACUUUCCUCUCGAAUAUGGGAAGAAAAGUUUCACUUAACCUUUUAAACAUUUUCAAAAUGCCAACUUUUAUUCAUAAAAUAUUAAGCAAUAAACCAUAAUAUCGAUUGUGUCCAAAAUCAUUCUUCUCGUUCCUAAACUCUCAAUCAACUUGAGAAGAAAAUUAUAUAUUUUCUCUUCUUUUCUUUUACAACUUAUCCUCUCUUUUCUUUUCUCUCCUCUCCUGAACUCCCAAGUUAAGCCGAAAGGAUUCAUACUUGACUCACAAAUUAAUUAGAGCAUCGGGCUUAAAUUAGGUUUGACCAAAGUUCACUAUUAAAUACAUAAUUAUAUAAAACAUAUGUUUAAUAUUUAUGUAUUGUUAUAUGACUAUAUAUAAAUUGUUAAUUUUUUACGUUAUAAUAUACUUAACUAUAAAUUAUACACAUUAUUGUCUAUGUUAUAAAUAUUUAAACAAAUUAUUACUUGGAUCGGAUUUUAACCAGAUCGAGACUAAUAAGGCUCAGGUUUGGCUCACAUUUAAAUUUUACUCUAUAGUUAUACCCAAAUUCUAUUAGACCCAGUUAAGCACGAGAUUUCGCCUUAAUUUCUUCCUAAAUGAGUGGGUUGAAAUCAAACUGAUUCCGUCCCAUUGACAAUCCUAUUAAUUGAGAAAGCGUUUAAAAACUGUGGAUGCAAUAAAUAUGAGGUGUGGAUCUCUAUGUUAAUUUUGACGUAAAUCGGGUGUAUGCUGUCUAGAAAAAUCCUAAAAAUUCUGUUUUAGAGAUAUGGUCUUGAAAUUGAUUGUAAUUUUUAUUACAGAAGAAAUUAUGGCAUAUGCAUAAAUCCUUGCUCAAUCAAUACAAUCUUAAAUUCCUCCAUUUAGGCAAUCUUCGUCCUAACUGAUCAAAACACAAAGGAAACCCCGUUAUAAAAGGUCACCAGGAGUACCUGUUACAUCAAAAUUCACAAUAGUAUUUCAUCUAUUAAGUACGAAAAAAAAAAUGGCUCCUCAUCAUCAAAUAUCCAAAGCAACAACGUUAAUCUUUCUAAUGAUGCUUGCUCUUUGUGCAUUUCCCACGGGCUUGAACGCACGAGUUCUGUUGCAGAAGAAGGAUGGUGAAAUUGACAGCACAACUACGUUUCAGAAAAUGGGCUUUGAUCUCUCGGCUUUGAAGGAGGAGAUGACGAGUGGAAGAUUGUUGAGAGAAGUACCCGGUGGACCAAAUCCUCUCCACAAUAUUGUUCCACCAGUACAAGCACCACCAAAACGAUCAUCAACAAUCUCUUCAGACAACUAGAUGUAUUUGCAAUUAAGGCAUAUAUGCAUGGUUGUGUCUUGCAUGGAUUUGAUGUUCUGAUGCCACUUACUGUAAUGGUCUACAUAUACAUUUAUUCCAAUAAAAUUGUUCCAAAAUUGCAACAAAAUAUGUGUUUGAAUAUCAAUGGCUACCAAUUUUAACUUUUUUUUUUUUUGGCUUUUCCCUAAGUCGUAUCUCCUAAAUAAUCUCAGAUUUUCAGUUGAUAAGUUCAAUUGGUUUGUCAUUGUUCGAUUUGUUUUAAAUGCUUCAAGACAUAAAAAAUUGUUAAGUGCAAUGCUAAUUUUCCACGGAAGUAUAAGGAUGUUGUACUUGUGGGGAUAGCGAGAUAGGUAGUCCAUCAUCACAAGCAAAAUAAAAGGGGUCCGGAUUUUAGACCAGGACUGUCAAUGGGAUCAGGCCAUCUCGAACUCGGCUCAAAAAAAGAUUUGAUGAACCUAACCUUUCAUUGAGUUGGGUUGAGGUUAGACCUAAAUAUUAGGUCCAAAUUAAAUGUGAACUGAAUUUGAACUUUAUUAGACUCAAAUUCGAUAUAAGUCCGACCCUCUAAUCUGCAUCUAUGUAUAAUUAUAUAUAAUAUAUUCAUAUUUUGAUAUAUAUAUAUAUAUAUAUGUGUGUGUGUGUGUGUGUGUGUGUGUGUGUGUGCGUGUGUCAUGUGUGUCAAAAUAUAUUAAUAUAUAAGAAAUAUUAAAUAUACAAAAUUAUAUCAAAAAUUUCAGAAGGAUGAAUUUUAGUACAAGCAAACUGAGGACUUUUGAAAAUGUAAUGACGUUGAUCAUAUUUUAUUAUUAUUUUUCAUGUACUUUGAACUAAUUGGAUAUAUUAUUGUUGAAAAAUUCUUAGUUUAUAUACUUUUUAAUAAACUAUUACUGGUUUGUAUAUAGUUUUAAUAUUGUGGUCCUGUGGAUGUUAAAUUAUCUUUAGAACUUAAUAGGUAUACUAAUUCUAUCAAGUAAAUUAAGGCGCAACACAUGAGUUUGGUUUAAAUCCGAAUUAUGCUCACAUUUAAAUAUUUUGUAAGUUGAAUAUGAAUUUCACAUUUAUCAACUUGAAACUCAUAAUUCGAAACCUGUAAGUGAUACUAACUAUAUGAGUCAAGUCUAAACUGGUUAAAACUCAACUCAGAUGGUCUGAUUGACAAGCUUAUUUUAGAUGCUCAUAAGAAGUGGGUGUGCUUUCGUGCGUCUUUCUGCGGAAGUGUAUGCAAUUUAAGGAUGAAUAAUAAUUAACACAUGGACUUUUUUUUUUUGUUUUUUGGGUGUGAUUAUCGUGUACUUGUCCACCAUCAAAUUAAAAAAAAAAAAAAUCAAAGGAACGAGUUAACACAAGAAAAGGCCCAAUCAUGCCAAGAGAAUGCACUAACACUUCUGAUUUGAAUCCUCAAUCUAUAAUCAAGAGGACAAUGUGUGAUCAAUUUAUCUUUGACAAGUUAAUUACUCCGCAAGAGCUUUUACUGCUCUGAACUCUUGGAAGCCAGAGGGACACUAAGAGCUAGUUUAAAGCUUCUUUUGCGUUAUUUUCCUAAUUGUCGCUCGUCUUCCUCUCUUUUAUCUAUCAGCAAACAUAUAUGAAUGUGGAGGAAUUUGCUGAUAGAUAAAAGAUAAAAAAGAUAUCUAGGGUCGAACCUUUAUCUAAGUUUUUGAUUAAUCAUAGGUAAUACCUUCCUGAAAGACGUGAAAAAAAUGGAUGAAGAUAUUUUAAUCUUAGACGGUAUACGUGCCACAUUCAUUCCCGAAAUUUAGUUGUCUACAUGCAAAUAAAGGGUCUGUCUAAUGGAUGUUUAACAAGCACUUAGAUAUUAGAUUUUUAAAAGUGUAAGAUUAAUUAGAAAAAUUAUAUAAAUGUAAGAAAAAGUAAUAAUUGUUAGUGUAUACAUGGUACUAAUAAUUGUUAGCAAUAAUUGUUAGUACCUAUAUACAUAGUUGUUAGUAAUAAUUGUUAGAAGAACGCUAAAAAAUAAUUUACCAGCCUUUAUUUAUUUUUUCCAUGUAAGUGAAAACGGCAAGUUAAAUGUAUAUUGCCAUGUAUUAUAAGAAGGUAAGUGACACGUUAUUAUCAUCCAUAGAAGGAAUAAAAUGUGUUGUAGAUGAAAUUGACAUACAGUCCACUAAAUCUUGUUAAUCAAUGUCACUGAACAUGGACAAUCCGCUUUUCCCUUUUGGCCAAGUCUCAUCAAUUCGGCAUUAAAAAUGAAUCAAAAACAAAUCAAGAAAUGACCCCUAUAUAAAGGACCACCACCAUCCUCACAUCACUGCACAAUAGUUGAUAGUUGACUACUCUUGAUAGGUAAAGCAAAAAAAAAAAAAAAAAAGGCUGUUAAAAUGAGUUGGAAAGCAACCAUUUUAAUCUUUUUCAUGAUGUUAAAUUUCUGGGGAUUUCUCAUGAGUUGCAAUGCAAGAAUUAUUGAUGAGAAUUAUCGCUCAGUUGAUAGCAAAACUCUGUUUCAUAAGCUGGGCUAUGAUGUCGCUGAAUACCAGAAGAAGAAUGCCCGAUUGUUGAGAGAAGCACCGGGCGGACCUGAUCCUCAUCACCAUGCCACCCCACCACAGCCACCAACCAUAUGAUAGAUGUCUUUGAUGUAUGUAUAAAGUAUUCAAGGCUGCAGGCAUAUGUUUGAUCUUUAGAUCCCUUGUAAUAUUAAUACUUAGUGGAACUGAAAUUCCCAAUUCAAUAAAAAAAAAAGAGAAAAAAAUCUAUGAGAUGACUAAUUAGAUCAAUCCAUGAAGCCUUCAGAUCAUUUCAAAUAUAUGUUGAGAAUCGAAGUCAAGAAAUUUUGAACUAACUAUAGGUUUGAUGGUGCGCAAUAUUAGCUAAACAUGAUUAUAAGUUUCUCAAAUCUAGACAACUAGGCAUAAAAACUACUCUCUUUUUCUUUUUCUUUUUUUUGGUUCAAGAGGAUACUUCAAACCUUACAAAGGAGGAAAGGGAAGUGGCACUUUAAUUUUGCAAAACGAAGAUCUUUAUUACCUACAGGGCAUCUGGUGUCUCCAAUUGGAUGGUUUGGAAUUCCUGCGUUCCUCAAUUCUGUGUCCAAGUUAUGCCAAAUAUAACGGGGAUUAUGGAGAAAACAAAAUUUUUAUGCUAUAAUGGAAAAGAAAAUUUAAGGAAGCAAAAUGAGCACCCAAUUUUACCCAGUACUAAUUGAGCUAUUGAACAAUAAAAGUAGAGACCAAAUUAAGAGAUUUAUAUAGAUUAAAGCCCAAAAGCGCAAGCAAAAUGUCAUGUGAAGCAACAGUAAUAAACUCUGUACAUGAACCAUGGUUCUUCAAUGAAAGUCACAGGCCUAUGUAUCUUUUGAGAGAUAGUUCUUUGUUUCCAAUAUUUUAUCAUCAAGUUAAGUACGUGCAAAUAUGAUCUAUGCAAACGGGUUAAGAUAUCCCAUGUAUGAUCUGAUCUAGAACUCCAUACUAGUGUCAAUUGUUGCAUGUUUGCCGUUGAAUUUUCUUAAAGAUCUGCAUAAAUGGCCUCUUACAAACUAUUAGAUUAGGACUCUGAAAUUCUAUUAAAGUAAUUUAAUUAAGGGUAAAUUACUUAUAAUCUCCUGCGAUUUUACAUAAUGUCAGAUGACCCCCUAUGGUUUCAAAAUAGCCACAUAUCCUCUCUAUGGUUUUUUGUAAAGUAGAAAAUGGAUGGAAUGCACAAUCACUUACACUGUUUAUACCAAACGCGCUCUAAAAGCACGUGUGGUAAAAUUUUAAUCUGCAUGUAAUUCCUUCAUGGUUUGUAUAAAUAUCCACUUUACUCUAUUUUGAAUUUUGCAUUUAUCCAUGUAAUCCCCUUAUACUUUUAUAAAAAAUAGUUGAUUGUCAAUAGAUUUGGCGUUUAAAUAAGGGUACUAUUGAUAUUUUAAUUAACGACAUUACAUAGGUUAUUUUCUAUCAACUUUUCACUUUAUAUAAAAUCAUAAGUGAGUGAAAUGGAUAUUUUGAAAUAUUAGAGGGGCCAUGUAGCAAUAAACGAAACCAUAGAGAGCGUUAUAUGUUAUUUACCCUGUAAUUGAUGGCCAUGACUACGUCGAAGUUGGAUGCUUCAAAAUAUAAGACACGAUAAUAGUCGUUAACAAGUUUCUGUUUGAUCAAUUUUUCCCCUUUGCUCACUCAUGUUCUUGGUUUUUUUUUCUUCUCAAAUUUGAUGAAAAUAAAGGUGAAGCAAUAUCUUUGUGAGUUAGAACGCCACCUUGCAAAUCCUAUAGGCAGGUUUUUUGUUUUUUCAAUUUAAAAAGUUAUUCUAAAUCUUACAAUGAUGAUAAUAAAAAAAAAUUGAAAAGUUCAAAUAAAGUCCUCACGAUCGUUGCAAAUCAUAUAUAUAUAUAUAAAGGAGUUGUUGCUUGAAUGUUGGAUAAUUUUCAUUUGCCCUUUUCGAGGGUCAAGUUAGGUAAUGCAGCACGAGUGUACAAGUCAUUAACGGUAUAGUACUAGCAUUGUAUGUUCAUUGGUGUGUGCAUUACCCACUUUACCCUUAGUGGGUUGAUGCUUACACUUCCGAUGUGUAGCUAUUCAGCUGUUGUUUCAGCUUUGCGCUUCUAAGUAGCCAUUACCAUUGAUUUGUAAUUGCUGCUAAUCAUCAUGCAAGUCAUUGAGUUUCUGCAAAGAGAUCUAGGGGUUACAUUGAAUAAUUGGAGCAUCAUCACGCGCACAUGAAUGCAUUGAGAAAAACAUUAACUCAAUCCUUUAUAGUGGAAGUGUAACUGCUGGCUUUUUCUCUUCUAAAUUUUUCACAAAAUGAAUUCAGCAGAUGUAAAGAGUUGGAUCAUUAGAGUGAGCAAUUAUGGUUUCUUUAUUACAAUAGUAAUGGAUGGAAGAUGAGGGACCUGUUGGAAACGUCUGAAUAGAAACUGAAAGAUUUUUGCUUUUCUGAAGCAUUUGUUAAGUAGUUUUUUUUAACAACCCGAAUAAUGAAGGACAUUAACACAGAGUACGGUUGCAUGAGUUGCUUAAACUCUAUAUUACCAAGGUGGUCCUUGAAGAGGCAAGGUUUCUUGCACUAUGUUUUUCAGGUAGAUACUAUCUCUGUAUAUAUCGAAUUCCUGAAUGAAACAGUGACAAUAUUGUGCAGUUUAAAAUUGGUAAUUAUAUUUGUAACUGUAUUAUUGAAUUUUCAUGUUUGCCAGCAACUGAGGUACACCUGUGAGGCAAGGGAUUUGUCCAGCAGCAGCUUUCUGAUCAAGGUACUUCCUAAAACAAUUGUUCCAGUUAAUUAAUGCAUUAUUGGUGUUCAUGCGUUUGCUGUACUAGAAUUACAAUUGUGUUCAGCAACUGUUUUAUGCAAUUUAGACUUGCUAAUUAGUCUUAUAUUGUCCUUUUCAACUUAUCUGCAAGCCUAUAUGUCAGUUAAAUUGCAGUAGUUAUGGUAGGGGAAACAUAAAUAGGCACUAAUUAACAAAAGCACACCAAACAUUCCUAAAUAUCUAAGCAUGUGAUAGUUUUAUGGCUAGGGGCUCCUGUUUGUUGAUUAUUUGAGGAGAAAUAAGUUACAAUUUGAAAUAGUUCAAUCUUAGAAUAAAGGAUUUACAAAUAGUUGUAUGAUUUUCUUUCUAAUCAUUACAAUUGAAAGGACAAAAGUGAUUCAAUUUUUUUUUUAUAAAUGUUUUCACAGUAAAUUUUGUAAAAAUUCUUACUGACUUAUGAUUAUGUGAUUAAAUGACCAUUUGGUUACUUUUACAUUUCUCCACUUAAACAAAUUAGUGUUUUUUAUUCUAUUUGUACAUUUAAAAAUCACUACACUUUUUCAUUUUCUUAUGAUAUUGAUAGUAUUUUUUACUUUCUUAAUCUCCUGAUACAUCACAAAUUAUAACAUUGGUACUCACUCCUGCGCAUUGCACAGUCUUUUCCCCUAGUUGACUCAUAUAUCUACCAGUUAAUUAGUGAUUUUGGGAAUGUAGGCAUAAUCUCUAGUUCCUAUCCUGGAUUUUGGAAACAAUAAUGGCUCCAAGACAAGUCUCGAUUUUCUUCAACAGGAGAAUCCAAGGGAAGACCCAAUUAUACCGAAGAAAUGCACUUACACUCCUAGUUUGAAUCCUGAAUCGAUAACCAAGAAGGCAAUUCGCGAUCUAGCCAUCUUUGACAAGUUGAUUAUUGUCGGUUCUUAUUACUCUGCAAUCCAAUUACACUAAAGGAAUGCACUAACACUCGUGGUUUGAACCCUCUAUCUAUAAUCAAGAAUGCAAGUUAUGGCCAACUUAUAUUUGACAAGUUGAUUAUCGUGAUUCUCAUUACUCCGCAGGAACUUUUACGGCUCUAUACUUUCGAAGCGAAAGGGACACUAAGAGCUAGUUUUAAGCUUCUUUUGCAUUGUUUUUCUAUUUGUCAGUAAUCUUCAUCUCUUUUAUAAAUCAAAAACAUAUAUAAACGUGGAGGAAUUGGUGUGCAUGGUCAAUAUAUCAUGUGACAUGCUAAUUUUAAGAUAUCUAGGGUCGACCUUUAUUUAAGAUUUUGGUUAAUCAUAGGUAAUACCUUCUAAGGUUUAGUGUAUUUCAUUUAAACCGUUUGGUUAUUUAAACUCAUAAAAGGAAUUGUAACCCUGUUUUAGGUUAUUUGUCAGCUUACCCUUGGUAUUAGUUUUUAGGCAAUGCACCUCUUCAUUGAUAAUAAGGUAAUUGUGAUAUUAAAACAGCUAAAAUACAAAGGUGUACCCGCAUCAUUAUAAUUUCUUUUUUUUUUUUCUUUUAAAUACCUUAGUCCACGUUAAAGCAUAUGCUAUAUUGAAAAGAAAAAUACGAAAGUUAACACAUGUCAAACUUUUCUUUUAAUUUAUAGUGUUUAAAGUUAAAAGCGCCGUUGCCGUAAUAGUAAUUCAAAGGUUUUGAGUGAUAAAAAAAAUAUAACAUAAGAGCCUAAAGCAUGCCUUUCAUUCUUAAUAAAUUUCGAAUUUCAAUGUAGUAAAAGUUCUGUACAGUGGCUUGGAUAAGUUAUUUGGAUAUUUUUAACACACAACACAAAAUAAUUCUCCUUAACGAGAUUCCAUCUGUUUUACAUUUUAAUGGAAGAAAUCAGUGCAUUGAGUUUUUUAGGUCCCACCAUCCUUGUACAAUACAUAUUUUCUUGGAAAACAUGAGAAUAAUGGAUGAAGACAUUUUAACCUAGACAGUAUACGUGUCAUAUUCAUUCCCUAAAUUUAGUUGUGUACAUGUAAAAUAAAGGAUUUAUCUAAUGGGUGCUCAAUGGGCACUCGUUAAAAUAUAUUUCAGAUAUUAAAUUUUUAGAAAUGUAAGACUAAUUAGGAAAAAUAUAGGAAAAAUCGUCCAAAACGUCCCUCACAUUUUGUAAAAUAACUUUUUUCGUCUCUCACUUUUAAAAGUGUAAUUUUAUGUCCUUUACAUAUUCAUAUCGGUCAAAUUUAGUCCCUAACUAGAUUUCCAAUCAUUUUUUGGCCGGAAUCUAUCAUGUGCAAGGCACGUGAUCAUUUUUGAAGGGUAAAUUUAUCAAAUUAUAUUUUACAUAAUCUGAUCUAUAGUCCUCCACAUUUUAUAAAAUAAAUUUUUCGUCCCUCACAUUUUAUAAAAUGAUUUUUUUUUCAUCCCUCACAUUUCACAAAAUGAAUUUCUCCAUCCCUCACAUUUCAAAAAAUGAAAUUUUCAUUUCUCACUAAUUAUGUGUGUGAAUACAUUUUUUUUAAACACAUGUAUAUGUCUAUUUGAUUUUGCUUAAUAAUAAUAGCAUAAACACAUGUAUGUAAUUGGGCCCAACUUGUGGACUAUCUUCUCUUCUUGUAUGAUUAUGACUAAUAUUUACCAAUAGAACCUUAAUUUGCAUAUUCUUAUUGUAUUUUGACCGAAAAUAGUUUUAUUGGCCAACUUGACAAUGAAUGCAAGAUUUUUUACUAGCUAAUACCAGAUGAAAUCAAAUGAUCACGUAUAAUAUAUGGUAUUCGUAUUGUUAAGUGAAAUCAAAUAGACACAUACAUAUAUUUAUGCUAUUCGUAUUAUUAAGCAAAAUCAAAUAGAUAUAUACAUGUGUUUAAACAAAAUGUAUUCACACACUUUUUUUUUAGGGUUUCCCUCACACACAUAAUUAGUGAGGGUUGGAAAUAUUCAUUUAUUGAAAUGUGAGGGAUGGAGAAAUUUAUUUUGUGAAAUGUGAGGGAUGAAAAAAAUCAUUUUAUAAAAUGUGAAGGACGAAAAAUUUGUUUUAUAAAAUGUGGAGAACUAUAGAUUAGAUUAUGUAAAAUAUAAUUUGACAAAUUUACCCUUCAAAAAUGAUCACGUGCCUUGCACGUGAUGGAUUCCGGCAAAAAAAUGAUCGGAAAUCUAGUUAGGGACUAAAUUUGAUCGAUGUGAAUAUGUAAGGGACAUAAAAUUACAUUUUUGAAAGCGAGGAACGAAAAAAGUCAUUUUACAAAAUAUGAGGAACAUUUUGGACGAUUUUCCCAAAAAUAUAUGAAUGUAAAGAAAAGUAAUAAUCGUUAGUAUGUACAUGGUAGUAAUAAUUAUUAGUACGUACAGACAUGAUAGGAUGUGGAAUUUAAGUGUGUUAAUAAAAAACGUUAAAAAAUAAUUUACCAGCCUUUAUUUUUUUUCCAUGUAAGUGAAAAUGACAAUUCAAAUGUACAUGGCCAUAUAUUGUAAGAAGGUAAGUGACACGUUAUUAUCUUCCGUAAAAGGUAUAAAAUCUUGUGUAGAUGAAAUUGACAUCCAGUCCACUAAAUCUUGUUACUCAAUGUCACUAAACAGGACAAUCCGCUUUUCCAUUUUGGCUAAGACUCAUCAAUUCGGCAUUAAAUAUGAAUCAACAAUAAAUCAAGAAAUGACCCCUAUAUAAAGGACCGCUACCAACCUCACAUCACUGCACAAUAGUUGAUAGUUGACUCUUGAUAGGUAAAGCAAGAAAAAUGGCUGUUAAAAUGAGUUGGAAAGCAACCAUUUUGAUCUUUUUCAUGAUGUUAAAUUUCUGGGGAUUUCUCAUGAGUUGCAAUGCAAGAAUUAUUGUUGAGAAUAAUCGCUCAGUUGAUAGCAAAUCUCUGUUUCAUAAGCUGGGCUAUGAUGUCGCUGAAUACCAGAAGAAGAAUGCCCGAUUGUUGAGACAAGCACCGGGCGGACCUGAUCCUCAUCACCAUGCCACCCCACCACAGCCACCAACCAUAUGAUAGAUGUCUUUGAUGUAUGUAUAAAGUAUUCAAGGCUGCAGGCAUAUGUUUGAUCUUUAGAUCGCUUGUAAUAGUAAUACUUAGUGGAACUGAAAUUUCCAAUUCAAUAAAAAAAAAAAAGAGAAAAAAAAUCUAUGAGAUGACUAAUUAGAUCAAUCCAUGAAGCCUUCAGAUCAUUUCAAAUAUAUGUUGAGAAUCGAAGUCAAGAAAUUUUGAAGUUACUAUAGAUUUGAUGGUGCGCAAUAUAGUUAAACAUGAUUAUAAGUUUCUCAAAUCUAGACAACUAGGCAUAAAAACUACUCUUCAAGAGGAGACUUCAACCCUUACAUAGGAGGAAGGGGCAGUGGCACUUAAUUUUCCAAAAUGAAGAUCUUUAUUACUUACAGGGCAUCUGGUGUCUCGAAUUGGGUGGUUUGGAAUUCCUGGUUUCCUCAAUUCUGUGUCCAAGUAAUGCGAAAUAUAAAGGGAUUAUGGAGAAAACAAAAUUUUUAUGCUAUAAUGGAAAAGAAAGUUUAAGGAAGCAAAAUGAGCACCCAAUUUUACCCAGUACUAAUUGAGCUAUUCAACAAUAAAAGUAGAGACUAAAUUAAGAGAUUUAUAUAGGUUAAUGGGCAAAAGCUCAAGCAAAAUGUCAUAUGAAGCAACAAUAACAAACUCUAUACAUGAACCAUGGUUCUUCAAUGAAAGUCACAGGCCUAUGUAUCUUUUGAGAGGUAUAGUCCUUUGUUUCCAAUAUUUUAUCAUCAAGUUAUGUACGUGCAAAUAUGAUCUAUGCAAACCGGUUAAGAUAUCCCAUGUAUGAUUUGAUCUAGAACUCCAUACUAGUGUCAAUUGUUGCAUGUUUGCCGUUGAAUUUUCUUAAAGAUCUGCAUAAAUGGCUUCUUACAAACUAUUAGAUUAAGCCUCUGAAAUUCUAUUAAAGUAAUUUAAUUAAGGAUAAAUUACUUAUAACCUCCUGUGAUUUUAUAUAAUGCCAAAUGACCCCUAUAUGGUUACGAAAUAGCCACAAUACCCCUCUAUGGUUUUAUGUAAAGUAAAAAAUAGAUGGAAUGCACAAUCACUUACACUGUUUAUACCAAAUGCACUCUAAAAGCAUGUGUGGUACAAUCUUAAUCUGCAUGUAACCCUCUUAUGAUUUAUAUAAAUAUCCACUUUAUCUUUUUGUGAAUUUUGCAUUUAUCCAUAUAAUCCCCAUAUACUUUUAUAAAAGUAGUUAGGCUGGUCGAUUGAUUUGGUAUGUAAAUAAGGGUACUAUUGGUAUUUUAAUUAACGACGUUAUAUAGGAUAUUUUCUUUCAAGUUUUCACUUUAUAAAAAAUCAUAGGUGAUUGAAUAUUUUGAAAUAUUAGAGGGGUCAUAUGGCAAUAAAUGAAACUAUAGAGAGGGUUAUAUGUUAUUUACCCUUUAAUUGAUGACCAUGACUACGUAGAAGUUGGAUGCUUCAAAAUUAGGACAUGAUAAUAAUAGUUAAUAAGUUUCUGUUUGAUCAAUUUCCCCCCCCCCCCCUUGGUCACUCAUGUUCUUGGUUUUUCUUUAAUUUGAUGAAAAUAAAGGUGAAGCAAUAUUUUUGUGAGUUAGAACGCCACCUUGCAAGUCCUAUAGGCAGGGUUUUUUGUUAAAAUUUUUAAAUUUAAAAAGAGAUUCUAAAUCUUACAACGAUGAUAAUAAAAAAUAAAAAAUUGAAGAGUCGAAAUAAAUUCCUCACGAUGGCUUUGAAUUGACUCAUAUAUCUACCAAUUAAUUAGUGAUUUUGGCAAUGUAGGUGUAAUCUUCAGUUCCUAUACUGGAUUUUGGAAACAAUGGCUCCAAGACAAGUCUCGGUUUUCUUCAACAGGAGAAUCCAAGGGAAGACCCAAUUAUACCGAAGAAAUGCACUUACACUCCUAGUUUGAAUCCUCUAUCGAUAAUCAAGAAGGCAAUUCGCGAUCUAGUUAUCUUUGACAAGUUGAUUAUUGUCGGUUCUUUUUACUCUGCAAUCCAAUUAUAUUAAGGGAAUGUACUAACAAUCAUGGUUUGAACCUUCUGUCUAUAAUCAAGAAUGCAAUUCAUGGCGAACUUAUAUUUGACAAGUUGAUCAAGAAUCAUUACUCUUUUGACAAAAAAAGGGUUUAGAAUAUUCCUUUUCUUGUGUCGAAAACUAGAAAGACGAAUAAUCUCUUCAAGAAGAGAUUGUUUGUUUCCUAUAUGUCCCUUCUCUUACCCGAUUACUUUUGUCAGGUAUCUAACAAUGUUUUCAGAACCGGACCGGUGGUUGUUCAAGAACCGGUCAAAACCGUCCAAUCCGGUAAACUGGGUCAAACCGCUAAUCUCCGGUUUUUUAGUUUUCCUUCAAUGUUUUUUUUUUUAAGUUUUGCAAAAUGUGGCUAGUAAGGAUUGAACUCAAGACCUUUACUGACCAAUAGAGUAACCAUUGCUCCAUCAUAUCCAUUUAGUCUCUUGUUUUACCACAUUUAUAUAAAAUAAAUUUCCAUUUUUCUUUCCUCCGUUUUCCCUAUAAAAUCUCAUGCUCUCAUAACUUUUUGUUUAUAAUUUUCAACUCUCUCUCUCUCCUCUUUUCUUUUGUCACCCCUUUUUAAUCAAACAUCUUUAGUUUUAAUUUAUUGAUAUUUUCUUCCAUCUUUUAAUUUUGUUUUUGUCUAUUAAAUUGAAUUUUUUUUAAAAAUAAUUGUUUUUCUUUAACCAUAAAACCUAAUUAUUAAAUGCCACAAUCACUCACUUUCAUCUCAUUUUUUUGCUUCUUAUCAAGUUUGCAUCUCUAUUUUCAAUUCUCCUGACUUCUUCCAAACUCCACACUUCAAACUUUUUUUUAAGAUGUAAUCUCUAAAUCCCAAAAAUGUGAAUUAAAAUUUGAACUCAUAAUGUCUAAUUCCCAUAGAUGUGAAUUUUGUAUAAUUUUAAAAUAUUGUGAUAUUGUUGGGUGGGAUUUAAGAUUAUUUUUUUGGUAAAUAUAAUUGAGAUUGAGAUGAAAUUUACUUGUUUCAACUUACAAUUUAAAAAAUUUAUUUUUGAAAAUCCAAGUUUUUUUAAAAUAUUAAACUUUUCAUCAUAUAAAGUCUUAAAUUAGUCCAUUGCAUGUCUUAUUUUGUGCAUAUAUAUAUUUAUAUAAAUUAUUUUUAAAAAAUUCAUUGAACUAGAGUUGAACCGGUUCGAUCGGUUGUCCGACCGGUUGAAUCUUGACUCGAACACUUCACCGGUUCAAUUAACGGUCCGAGUUUUAAAACAUUGGUAUCUAAUUCAAUUGGAUUCUAUUUAGGAUCUAAAACUAUUGAUCCGUUUUAUAACAUUGAAAUCGGGCAAUAGUAACAUAGUCCCGUCGCCCCAAUUUGACUAAAAAAAAUAAAGAAAUAGGGUGAAAGUAAAAUAGGAUUUUUAAUACCAUGACUAGCAAUGUGACAAAAGAAAUUCCCAGCAUCUCGUAGAAAAAGUAUAAAUAAGCAACCGCAAGUCUCUGCAAAAGCUUUUACCGCUCUAUACUUUGGAAGCGAAGGGACACUAAGAGCUUGUUUUAAGCUUCUUUUGCGUUAUGUUUCUAAUUGUAAGUAAUCUUCAUCUCUUUUAUAUAUCAGCAAACAAAUAUAAAUAUGGAGGAAUUGGUGUACAUGGUCAAUAUACCAUGUGACAUGCUAAUUUUAAGAUAUCUAGGGUCGAUCUUUAUUUAAGUUUUUGGUUAAUCAUAGGUAAUGCCUUCUAAGGUUUAGUGUAUUUCAUUUAAACCGUUUGGUUAUUUAAACUCAUAAAAGGAACUGUGACUAUGUUUUAGGUUAUUCUUCAACUUACCCUUGGUAUUAGUUUUUAGGCAAUUGACCUCUUCAUUCAUAAUAAGGUAAUUGUGAUAUUAAAAUAGCUAAAAUACAAAGGUGUACCCGCAUCAUUAUAAUUUCUUUUUUUCUUUUAAAUACCUUAGUCCACGUUAAACCAUAUGCUAUAUUGAAAAGAAAAAGAAAAAAGUAUGAAAGUUAACACAUGUCAAACUUUUCUUUUAAUUUAUAGGGUUUAAAGUUAAAAGCACCGUUGCCAUAAUAGUAAUUCAAAGGUUUUGAGUGAAAAAAAUAAUAAUAUAAAAGCCUAAAGCAUGCCUUUCAUUCUUAAUAUGAAAAUUUCCAAUUUCAAUGUAGUAAAAGUACUGUUCAGUGGCUUGGAUUAGUUAUUUGGAUACUUUUAAUACACAACACAAAGUAAUUCUCCUUAAUGAGUUUCCAUCUAUUUUACAUUUUAAUGGAAAUCAGUGUAUUGAUUUCUAAAGGUCCUGCCAUCCUUGUACAAAACAUAUUUUCUUGGAAAACAUGAGAAUAAUGGAUGAAGACAUUUUAACCUAGGUGUAGACAAUGGAAUUUUAAUUAAUUCUUAAAAUUACCAUUGGUCUAUAAAUUAUUUUUACAGCUUAUUUUUAUCCAAUCGGAUAUUGCCAUAUGUCAUGUACACUUGGAAGUUUGGCUAUUCGUCAGCCAAUUAUAUCUCUCCACAUGUCAAGAUGAGGUGUUGCGGCCAAUUAAAAUUGCCAGGAUAUCCCUAUCAAUUAAAUUACGCCACAUCACAUGUCUAUAUGAUUAGACAAAAUUAUGGAUAAAUAUCUAAAUAAUUAUUUCUUUAUUAAAGGGAUAAUAUCUGGAGUUAUUUAAUCCAUGUAGAUGUCUUAUAUACUGCAAUAACUUAUCCAAUCAAAUGGCGCCGUGUCAUAAGUCCCUACAAGUUUGGCCAAUCAAGAGACUACUUAUUAGUAUUAUCUCUUUAUUAAUAAAUAUAAAAUAAAGAGAUAAUAUUUAAAUUGGUACAGUCCUAAUAUGACGGCACGUCUUGUAAGACAAGUAGAGUGGUAUACAUAUUUUUCACUUCUACCUCUUGCUACAGCUAUAAAUAGGGGUCUCUUAACCAAAUCAAGGGGACACCAAGAGGCAUCUCAUACGCUCAAGCAUUGAAGCUCCAAGUUACAAAGGUUUGGAUCUUCAAGCUCUCCAAGUCUUCCAUAUAUCAAGACUUCAGCCUUCAAAUAUCUUCUAAAGUUCUUCAAAUAUUUCAUAUCAAGAUUUGAAAGAAUCGAUGGUGGAUUCAAGAACAAGUUGCGAAGCUCUUGGAUUGGCGUUCGAGGAGAAGAAUCGAAGGAAACUCUCUACAAGUUCGAGAAAAUUUUGAAAAUUGUAGUCACAUAUUUCCUUAAAUUUAUAUAUUACAUAUUUGUCGUGUAUUUUUCUUGUCAUUUUACAGACAGAAAUUUUAUUGCGUACAAAUUUUUGGCACGUCCGGUGGGAAUUUCUGCCUUCCAUCUCUUCUUGUCGAAUAUUCAACUACAUAUAUCACCAAUGGCACCAAAGAACAACAAGUCCAUAACUGCUCGUUCCAAAGCAAUUAAUGCCAAACCUGUUCAGAAAACUACACAUGUUACCAUCAAUACUCGCGCUAUUGGUCUUGUGAUAAGGAGUAUGACGAGAACUUCCACCCAAAGUAGCAUGGAAGCUCCAUCGGCAUUAACUCCCAUCUUUGGUUCAACAUCACCAAUGAGCUAUUUUUUCACGAUGGGGAUCAAAGACAUUCCUACCUCGAUUGAGAAGGCUCUUGCCAUGUUCAAAUUUGGAUCCGAAUCCAAAUUUUCUAAGUAUGAUGAUGAUUCAUCAAGCACUGGAUCAGCCUCUUCACAUGAAACUCUUCAAUCAAGGUUUUUUAUUGAAGAUUUUGCUGUUUCUUCUGCUGCAGUGCCUGCUAUGAUAAGAAACAUUUUAAAUCUCGAAAAACAAGUUUCGAACAUGUCCAAGAUGAUGGAGACAAUGAUGAAAUACAUCAAGGACCAAGAUGUUCUUAUCGCUCAACUGCUCACCCAGAAAGAUCACGCUCCUAAAGGAAGCUAUGUAAAUCCGAAGGAGCACCAAGAGCGUGAAAUUCGCUUAUCUAAAGGCAAGGACAAGGUGAAGGAAGUAUAUGUGACCGUCGAGAGAACUAUCCCUGUAGAACAACUAAAGGAAUUUGUUGAAGACGUGAUUAAAGACAAAAAGGAGGGUGAUUCAAAGUCAAGAUUUACCUACUCCAAACCUUACACUGCUAGAAUUGAUAACCUCUUAAUGCCUGCUGGAUAUCAACCGCCUAAGUUUCAACAGUUUGAUGGAAAAGACAGUCCAAAACAACAUGUGGUCCAUUUCACUGAGACCUGUAAUAAUGCUGGAACUUAUGAUGACCUACUAGUCAAACAGUUUGUUCGAUCUUUGAAGGGCAACGCAUUUCAUUGGUACACUGAUCUCACACUAGAGUCCAUCGACAGUUGGGAACAGUUGGAGCAAGAGUUCUUCAAUCACUUCUACAGCACUAGAAGAACCAUUAGUAUAUUGGAAUUGACUAACACUCGCCAAUGGAAAGUUGAACCCAUGGUCAACUACAUCGAUUGAUGGAGAAGUUUAAGUCUUAACUGUAAAGAUAGACUGUCUGAACUCUCUGCCAUAGAAAUGUGCAUCCGAGGAAUGCAUUGGAACUUAAGUUACAUUCUACAAGGUAUACGUCCAAACACAUUUGAAGAAUUAGCUACUCAUGCGCAUGAUAUGAAAUUAAGCAUCACAACCAAUGUAACUGAUGAGAUUCUUAUUCAAGCUCCGCGAGUACAACUGCCCCGUCAAAGCAAUGAAAGACAAGAAAAUAAAAAAGGGGGCAAAUUUCCUCCAAAACUCAGAUAUAACGAGUCCACGGCAAUAAACACGGCUCCCAUGAAAAUUGAUAUUAAUGUAAGCCAAAAGGUCACCGAAAAGUUAGACUCUUCUCAAAAUAAGUCGAUAAGAAGAUCCACUUUAAAAGAAAUGUAAGAAAAAAAAUAUCCCUUCAUUAAAUCUGAUUUACAAGGGAUGUUUGAUGAUCUUUUCAAGGAGAAACUCUUUGAACUUUCCGACAUGAAUCACCCAGAAGAAAUCGGUCAAAUUAAUGAUCCAAAUUAUUGCUAUUAUCAUCGCUUGAUUGACCAUCCUCUCACUAAAUAUUUUGUCUUUAAAGACAAAAUUAUAAAAUUAACCCGUCAAGGAAAAAUCCUUCUCGAGGAGGAUAAAGUAUCGACAAACCAAACAACAAUAAUGUUUGGGUCUGUGUGCUGCUUGAUAGAAGUUCUAUCCACAUCAAGCAGUGCUUUGUCUGUAAAAAAGGAGUUUGAAAAACCUUCAAUUGAAAAUGUUAUUAAAGAUGAUAAUGAAAGAUGGAUUUUAGUCACUCGAAAGGGGACUCUCAAGCCAAAGAUUAAAAAAAAAUAUCUUUUCAAAAAACAUUGGUUCGACAAAAGCUAAAAUGACAAAAAAACAAUGAAAUGCAAUAAAGAAACAAAAAGGAAUGGCCACGACACCAAUUCCUUCAAAUCUUCAGCUUCUUCAAGAGGUCGACAAUCUGUGACACUGAAAGAAUUUAUGCCCAAUGGAUAUUUAAGUGGCGAUGAUGAUAAUUCUAUUUCUUGUAAUGUCAUCAAAGUUGAAAAUCCUCAAAUCGCACGAAUUAGCACUGAAUUUGAGAAAAAACUCAAAAUCGAUGAUAAAUCACCGAUGGAUUGUGCAACGACUCUCAUUUUUUUAUGAUGACGAUUUAACAGUUGAUUUUAAAAUCUAUAAUCGACCUAUAUUUAUUAGUGCAUAUGUUCGAGAACAGAAGAUGAAUCGGAUACUUAUUGAUGGAGGAUCUGCUAUCAAUAUCAUAUCCGUACGUGCUAUGAAAGAACUAGAAAUUCAAACGAUGAACUCUUCCAGAGCCUCCUCAUGAUCCAAGAAUUUAACCAAGGGGGGCAAAGAAUAAUUGGCCUCAUAAGACCUGAAUUGCUUAUUGGUGAAUUGUUUUUAAGAGCGUUAUUUCAUUUUAUUUACGUCAAAACCUCUUAUAACAUGCUUUUGGGAAGACUCUAGAUUCAUGAGAAUAAAAUUAUACCGUCUACUCUUCAUCAAUAUUUCAAAUAUUGUCAAGACGGUAUAGUUAAGAGAGUUACUGUCGAUGAUAAACCUUUCACUGAGGCCGAAACUCACUUUGCCGACGCUAAAUUUUGUCUUAAAAAAGAAGCAAAAAAAAAAAAGAAGCAGUAAGAGAAGAAAGUCAAAAUUUCAAAGUACUCAUUUUACGUUAUAUUCCAAAAUCAAAGAGAGAAGAAGGUCAGUCUUCUUUUAUCAAAAAUGACGCAUUAAAUGUUUCGCUUAUCAAAAUAGAGCCUGUUAAAAAUGAGAAAGCGAACUUGCAAGGAUUUGAUCGUCUCAAAGAAGAACCUGUAGUGAAACAUUACUUACUACCAACUAAAUGGAUUCAAGAAGGUUUUGAUCCAAACGCAUAUAGACUUCUUGUUAGGGUGGAUUAUAACCCAAAUGAGAAGAAUAUAUUUGGCAAAUUUCCUCCUGAAGUGACAGGCAAGAAGACUCAUGGAUUGACGUCUACGCAGAAAAUAUUGAAAGAAAAAGGCUAUAAUGUUAAAAAUUCAUCGAUGGGUCUUGGUUAUCAACUGUCUUCUCCUGUUCGUAUAAUGAUCAAAAGGACAAGUUGUAACUAUGUGAACGAAGAAAUGGAGGUCACAAGCCGAAAGAGGUCUGUUUUCGAUAGAUUGGGGAAUAAGUCAAAACGUGCUUCUGUAUUUGAUAGAUUUGACCCGCAAUUGAAGAAUUUGAAACCGCCUAUCUUCGAGAGAUUAGACAGUAAAAAACAUGAGUACCAAGUUGUCAAAGAAGAAAAUCUUAUUCCAAUAAGGAAGAAUAGUUCGAGAAAAUGAGUUUCCAAUUUCUUUUACGCAUUAUGAAAAUUUGUUUAACGUAAGAAUCGAAACCAUCUUUGAAGAAUAGGGUCAAGAAAGUAUUGUUUCUUGCCAUCAUAUUACUAUUAGUGAUCCCGAAGAAGAAGAAAAAGAUGUGGAUGACGCUUCCCCUGAAUUUGAAUAAGGAGUAAAAAAUACAGUCAAUAUAUUAAAAGAAAUUAACCUUAGUACAAUUGACGACUCUCACCCAAUUUACAUAAGUUCUUGUAUGAUUUCUGAAGAAGAGAAAAAGUAUGUUGAUUUGCUGUUCGAAUUCAAAGAUGUCUUUGCCUGGAAUUACUUAAAAAUGCCUGGUUUGGAUCCAAGGAUCGCUAUUCAUAAUUUGUCUGUCAAGUGAGAAACAAAACCUGUUAAGCAAACUCAAAGACGCUUUCGAUCCGAAUUGAGUCCUCUGAUAGAAAAUGUGAUAAAUAGAUUAAUUGAAACUAAAUUUAUACGAGAAGUGAAAUAUCCAAUAUGAAUUUCAAGCAUUGUCCCUGUGAGGAAGAAGAAUGGACAAAUUCGAAUUUGUAUUGAUUUUCGAGAUUUAAACAAGACUUGCCCCAAACAUGAUUUUUCACUUCCCAUCAGAAAAUUGACAGUAGAUGCUACAACAGGAUAUGAAGCACUAUCUUUUCUCGAUGGAUCGUCUGGCUAAAAUCAAAUACGCAUGGCAGUCGAGAAUGAGAAGCACACUAUCUUUCGCACUUUCAAGGGAAUUUAUUACUAUAAAGUGAUAACGUUUGGCUUGAAAAAUACUAGAGCGACAUAUCAUAGGGUAAUGCAAAGAAUUUUUGAUGAUAUGCUACAUAGAAAUGUGGAGUGCUACGUUGACAAUCUUGUGGUGAAAUCAAAGAAGCGAGAAGAUCAUAUUCAACACCUUCGAAGAGUUUUUUCAAAGCUUUCGGAGAUACCAACUGAAAAUGAAUCCUUUGAAGUACUCAUUUGGAGUCACUUCUGGCAAAUAUCUCAAUUUCAUCAUUCAUCAACGGGGAAUAGAAGUCGAUCGAUCUAAAAUUGAUGCCAUUGUAAGCGUGCCUGAACCGUAAAAUUCCAUGAAUUGAAGAGUUUUCAAGGAAAGUUGGCUUACAUCAGGAGGUUUAUCUCUAAUUUGGCCGGACAAUGCCAACCCUCUAGUCGGCUGAUGAAAAAAAGGGAGCCCUUCGAGUAGGAUGAAGUGUGUAGAAAUGCUUUUAUGAUCAUUAAAACGUACUUCAUGAAUCCCCCUGUGUUAGUUGCGCAAAUUCCAGGAAAACCAUUAAUCCUCUAUAUUUUCGAUGAAGAACGAUCGGUUGGGGUCUUACUUGCUCAAAAAAGUGAUGAACGUAAGGAGAAUAUGCUGUAUUACUUGAGUCAAAUGAUGACAUCUAACGAGUUGAAUUACUCACCUAUCAAGAAGUUGUGUUUGACACUUGUGUUUAUCAUUCAGAAGUUGAAACAUUAUUUUCAAAGACACUAUUCGACUCAUAUCCAAGUCUAAUUUCAUUAAAUAUGUCAUGGCAAAACUUGUACUGUCUGACCGACUUACGAGAUGGUACUUUCAGUUUCAACAAUUCGAAAUUAUGUAUGUACCUGCGAAAGCUGUCAAACGAGAAAUAUUGGCAAACUUUCUAGCCGAUCAUCCCAUGCCUGCCGAGUAGGAGUUGACUGAUGAAUUUUUCGAUGAAGAAGUGUUUAUGGUCGAAUUUUCGUGGUCGAUGUAUUUCGAUGGAGCUGCUCACUGUGAUGGAAUUGGUACGAGAGUUGUCUUUUAUACUCUUGAAGCAGAUAUAUUGUCGUACUCUUUCACUUUAAUAUGUCAGUGUUCAAACAAUGUGGUCGAGUAUUAGGCAUUAAUUCUCGAUUUUGAAACGGCUGUAGACAUGAAACAGUUGUAUCUUAGAGUCUAUGGUGAUUCCAAAUUAGUGAUAAAUCAACUUUUUUUUAUUUAUGAUAUCAAGAACCUGAAUUGAUAUCAUAUUAUAAGUAUGCAAGAUAACUCAUGGGAUAUUUAGACAAUAUCACUAUAGAACAUAUCUUUAAAAAAUUCAACCAACAAACUGACUCUUUGGCAAGAUUGGCGUCCAUGAUCACUCUACCUUCUCAUCGAAAUCAAAUUUCAAUAUGUUAAAAUUGGGUCAUACCUCUAAUGUUCGAUGAAAAAGAUAAUGGUGGGGAAGAAAAUGUUUAUCACAUUUUUGUUCAUGAAAUUGAAAAGGAUGAUUGGCGUCAUCUUAUCGGUGACUACCUUAAUCAUGCAAAGUUAUCAGAAAAUUUCAAAAAAAGGGUUUAUAUAAUCGUCGAGCGUCACGGUCCAUUUACUACAAAGAGACGCUUUGCCAAAAAUCAUUUGAUGGAGUGUUUUUACAAUGUCUUGAAGAAGAUGAGGCUAUGCAAGCAAUGGAGAAGGCUCACUCUGAAAUAUGUGGUGCUCAUCAAUUUGAUCCGAAAUUACACUUUUGCGUUAAAAUAAUGGGGUACUACUGGCCAAGAUGGUGAAGGACUGCAUUGAUUUUGCUAGAAGAUGUCAACCUUUUCAAUUCCAUGGCAAUUUCAUCCAUCAGCCUCCUGAACCAUUGCACCUAAGUGUGGCUUCUUAACUGUUCAAUGCUUGGAAUUUGGAUAUAGUUGGACCGCUUCCAAAAUUUUUUGGUGGACAUAUUUUUAUUUUGGCGGCGAUAGAUUACUUCUCAAAGUGGGUUGAAGCAGUUCCUCUAAAAGAGAUAUAAAAGUAGAAUGUAGUAGUUUUCAUUAGUUUCCAUAUCAUUUAUCAGUAUGGAGUCUCACGUUAUAUCAUCACCGAUAAUGAUAAAUUUUUUUGUAAUAUAACAACGAAUAAACUUUGCAAAAAGUUUCAUUUCAAACAAUACAAUUCUUUCAUGUACUACGCUGCUGCAAAAUGGAUUCGUUGAAACAUUCAACAAGACCUUAUGUAAUCUGUUGAAGAAAAUCGUGGAUAAAUAAAAAAGGGAUUGGCAUUUUCGAAUUAGAGAAUCUCUUUGGACAUAUAGAACUACUUUUUGAACUCCCACGCAGGCAACCUCAUACGCGUUUGUUUACAAUGUUGAAACUGUUCUUUCAAUUGAAUAUCAGAUACCUUCGCUAAAAAUCGCGAUUCAUGAAGGACUCAGUGAAGAAGAUAACGUUCAUCUUCACCUUGAGAAGUUAGAAACACUCGAUGAAAAGAGAUUAGAAGGUCAACAACGGAUUGAGUGCUAUCAGCUUGUCUUUCAAAAGCAUUCAAUAAGCACGUUCGACCUCACUUUUUUCAAAUUGGAGAGUUAGUUCGGAGACCGAUCAUUCUCACUCAUGGUGGGUAAAGAAAGUUUACUUGUAUGUGGGAUGGUCUAUAUGUUGUUCGAGAAAUGUAUACAAAUGGUUCAUACAAGUUGGUUGCUGAGGACGGAUUAAUGGUUGGCCCCAUCAAUGGUAAAUACCUAAAAAAGUACUAUGCGUAAUCGGAACCGCACGUGCUCCUGGCCCGCAUGAGCUAAAACUGUGGAUGAGAACCACCAAUAGUGUAGUAUGUGAUUAAACUGUUGAAACACUCCACCAAAUCUAAGGUGGUAAAUAAAUAGAUACUCCUGACCUGCAUGAGAUUAAAAUGUGAACGGCAGGAAUUACGUGUGAUUUGAUUCUCCUUUUGAGAUACGUAGGCAGUUUAGAGGACAAUUCUAUGUUCAAUUACACCACUCCAAAUCAAAUCCCUUUUCCCUGAAAAAAAGGGGAUCUUCUCUUUCUUAAAAAAAAUAAUAAUAAAAUGCUACAUUUGAGUUCUUUUAUCUUUAAAAAAAUCGAAAAUAAGGAACGAAAAACAUUUUACUAGUUAUAGGAGAUUUCAUUACAGAAAGAAAAAAAUAGAUAAAAAAAUUUUUCAGGAAAAAAGAAGGACAUGGUAAAAAGCUUAAAUGUCAAAUUUGCAAUCUACUACAACUAUUUUACAUGAUUCGAGUGCAGAUUCCAUGUUUUCAAGUUUUUUCACUGUGUCAUCAGUUAAGACGUUAGCAUUCUCAAUAGAAGAGAACUCAUCAUGUGCUUGGGUUAUUUCAGUCUGAAUUUUUUUAAAAAUUUCAUACUUUUGAUCGAUAGUUGAGCUGAUUUUCAUGCCUUGUUUUUUCAAAUUGAUAAGUUCCUAUCGCAGAACUUUCUUCCUGUGUUCAAUGGACUGCAAUUUUUCUUCAAGACUUUGCAGAUGACAAGUUAGUUUUUCUUCUUUUGCCUUGACUCUCCCGAGUUGGGCGGUCACUUUGAAAAGAAGUUCUGCAUGUGUUUCUUUACUUAUUUUUUUUCAUGAUGAAGUUGUCAAAAUAUCAUAUGCCCCCAUCUUGGCAAACAAUUCUAUCGGGUAGUCUUUUAAACGGAGGCUAUUCGUAGGAUCCAUCCUUGUGAUUUUUGCAAUAAAUUUUUCUGCGUAUUCUUUUAAAGAAGAGAUCUGCUCAAUAGAAGUGUCAAUAAUCUGCUCACGAAAAUUCAUCCACAAACUUUGCAAGUAUUUUCUUCGAUGCGUUUGGAUUAAUUUUUGUCCAUGAAAUUCUAAAACCAAUGCUACCUUAGGUCUCUUUCGGAUCGCAUGCGAACUAAUCAACUCCUUAUGCAUUGAUGGAUUACAUUCACUGGUGGCAAACUGUCUUGGAAUACUGAUAACGAUUUCGUUACUUUUUUUGUUUGAAAUUGUACCAUCAGUUUCAAGUUCAAUUGGUGAAUUGUUACCAACAUUUUCUUGGCAGAAUUCAAGAAAUGGAAGCUAAAAAAAUGUUACAAAAACAAAGAAAAAAAAAGAGAAAUGGUUACAAAAAAAGGAAAAAAAAAGAAAAAAAGUUGCAAAAAGGAAGAGAAAGAUGAAUGGAGAGAUGAUUACUUUAAGUGACGACAUUUUAACAAGUAAUGGUAUAAAGGAAACCUACGCCAAAUCAGAAGAUGUCCUUUUCUUUGAUCGGUUCCAAUGACGGUUUUGACUACUACUGCCACUCGCCAAUGAAUGGGUUCCUCCUUGGAUAGAUUCGGUGCCCUAAACUUGAGUCCCUUCCUUUUCAAUUGCGUCGAUAUAAUCGUGAUCGUCCACCGUUUCAAUUUCGACAUCUUUUCCCAUGUGAGUUAUGGAUAAAAAUUUUGAAACUUUGGACGGCGUCUUCUUUAUUGGAAUCGCUGGUUGUGCCUCUUUGAUGGCCUGUUGAGAGUCUUUCGAAAACUUAUUUUUUUGUGACAAUAUUUUUCGAGGGACUGCUAGUAAUUUUGUUCUUCUGUAAAGUGGAUGUAGUAAGAUCCGUUCUAAUCUCUAUCGCUCCAUUAUGAUGCACUGACUCAUUGACAAAGGUAACCUUACAUUUCUUUCAAUGAUUGCUGAGGGAUCUUAACGGUGAAUUUAAAGGAAGUUGAAGAGACACUAUUUGACCGAGUUGACCACUAGGCAUCAUAGUCUUUUGUGAUCAAUGGAUGCUUCCUAUGCAUGGGUAUAGUCAUCCGAGAUCGCGUCUGCGUGCGAACUGAGAAAUUCUAUAAUUGAAUAGUCUCACCAAAAGUAUAAGUGUGAGUAAUCUCUUUCAAAUUAUUUGGAAUAUCUUGACAGAUGUCGAAUUGUCUGCUAGACCUAUAAAGAUUAUAUUUUUCACUAAUGAAAGUAUUGUCCUUACGUAGAGUUAAAUGGCAAGAACGUUGACUAAUAAAGUAACUCAUGAGUCUUGAUGAUAAGGAUCCAUCAUCGAUCAACACUUUUUCUUCAUUUUCAGUUCAGCACAGUUUGGGAAGCAUCAAAGGAUUCACUUCUUUGAAGAUUUCCUCAACUUGACCAUAAAAUAUUGUCAUUUUCUCACCACUAAAUCUCGUCAUGCUCGCGUGGUGGCUACUCACUUGGUGAUUCUCAUAAUAUACAUCAAAAUAUUGGCCAAUCCAAGUAUAAACGUAAUGGAUUGGAAGAGUUACCCCACAUUCUCUAAGGUUAGGGGCGUAGACGAUCUCUCUCAACUCAUGAUAUAUGCUUGCAAGAACGGGAAUUGGAAGACAAAAUUUUUUUCUUAUGGCCAUUAAACAUGCAACCUUGAAAACACUUGGGCGAAUGCGAUUAACCUUUUUGCUCAGCAAAAGAAACUUGCAAAUCCAACACGCUAUGAAUACCGUAAUAUAAGUUUCCUUUCUUAAAAAUUCUGGGACAUCCAAUGUGUCAAAAGGGACGUUGAAAUCCUUUGUAUCAAUAAGAUCAGGAGGCUCUACGCUUCGAGAAGGGUUGUAGGUCAUUUUUGGCUUAGAUGUGGUCUUUCUUCUAUUCACCCUAUUCUGAGAAGCCCUAUACCUAGCCUCUCCUGUGAACCAGAAGCGGAUCCAGUCUUUCAUUCAUACUCCUUGGUCAUUCGUUCAAAGGUGGUAGUAAGCAGAAAAGAGAUGCCUGCAACUCUUAGGGAGAAGUGGAUUUCCUUCUUUAUCAUGAGUGAAAAGUUCCUGCGCUGAACGAACAACUUCAUCAAAGAACGAGCCAUCGAUCUAAAGGCUACCAAGUUGAUAAAGGUCCCAAAGUGUGAUGGACAACUCCCCAACGGACAUAUGAAGUGUAUUUGUCGAGGGACACCAAUAUUUGAAGAAAACUCGUAAGAUAUUUUUGCAGCUAUCGUAGAAGAAUCUCGACACGUAGACGGUUUCAAACAUGCCAGCACGUGUGAGCACUUCUUUAUAUCUUCCAAGGAUAUUCUCGACCCACUCCCAAUAAUGAGAGGUGAAGCACGCCUCGCCAAAGAAAGACGAAAAAAUCUUCUAUGUAGUUUUGUCAAUAUUAAAUCCCACGAAUGGAAGCGUGAAUUUAGCUAUUUUUGGAUCUCUAUUAUGAAGUGACGAGUUUAAUACGAUUAUUUCUUCUUCCUUCGACGUAGUAGAAAAAGUCAAUGGUGCUACAACUUCCUUAGUCUACUUGCUAGUUCAAUCUUCAAGAUGAAAGCAUCCUUCAAGGGGCAUAAAAGACUCGGCAAAUGUGCUAAUUGUUGGUUUGUUCACAUAUAAUGACAAACUUUUCGAUUGAGACCCUCCUCUCUCAUCCGUCAAUGAAAUAUGGGGUAACGGCGUGGUGUAGUCUUUAAUUUGCACGGUUGUUGAAAUUUUGUAAAAAAAAAAAAUCAGUUGCUGAAAAACAAAAAAAAAAAAAGAAAUUCUUACAAACUUUUGGUAAUCAGAUUACCUAAGUGGCUGUCUUUUGCCAAGAUCCUGAAUUUGAUUCCCAAACUCGUCGAUGGCUUUUACAAGAGGGCUAGCCUGCAAUGAUUGAAGUCAAGAGCAUUAACGAGUAAUAUUUAUUUGAUGGGAAAUAAGUGAGCCAAAUAUGACAUUGAAGAUUGGACUUGAAUUGGAAUCACGUUACAAAACUAUAUUGUCCUAUAAGACGCAACAGGCUCACAAACCCGAAGUAUUAGUCACAUCAAAUGUGACAAAAUGCAUGUAAACUCCAAGUAUUAGUCACACUCAAGGUGGCAAAGAGAAUUAAAAUAAGCACGCAAGCCAUUAAUAUAUGAAUAUCUAUGAACAAAGGGUUCGGAUAAUUACUUUCAAAUUGCAGUGAUAGCAGCAGCUAAAUUUCGCAAUGGCUCAUGUCCGACGGCGUAGCAAUUUAAAGAUGACACGGGAACAGUUUGCAAAGGACAAGCAUCAGCAGCUUGAUGAUAUCAGCGCGAAGGAAAAAACAAAGGGGGAGAGUUGGCUCUUAUUUUGAUUGUGAAUAAAUUGAUGCCUUGGUCUUGAGUAUUUAUAAUAGAUCUGCGCCGCACGUUCAAGGAGAGUUCAAGUUGAAUAAUGUUCUAAUUUGAAUCCAAAUAGAUUCUUUCCCAUGGAGAUUUAGUUAACAGGCUUGGGGGAUUGGUCUUCUUUUACAAUUGGAAGUUGACCUCUUAUCUAUGAGUCAUCACCGAAAUAUUUCCCAAGUUCUCAGAGAUGGAAUUUGAUUGAAUUCACAAAGGACAAGAAUUCUUGUGCACAUGGUAUACUAGCAAAAGGAAAGCUACAUGCGAGUAAGUGGACAUAAAGCUUCCAAAUGAAGUGAUCCGGCCUCGGGAAAUUGAAAGCACUAGUGCAUGCAAUCAUCAUUCCAUGUUAUCAAUUAAGGGCCAUGACUAGUUUCAAGAAGUUUCAUACAUUAAUGAACUUGAAUUGGAGAUUAAUGUUGUCUUGAUCCUAGGACAACCGAAUUAAGUUGGGAAACAAAAAAAAUGUCGAAACUCGUUCACUCAAAUCCCGCUUCAAUUUUUUUUGGCAUUCAUGAACAAGUUUCGAGGGGGCAUUUAUAGAUAAUGAAAUUUUAAUUAAUUCUUAAAAUUACCAUUGGUCUAUAAAUUAUUUUUACGGCUUAUUUUCAUUCAAUCGGAUAUUGCCAUAUGUCAUGCACACUUGGAAGUUGGUUAUUUGUCAGUCAAUUAUGUCUCUCUACAUGUCAAGAUGAGGUGUUGCGGCCAAUUAAAAUUGUCAGGAUAUCCCUGCCAAUUAAAUUAUGCCACGUCACAUGUCUAUAUGAUUUGGCAAAAUUAUGGAUAAAUAUCUAAAUAAUUAUUUCUUUAUUAAAGGGACAAUAUCUGGAGUUAUUUAACCAUAUAGAUGUCUUAUAUACUGCAAUAGCUUAUCCAAUCAAAUGGCGCAGUGUCAUAGGUUCCUACAAAUUUGGCCAAUCAAGGGACUACUUAUUAGUAUUAUCUCUUUAUUAAUAAUACAAAAUAAAGAGAUAAUAUUUAAACUAGCACAGUCCUAAUAUGACUGUACGUCUUGCAAGACAAGUAGAGUGGUAUAUAUGUUUUCAACCUCUACCUCUUGCUACAGCUAUAAAUAGAGAUCUUUCAACCAAAUCAAGGGGACACCAAGAGGCAUCUCUUACACUCAAGCAUUAAAGUUUCAAGUUACAAAGGUCUGGAUCUUCAAACUCUCAAAGUCUCCCAUAUAUCAAGACUUGAGUCUUCAAAUAUCUUCUAAAUUUCUUGAAAUCUUUCAUAUCAAGAUUUGAAGGAAUCAUUGGUGGAUCCAAGAACAAGCUAUGAAACCCUUGGAUUGGCGUUUGAGGAGAAGAAUCCAAGGAAGCUCUCUACAAGUUCGAGAAAAUUCUGGAGAUUGUACUAACAUAUUUCCUUAAAUUUAUAUAUUACAUAUUUGUCAUGUAUUUUUCUUGUCAUUUUGUAGACUGAAAUUUUAUCGCGUACACUAGGCAGUAUACAUGCCAUAUUCAUUCCCUAAAUUUAGUUGUGUAUAUGUAAAAUAAAGGGUAUGUCUAAUGGGUGCUCAAUGGGCAUUCGUUAAAAUAUAUUUCAAGUGUUAAACUUUUAGAAAUGUAAGACUAAUUAGGAAAAUUAUAUAAAUCUAGGGAAAAAUAAUAAUCAUUAGUAUGCAUAUGGUAGUAAUAAUUGUUAAUAUGUAUAUAUAUGAUAGGUUAGGUGGAAUUUAGAUGCGUUAAUAAGAAAACGCUAAAAAAUAAUAUUCCAGCCUUUAAUUUUUUUUCCAUGUAAGUGAAAACGGCAAGUUAAAUGUACAUUGCCAUGUAUUAUAAGAAGGUAAGUGGCACGCUAUUAUCUUCCAUAGAAGGAAUAAAAUCUGUUGUAGAUGAAAUUGGCAUAGAAUCCACUAAAUCUUGUUACUCGAUGUCACUGAACAUGGACAAUCCGCUUUUCUACUUUGGCUAAGCCUCAUCGAUUCGGCAUUAAAUAUGAAUCAACAAUAAAUCAAGAAAUGACCCCUAUAUAAAGGACCACCACCAACCUCACAUCACCGCACAAUAGUUGAUAGUUGACUCUUGAUAGGCAGAGCAAGAAAAAUGGCUGUUAAAAUGAGUUGGAAAGCAACCAUUUUGAUCUUUUUCAUGAUGUUAAAUUUCUGGGGAUUUCUCAUGAGUUGCAAUGCAAGAAUUAUUGCUGAGAAUUAUCGCUCAGUUGAUAGCAAAACUCUGUUUCAUAAGCUGGGCUUUGAUGUCGCUGAAUACCAGAAGAAGAAUGCCCGAUUGUUGAGAGAAACACCGAGCGGACCUAAUCCUAUUCACCAUGCCACCCCACCACAGCCACCAGCCAUAUGAUAGAUGUCUUUGAUGUAUGUAUAAAGUAUUCAGGGUUGCAGGCAUAUGUUUGAUCUUUCGAUCCCCUGUAAUAGUAAUAUUUAGGAUCUGUUUGGUUGGAAGUAAAAUGUUUUUCUUGGGAAAAUAUUUUUCGUGGAAGUAAUUUUUCAUGAAAAUCAUUUCUCUUUCAUCAUUUUCAGGUGUUUGGUUAGCUUAUUGAAAAUAUUUUCUUACUUCAUUUUUUUGGUGUUUGUUUAACUUUUGAAAUAUUUCACUUUUAUCUCUAUCUUUACUUUCUACACAUUAUAACUACAUACUUCUUCCCAUGCAAAAUAAGAAAAUUUAUCUCAUUGUUUAACUUUAAAAAAUCUUGGAGAAAUGUAUAUAUGAAUAAAAAAUAUCUCCUUAAGCAAUAAACAAAUUGUUGGCCAUUUAGUGUCAAAUAUCAAUCACAUGCAAUGCUUAUUGUGACAUAUAUCUUGCACUCUCACUGCUGAAAGUUUCUUUAGAAAAUUAAAGAAUGUCCCUAUUAUACAUAAUUAAUUACUAGCAUAGGAUGAGCAAGAUGAGGUUUUUUUUUUAUUUUGAAUAUACUAGGGGGAGGGUUGGGUUGGGUUGGGUGGUACGGGGGAGGGAGUAUAAGGAAGAGAUCUUGGGUUCGAGUCCUCCUGUUUACACUAAAAAAAAAAAGAACAUACUACAAAAUGAUUUCAGUCAGUUUGGAACAUACUACAGGUAAGAUGCAUGUAUUUCGGAAAACAACUUCAGUAAGUUUGGAAGGGAAGUUAUUUUCCAUAAGAUGAGUGAAAAUGUUUUACAUAGGAAAAUAUUUUCAGUAACUUUUGUGCAACUAUUUUUCUGGAAAACAUUUUCACCCGAAACAAACGGAUCCUUAAUGGAACUGAAAUUCCCUUGUAAUAGUAAUACGUCUUGGUUUUGGAGUAUUAUGUUUGAGUUUGAUGCGAUUAUGUAUGGUUGCUAUAUACAUACAUACAUACAUAUAUAUAUAUAUAUAUUGUAAUUUUUGUGGACAUCUAGAAAUCAAAUUAUAUUUAUACUGCGUAUAACAAAAUUAUAUGAUAAUACAACAAAUUAUGUAAGAAAUAUAUUCCAAACCUAUAAUCGCAUAAAAAUCUCAACUGUACUUCCCUAUGCGCGUCUCCAUGCAAAAGGAAUUCUUAAACAUGGAGGAGAGCAAUAUCAGUUGACGGGUUUAUCAAACUUAGAGGAUUAGCAAUUUAGAUAAGCAUUUCCAUCAUUUGACAAAUUAUCUCGAAUUGAAAUUGUUGACAUUCGUGAAAUUGUUAGUAAAUUCCAUUUAAACCGUUUUGUUAUUUAAAACUCAUAAAAGAUAUUGUGACCGUAUUAUUCUUCACCUUAUCCUUGGUAUUAGUUUUUAGUCACUUGACCUCUUCAUUGAUAAUAAGGUAAUUGUGAUACUAAAACAGCUAAAAUACAAAGGUGUACCCAUACCAUUAUCAUUUGUUUUCUCUUUUAAAUACAUUAGCCUGCGUUAAAGUAUAUAAUACAUUGAACAGAAAAAGAAAAUGGUAUGAGAGUUAACACAUGUCAAACUUUUUCUUUUAAUUUAUAGGGUUUAAAGUUAAUGGUGCAGUCGUCAUAAUAGCAAUUCAUAGGUUUAGAGUUAUAUAAAUAAAUAAAUAAAUAAAUAAAUAAAUAAAUAAAUAAAUAAAUAAAUAUAUAUAUAUAUAUAUAUAUAUAUAUAUAUAUAUAAGAGCCUAAAGCAUGCCUUUCAUUCUUAAGGAGUAAAAGUUUUGUCCAGUAGCUUGGAUUAGUUAUUUGGACAUUUUUAAUACACAACACCAAAUAAUUCUCCUUAAUGAGUUUCCAUUUAUUUUACAUUUUAAUGGAAAACAAUGUAUAUAUUGAGCUUUUAUAGGUCCUGGCAUCCUCAUAAAAUACAUAUUUUCUUGGAAAACAUGAAAAUAAUGGAUGAAGAUAUUUUAACCUAGACAGUAUACGUGCCAUAUUCAUUCCCUAAAUUUAGUUGUGUACAUGUAAGUUAAAGGGUCUGCUUAAUGGGUGUUCAAUGGGUAUUCCUUUAAGAUAUACUUCAGGUGUUAAAUUUUUAGAAACAUAAGAGUAAUUAGGAAAAAUGUAUAAAUGUAAAGAAAAAUAAUAAUUGUUAGUAUAUAUAUGAUAGUAAUAAUUGUUACUACGGAUAUACAUUAUAGGUUAAGUGAAAUUUAGGUGAAAUUUAGGGAUGUUAAUAAGUGUCCAAUAAACACCCAUUGCGAAAACGUUAAAAAAUAAUAUACCAGCCUUUAUUUAUUUUUUCCAUGUAAGUGAAAACGGCAAGUUAAAUGUACAUUGCCAUGUAUUAUAAGAAAGUAACGGCACGUUAUUAUCUUCCAUAGAAGGAAUAAAAUCUGUUGCAGAUGAAAUUGACAUACAAUCCACUAAAUCUUGUUACUCAAUGUCACUGAACAUGGACAAUCCGCUUUUCCAUUUUGGCUAAGACUCAUCAAUUCGGCAUUAAAUAUGAAUCAACAAUAAAUCAAGAAAUGACCCCUAUAUAAAGGACCACCACCAACCUCACAUCACUGCAUGAUAGUUGAUAGUUGACUCUUGAUAGGUAAAGCAAGAAACACCGGGCGGACCUAAUGGUCCUAAUCCUAUUCACCAUGAAACCCCACCAAAGCCACCAACCAUAUGAUAGGUGUCUUUGAUGUAUGUAUAAAGUAUUCAGGGUUGCAGGCAUAUGUUUGAUCUCUGUACUUCCCUGUACCGUGUCUCCAUGCAAAAGGAAUUCUUAAACAUGGAGGAAAGCAACAUCACUCGACGGGUUUAUCAAACUUAGAAGAUUAGAUAAGCAUUUCCAUCAUUUGACAAAUUAUCUCGAAUUGAAAUUGUUGACAUUCAUGAACCCUGUAAAACCAUAUAUAUGCGUCCUGAAUUUGGAUAAGGCAGGCUUAGUCAGUCAUAGAUUAGACACAAGAGUGACGGAUUAUCCCUAAAUGAUACUAUACAAAUAUACAAUACAAGUUUCAACCCAAACCCACUUUUUCUGCAUAUAUAUAUAUAUAUAACACUUAUCAGUCACAUCUUCUGACUUCAAAAUGUGAACAUAACUAUUAUUCUGUGAAUUAGUCAAAUGUGUCCUUAUCUUUCCUCGCAGGCUCCAAGUAUACAUUUCCUGAUCAGCUAUGAUAUGCUUUCGGCCGAAACUGCAAUUGUUAUUGUGAUGCACACUCGGAUUUUGCUUAUGCUUCUACUGCUAUCAGCAAUAGAUAUAAAGUGAUUACCCUAACUGGAAAGACUUUAGGGUCCAUAUAUUUUGUCUCUUUUCUCGAAGAGGAAAAUUGAUUCCAAAUUUUAAAUCUUCAACAACAGACACAAAGCAGUGACCAUGUAUAGGAAUCAUGGUUCUUUUAUUUUAAGCAAAGUCUAAUGUAUUAAAAUCCCAACUUCUUUUUUUUCUUGGCCUUACAUUGGCUCCAAUUUGAAGUGAUUGUACUAGUAUAUUCAUUUCAUUAUGUCGUUGCUUUUCCAAGUUCAACAUCAUAUGGGAGCCAAUUAGAAUCAUGAGUUUGGAUAAUCUAACUAAGUAGUCCAACUUUUCCAACUUUGUACGUGUCAAUAAAUUCAUGGAAAACUAAAUUUCUUGGUUGAUUGAUCAAGUUUGAGAUGAUCACAACACUGGCUUGAUGAAUGCUCUCUAAAGACUAAAGGUCAGCCAUUCAUAUAUUUGAGAGAUGUUUUUAUUAUUAUUAUUUUCUGAUAAUUGGCUUUAGAGACAAUUAUAUAUGCACCGCCCAGAGUAGCAUGGCGAGUACAAACAAAAUCCACAAUAAUCAUUUUCCUAACUUUCCGACCAACGCCUUGCGAUCACCGGCAAUGUAUUAAUCUGAACAUUGGCUAGAGGCAAAGGGAAACGACCCCAUUUGUUCGAAUUGCCUUUUGACAAAAUUGAUAUAAUAAUCUUCUAAUCAAAUUUGGAUUUCUGAAUUUGUUUAUUUAAUUGAUGACACGAAUUUGGUUAAUUAGUCUGCCAAGAAAAAGAUAACAUAUGGCCUUCAAAUUGAAGUUCAGAUGUUGUAAGAAUGCUCUCCUAAAGUAUUCGAUAAGCAAGCAUACACUGACCAUUUCCAAAACAUGGCAAAUUAUAUAUAAUGCAAAAAAUCUCCCAAGACUCCCUAACUUAUCUGUAUCCAACCAAAAAAAAAAAAAAAAAACUAUCGACUAUUAGCUAGACUACAAUUGCAGGAAACGAACUUACACGACUCUCUAACUUUGUUAAGGUACCAAAAGAAAAAUUGAAAAGAUCAACUGUCUCUUCAUUUGCCGCCACGCCAUAUUCACCAAGAAUACUACUAUUGCUUACACGUUUUACAAUCUAUUUAAAACUUUGGCGCCGCCGCAGCAUGAUAAAUUGUUGUCUUAAUUAUAUUGCUUCACAGGGAAAAGGGUAAAGAAGAUGGACAAUGUUAUCAUGAGUCUGUGAUGUGUUCUAGUGUAGGGUUCCAUUAUGUUCAUGCAUCACAACAAGAAAUACAGGCGUUUCUAUUGGGAAUUUUCCCAUGAGAACAAAAGAAAGAUUAACUGGAAAGCCAAGAACUAUGACUUCUACGAUAACAACAAAGUUGAAAAAGUCUGGAGGGUCAACAGGUUAAGAACUAAAAAGCCCUUUUGAUUUUUGACAAGGUGAACAGCAUGGUCAACUACAAAUGAGGGCCGUCCCACCAAUGUAAGCUUUCCUUAUAGGAUUUCCAAGGAGGACACUAUCUAAUUUACGUGCUAUCUAGCUAAUUAUGCCGACAGGGCACGUGAGAUUGAGGCGGAUCAUUUCUAAUCAAGUGCUGGUUUCAGGGCCAGUUGGAUAAUGCUUCAUUUUUUGUGGAAAAGAUCUGAGUGUGAUGCACCGUGCGGUCUAAUCAGAGCCACUUGUCGAUUUGCAGUUUUCUUAUGUUGCGGUCUUGGUUUGAUUUUACGUUAGCAAAAUGUGGAAAAACACUAAGGUGAGUACGUGCGUGUUUGUUUGGCAGCACUGUUUUAGAAGUGAUUUAGAAAAAUAAAAUUAUACUAAAUAAGGUAUCACUGAUAGAGAUGGGCGGCGAUGAUGGACGACGGAAGUUACCAAUAGUAGGUGACGAGUGGUGGAAGGUGGGGGAAGAGGGGUGUUUUGGAGAAAUACAAACGUUUUUUUUUUAAAUUGUUACGUUAAAUUACAAUAAAGUUUUAGACAAUUUUAUUUAAGUCUCCCUUCUCUCCCUAUGCUUCUUAAAUCGUACUCUUCUACUACCAAAAAUUUUUAAAUAGACAUCCAAAAAUACACUAUAUAAGCGAACCGGACAUUUUCGCUACUCAAAAUAACUAUUGUGAACUCAGUUUGCGAUAUUAUUAUUAUUAUUUCCUGUUCGAUAGUACUAAAACACGAUCCUGGUUUUUUCACAUAGCGAGAAUUUGUGUGAAUCUGCUACCCUUUAUGAUAGUACGGGUAAUUAUAGGAAAAGAGUAAUGGCUCGCAGUAUUACAAACUUGAUAUUAGACAACACAAUCCUUAUUUUUUGCAAGUUCUAUUUGAUAGUUCCUGUUUGCACUCCAACUGCAAGAAUUUUAGCAUUUUUAAAAUGCAUCCAGGAGGGAACUACAAGAAUCUUUUCUUGACAAUGUUCUGUUUCAGCCCAUGUCCGAGGAAUUUUUCAUACAGAUUACAUGAAGGGCUUAUUUACUUUCGCAAAUCAUUCUCAUUUCCCGACCAAAGCUAGCAAAAAAGAAUGUCGCCACGCGGAAGGAUCACAAGUUGGUUGCCUUUAGCGAGUUCAGUUAAAGCAUUGUGCCAUUUGACGUGGAAAAAGAAUCUUCAAGGGCUUAAAGUAGUAAGGUUUUAUCUGGUUCCCAGGUUGAGAUUGGCCCUAACAUGAUGAGCAGUAAAGGUUGGUGAAGGACUUUGGAUGAAAUGACUUAUCAGCUGCCGCUUGCAAAUUCCAAUCCACUACUAGUUGAAGUAGGAGGAAUGCAAUACUUGACUUGAAUUGGGCUAAUAAGUGCUCAUUCAGAUUUUUUUUUUUUGCUAACUAAUUAAGUUAAAUAAACAACAUUUAUUUUCUGUCAAAGUAUUAAACUCGACUUGACUUGAUUAGUAUUAACUUUGAAAUCUAUAUAUGUAAAAAAUUUAGACUACUCAAAAGUGGACUUGAUUAGCAUAAACACAUAUGAAAAAUGUAGACUAUUAAAUCAGUUUGAUAGUAAAAACUCAUUUUAGUUCAACUUAAUGAAUAAACGGUUCACAUUUAAGCAUAAUUUUAAGGGAAAAUGGCUUGUUUCAUCCCUUACAUUUUACAAAAAUAUUUUUUGUCGUCCCUCAUUUUUAAAAUAAAACAAAUUCAUCCUUGAUAUUUAAAAACUAAAUCUAUUACAUCCCUAAAGUUAACUUUCAAUCUGAAUCUAACUACCCAUCAACCUGAUUACAAAUUUCGAAGAUAUAAUUAGUGGUAUAUCAUUUGGUUAACUCAACUUGAUAUUCAAGUGAAAUUUAAUGAAUCCAAAAAGGAAAAAUAAAAAAGUAUAACAUAAAAAAAAGAUUAAUUUUUUCUACAUUAUCAUUGUAUACACUGACGGCUCUAAUUAUUUGUCACAUCAUUUCAAUUUAAAUUUAAACACCAAUCUUUUAUGUAUGAUAUACAUCUAGACUCGCAAAUGUACAUACUACCUGGAAGAAACCUUACUAUUCCAAGUCAAAAAAAAAUGGCCUGUUUAUGUUAUAAUUUUUAAUUUUUUCCUUUUUUUGGUUCAAUAAAUGUCAUGUGAAUGUGAUGGGGUUGAUCGAAUGAUCUAUCAAUUCUAUCCUCGAAAUUUAUUACUAGAUUACUAGAUGGUUUGAUUCAUAUUGAUAGUUGGGUUCAGGAAUGUAAUAGUUUUAAUUUUUAAAUGUUAGAGAUGAAUUUGCUUCGUUUUAAAAGUGAGAGAUGAAAAGAAUAUUUUUAUGAAAUGUGAAAAAUGAAACAGAUCAUUUUCCUUAGUUUUAAUUAAACUUGUGAAAAAUAAGUAAAUAAACUUAAACACUAAAUUGUUCAUUUGAUUAAAUUUGGACUUUGCACAAGGCUUGAUGCUCAUAAGAGGAUAUGUCCUUAAAUUUUUAUUAAGGGAUGGAACAAAUAUUAUGGUAAUCAGUAGUAACUCUAGCUAGUUUUAAGUUGAGCAUUCCCUAAGACCUUUGCUUAUCCGAAUUUGUAAGCGUCAAAUCACAUAAACGUGUUUGAAUCAAUCAAGAGCUUUAGUAGGAGUUCUUGAGAGACUAAAAUCUGUCUACCUGUAAAUUAAUAUUAAAAGAUAAGCUCUUCAAUUAACACUGUACGAAUGAUUACAAUUUUUUUCGAGCAAACGAACAAUCUGAUGCAGGAGUUUUGUCGGAUUGGUACGUGGGUUAAAUAAAUAAUCGUACCACUUAAUUACAUGUUCUCCCCCACUAUUCUCCGUUUCUCCUACUCUCCUGAUGAAUCUUUCUGAGUUCUUAUAUAUAUAGCCAGAGCUGUCAGAUUAAUCUUCCACCCAAUUAACCACUGCUUAUAUUAUUUCUUCCAGGUAGCUCAAGCUAUCAGGGUUCCUUAGACUUGUUCUCAAUAAUAUUUCGCCCUCCAUUUUACCAUGGCUUGUUCUACCAAUGCAAGGUUAACCACCCUACCGUAUUUCUUCAUGAUCAUUAUUUUCUUUGCUUGCUUCUUCACUUGUGAUUUGGAAGCACGGGUUCUUGUGGCUGAUCAUCACGAGGCUAUUUCCACGAUGCAUGAAAAGUUGAAACCUGACAGCCAAAUUCUUCUGAUGAGAAUAGGCUUCAGCCCUUCACAGCUUGAAUAUUACAGAAGAAGGUCACUUAAUGAUAUUGAUCGAGUGGCUCCUGGUGGACCAGAUCCUCAUCACCAUGCGUGAUUAUCUACAAUAUCCUUUUCUAUAUCUUUUGUCAUUUUGUUUUUUGGCCCAAUUCUUGGGUUUUCGGUGGAGGGUUUAGCAGGAUUGAUAUGUUGUUAGAGAAGAAGAUCAGACUAUUGGUCGUGCAUGUUUGCUUUUCGUGAUGAACCAGCGUUCAUCAUCGUUUCGGCUGAAAUCGGGUAUAGCAAAUAUUUGCGCGCAACGCUCAUUUUAAUUCAUUGUUGUCAUUUCAAGAUUCUGUCCCUACAAGGUUUCUGAUUAGAUCUUUCAUCUUUUUGUGUGUGUGUGCGCGUGCGUUUUUUUUCUUUUUUCACCUUAUUUUCCUUUGUGCAUGCAGUCAUGUCUACAUUUCAGUGAAGAAAUAAAAUUAAUAACCUCUUCUCUCUCUCUCUCCCUCUUUCUCUCUCUCUCUCUCUUCCUUUUUUUGUCCGGGAGAAUAGGCGAGGUAACAAUAAUAACUUCAUUUUAUUAUGAAAGAAACACUUUAAGAGAAUCCAAUAUAUGAGUCAGGAAUUCAAUUCUGACAAAAAAACUUAAGGUAUUAUGUUUCAGAUCCUUACUUACAUAUUAAGUGAUUUUUUUCCAUCUCUCUGGAAUCAAUAUGGAUCAUAAUCCUUUACUCAUAAACUUAAUAAUUUUGCAUGAAACAUUUAUGGAAUCAACAAUUUAUUGUGGUAUAAAAGAACCAAAUGAUCAUAAUUGUUUUUGGUUCAAGGAUAAGAGACGACUUAAUUUGGGCUCUCUACCUUGUCUGCUUCUAUGCAGUUAAUAGUGGACUUUAUGAUUAACAGUAGUAUAUGAAUAUCACAUUUUCUAAGCUCACGAGAGCCAAAAAGUAUUUUUGACGUAAUUAAAAAAAUUUAAUCGGAAAUCUCCUACCAGAAGAAAUAGAAACAACAGACAGAAAUCCACAUUUCUCUCCAGAUUGAGAGCAAACUAUACAAAAUUAAGUUGUCCCUAAUCUUCUAACUAACGAAAUGUCAUUUUAGCCAAGUAAGCAAAUUGGAUUAUCAAAACUCAUAUAACUAUACACAAUAUGUUUGUUUUUUUUUUUUGUUUUUGUAAGAUUUAAACUAUUCAUGAUAUGUUAGUAAAGCGCUUAUAACCUGGUCAAUCAAUCUCUAAACGAAUUCAAUCAUCCAACAAGUCCAUUUACUUACAGCCAACCAGUACUCCAGUUUAAUCAUCCUAAAAUGAUAACUGGUUAAUGAAACAAUACUACCUUUCCCUUUGAAACUAGCAAAUUCCACAGCUAAUAUUGACUAAUUAAUUAAUAAAUUUGUUUUCCUCCCAUCAAAUUGAACAGGUUCUACUUUGGUCGUACAAAUCCACAACAGAUGCCUCUAAUAUCUCAUACAGUUUGCCGCAUUGAUUGCAAGAACGAUUUUUGAUGUGUAAACGUGUCCCUUUUGCAUGGAAGAAACAUCAAGAAACAUGACUUAGCUGCAGUUAGAUGCACUCAAAAGAAAGUUAAAAGAUCUCUCAAGUUUCUCCAAACUUGAUAAGUUAAAACCAUAAACGGAUUCUUUUAAAAGUUCAGAUACUAAAAAGAAAAAAAGAAAAAUCGAUUCAAUUUAUAUUACUAUAUAGUUUCUUAUCAGUUAAUAAAUCACCUUUACGUGGGUUGUCCAUGUCAAUGCCGAGUUGUUAAUUUUAUUUUUACUAGGCACGUAUAAAAUUCAUAGCAUUAAUUUCUUGAUACUGCUGCAAUUUAUUCCUGUCACAAGAAGAAGCUAGCGAGGCCACAUCUAUAUAUGGCAAAGGCACUAGAAUGGCUUCGUAAAGAUUAAAGAGCUUCUUCUUGAAGAACGUUUGAUGAAGAUCCUAACUAUAUAUGCUCAAAACGAUAAGCAUGGUGUUGACUAGGGUAAAUGGAUAGAUUCAGAGAGUUUCAGCCAAUUGGAUGCUCUUGUGAGAGAUAAUUACUAAACAAUUUCAACAUGAUCAUAAUUAAAUGAGGGAAAAAGUCAAAUCCAUGAGUAUAUAAGGGAAAAGUAUAUACAGUACAGGAGUUAUAUUUGUUAACACAAAAAACCCCCCUUUAACUUAGUCAGAUAAUCAAGGUGCUUUAUCCAUUUGUGACUUGUACCCUAUGUCCUAAGUGAUUCUUGUCCUUUUGCACCAGCCAAAAGUUGAUGAAAAAUGAUUGGAUUGGUGGCUUUUAGAUGUGGUUUCGGACAUUCGAAAAGUUGCUAAUAUUUAAUCAUAUGGACAGCAAAUCUUAGGGCAAGAGAAAUAAAAAUAACGAAAGAAAGAUGGCAGGAAUUCAUUUUCUGCAAGCAGGGAUGUGGAAUAGGGAUUGUGAUUGUUGUUGCCAGGGGGAUAGUGGAAGAGAAAACAAAUAUUAGUGACAUCUACGCAUAUCUUGCCAAUGCUAGGUAAACAAUUGCAGGAGGGCUGUGACAAUUAAGCUUAAUCAUAGAGAUCUCAAAUCCUCGAUCUGAUUUAUAAAUUAAUGAAUUUUUUAAUGAGUAAUAAAUGUUUUUGAGGCCCUUGAUGGAUCACUUUCAAUCAUAUAAUAAGCAGCAAAGAUCCAUGCUAGGCAUGGAUCAAUACUUUAUCAAAAGGCUUAGUUGGGAAAUUAUUCAUGUAUGACACACAUACAGUACAACAGAUAGAAUAAAAUUGAAAAAAAAAAAAGAAGAAAAACAAAGGUGAAGCACCAUUCUAAAGAUAACAAUGAUCCAUGUGACUAUAAGUCAUAUACAAUGUCCUAAACAAUUUGGCAUUGAUGUUUAACCAACAUAUUUGCACUAAUUUUGGGUCUUUUCUUACAAUGGAAUGAAUUUAUAAAGGGAGAAAAUAAGUGUAAUAUGAAUUUAUGAGAGUGAUCUUUAUUCAAUACGAACUUAGAGGCGCUAGAUUUAAAUUUGCGUACCUUAAAUUUCAUCCCUCACCUGCUAAACAUAAAAAAAAAGAAAAAAAAAGUGUAAUGUAGUAUUACCUAUUUGUGCAAUUAUUGUUCAACCAUGCAAAAUGUUUAAACCAACCAGUAUCAAGUUUUUUUGUGCAUAUCUACCUGCAAAAUAUUGGUGAGAAAUUACCUGACCCAAAAAAAAAAAACAAAAAUGAAAUCAUUGUAGGCUAGGCCCAGCCCAGUUACUAUUCCCUGUAAGUGGCUCCCAACUAGGGUAGGACCACAAAACAAAAAGCAACCUACAAUUCUCAUCUGUUAUCAACGCGCCACCAUGGACGCGUUGGUCAACCAAAAAUCUUCCCACCCCAUUCCUUACUGGACCCAUCAUCUAACAAUCUCAACCGUCAAAUUCUCACCCGGUUGUACCGCAGCAGAACUCCCAACCGUUAGAUAAGCGUUUAAAUAUCACGCUCCCCAUCAGCGCGUGAAAUUCCUCGUCCACUCCCCUCACCCAGCUCUCUCACUGUCCUUCUUGGCUUCUUCUUUCUCAACUCACCCAGAUUUCUUCCCCAGGAUCAUAGUUAGGAAAGAGUGUGAGGAUUCAUACUCAAACUGUCUGUGAUAGUGUGUGAAAAGAGAGAUCUCGAGAAAAAGGUAUGGCUUCUGUUCCUAAUUUAACUUUUGGGAAAACCCCUCAAGGAUUUCCCUGUAGUUAUUGUUUAUGUGUAUGUGUAAAAGGGUUUGAUUUAACUUUAGCAGUGUAGAGGACCCAAAAAUAGAAUUUGGGUUCUUGUGAAAUGGGGGUAAUUGUAUUUUAAGAUUGUAGAGAACCAAAGUAUAGAAACAGGGUUUGUUGUAAAAUUGUGGGCUUUUGUGUUUAUGCAUGCAGCAGCUAAUUUCGAGGUAAAAGAUUGAAUUUUUCCCGGUGAAGAAGGUGAAGCUUGGGAUUUAUGUGUGUGAGUUGUGUUUAUGCAUGUGCUUUUUGUAUGUAGAUUAGUUGAAAAAGAUUAAAUUUCUAGGGUUUUGGGAGGUGGAUAAAUGGCUUCUGGAACAACAGUUGGUGGUGGAGACGGAGAAAAAGAAGGGUCUAAAGAGAAGCAGAGGUGGGCUGAAGAGAGCAAGGUGUAUAAAAGGAAGUCUGUCAAGGGGUUAAAGGAUAGUAGUGACAAGAACAACAGUUAUGGUGCCCAGCUGGGGCAAAGUCAAACUGGGAAACCUGGGAGUGAAGAUGGGAAUCUGUUGGAAGAACCUGUGUUUGGUGUGGCGUCCGGUGACUCAUCGAGUCGUCCACUGGGAGAUCGUGAAGUGUCUGGGGGAAAUGGGAUGGGGAAAGGUGGGUUUCUGAGGCAAGAAAAUAAGGUCACCAUCAAUUUGGCGAUGAAGUCGAAAAGGGAGGCACGGGAGCUGAGGAAAAGGCUCGAGAGCGAGUUGGACGAGAUUAGGAGAUUGGUGAAAAAGAUUGAAGGGCAGGAGGGGAAAAAGAGCAGUAAAGCUGGACGUGGUGUUGAUAAUGGUGGGAAGUUGAAACGGGUCCAUUCCGAGGUGGAUUCUGUUGGAACGCCUCGCAUUUCCAAGCCUUUGCAUCAGUUGAGCGUAUCAGUGUUGGAGAACAGCAAUGACAAUGGGGAUAAAGAGAAACGGACGCCUAAGGCAAAUAAAUUCUACAAGAAUACAGACUUUUUGCUUGCAAAGGAUAAGUUUCCUUCUGCAGAAGGCAACAAGAAGUCUAAAUCUGGUGCUGGGAAGAAAGCUGGAGGGGGUGAAUCAGGACAUGGGUUUGUUUCAGGGAAGUUUUCUAAUCAAAUGUUGAAGAAUUGUAGCUCUUUGCUUGAUCGAUUGAUGAAGCAUAAGCAUGGAUGGGUGUUCAACAAACCUGUUGAUACUGUGCAUCUUGGUUUGCACGAUUACUUUGACAUUAUUAAGAAUCCAAUGGAUUUGGGUACUGUAAAAGCUAGGCUUAGCAAUAACGGGUAUAAAUCUCCUAAGGAGUUUGCAGAGGAUGUGAGACUUACAUUUCAAAAUGCUAUGACAUAUAACCCUAAGGGGCAAGAUGUUCACGUGAUGGCUGAGGAGCUAUUAAAGAAUUUUCAGGACAAAUGGGCUGCUAUUGAGGCGGAAUAUAUGCAUGAGAUGAUGCAUGGCCCGGAUUCUGAAGUGGGUUUACCGACUCCUAAAUCUAAGAAAGCUCCUCCAGCAGUAAUGGAACCUCCUGAAAUGAGGACUUUAAGCAGGUCAAAGUUUAUUAGCAAUCCUGUUGAUCCCAAAACCAAAACCAUGAUUUCUGCUGGUUCAGGGAGAACUGCAGCCCCAAAAAAGCCAAAGGCAAAAGAGCCCAAUAAAAGGGAAAUGACAUACGACGAAAAACAAAAACUUAGCACAAAUUUGCAGAGUUUGCCUUCUGAAAAGCUUGAAAAUGUUGUGCAGAUUAUAAAGAAGAGGAACCCUUCUCUGUGCCAAAAUGAGGAUGAGAUUGAAGUUGACAUUGACAGUGUUGAUACUGAAACUCUUUGGGAGCUGGAUAGAUUUGUAACAAACUUCAAGAAGAGUCUGAGCAAGAACAAACGAAAAGCUGAGCUUGCCAAUCAAGGAAAGGGAGAAGCAGCCCGGAGUGUUCCAGAAAAGGUAAGCUAUUGAAAUUUCUAUUUGAUGCCUUUCUGUUGUUAAUUUCGGUGGUUAUAGGCACUUAGCUUCCGUUUUCUGCAGGACCUUGCCCCAGCUGCAGCAGAAACUCUGAAAGAAAGGAAGAUGGGUAAGCUAUCUGAGCUCAAGUCUCCUUUGCUCUUGAAAUAACGGCAAACUUGGUUUUCAAACAUAGUGAAGUUAAAUGUGUUUUCUGAACAGAAGCUAAGAAAAAUUAUUCAUCUCAAACUGAAGUGGAAAAGAAGAGAGAUAAUGCAAGUCGAUCAACUAACUCAAGCGGCUCGAACGCGGACUCGGGAUCUUCCUCAGGGGGUAUUGCUAAUUCUUACUUUGUAUUUUCUGUCUGGAGAUUCAUGAUUACAAACUUAUCUCCAAAGUGAGAGAAUGUUACUGAAUUGUCUUCUCACUUUACAUUUUUUGGCAGACUCUGAUAGUGGAAGUGCUUCAGAUGGAUCCGAUGCAUGACAUUGAACUAGGAAUUAGAGUUACUUGUCAAUGUAAGAUAAGUUUCUUUGUGGAUUUAUUUAUUUGUCAUUUCAUGGAUCGUGGAAUUGAAUCUGCUUUUAUUGAUUUCUCUUGUUUCCUUGCUCAUAUUUAAUUAAUUUUCUGUUAUUUAUCGAAGCACGAACCUGUUGUUGUUUAUGUUAGCCUUUUCUUUAAUGUUUCUAAUUCUCUUUGUGAAUUUUGCGUGUUGUUCACUUUUAUGGUUGCUGGCUUUACUUGAGUUUAACUUAAAACUUAAGAAUGCUCAUUAAGAUCUAGAUAUGAUAGUUAAGCAUGUAAAAAGUGCACUUGUAAACAAUAAAUGUCUUAAUUGCUUUAUAAUUUCCAAAUUACUGGGAAGUUUGUAGAUCAUGAGAAAAGAUGAUUGUGCUCUUUUGCUCUAUUCAGCAAUGCAUGGUAGUUAAACUUUUUUUUUUUUCGGAGCAUAUAUUGAGCGCAUCGAAUUUGUCUAUCUACAAUUUGAAAGUGGCAUUUUCCUAGACAAUAAUACUGCAGUAUCUUGUUUAUGCUUUAGAAGCUGCUGUUGACACUCCCCAAAUGUUGAUAAUUCUGGAGUGCCUGUAAAGCUGUCAAAGAUUGAGGGAAGAGGAUAGAGAUUUCAUUAAAUUCUUUGUGAGUGGAUAUUAACACAAGUGUGAGAUAUGACUUAUCAAACAAAUUAUUGUGACUUGUACAGUUUUUGCUUUAAGAGGAAGUGCUGGUCAUUGUUAAACAGUCUGCAUGACUUUACGUGUGAAAUGACUUUCCUUAACUAGUUAAAUGAAAAGAGGGAAAGGUAGGAAUAUGCAAAACUUAAGCAUGAAUGCAAGUGUAACAAACUAGAGUUCAGCUAAAUAUAGAUAUGUAGGUUUGUGGUAUAAUGAUGGAAGCUUUAUUAAAUUUACUUCCUUUGUUGGCUCCAACACUGUGGCACUUCUUUUACAUUUUUUAAACUGGGAAGUUAGUUAUGGAGGCUGUAGAGAUCAACAUAAGUCCGUUGUUCCUUGAGCUUUAUAAUGGUCGAUCAGCAUUUUCGGUAUAUAUCAUCUUUCUAUCUUAGUAUCUUCCAUAAGCGCUCAAAGAAUCCCAAAUGUUUAAUCAACAUAUACACCAUGUGGCUGCAAGCGCUUAUUUGAGUGCUCUCCUUUAGCUUUAAGAUAGCACGAGCUUGUGAACUAAACCAGUGAUCAAGGUGCAGUGAUAUUUAUGAGCAUCAGAUCUAACAGGUGUAGGAAACACUCUAUUAUCAAGCUAUCAAGCAUUCAGCUUUUUCUUAUUCUUUCUGUACUAGAGUGUUGGUAAGAACUUGUACCUACUGUUAGGAAUUAUCUAUACUACAUUAGUUUCCAUGUUUGUAAUGCCUACUUUCGCAAAAGUCAUCUUAGGUGAAAGUAGUGCAGUUAGAACGUAAUACCUGUAGGUCGAGUAAUUUGGUCCUCUCUGUCUCUCUCUCACACACACAAAGCACACACUUUUCUUUUUUAUUGUUUCUCUUUCUGUUUUGAUUGUCAUGGUUAUGGCGAAUGCCUGAAUGUUAAUUUGAAGUUUGGCUCGUUUUUGUCUUCAAUAAUUCCAACAGGAUUGUGGCCUGAUUGAUGCUGCUAUUCCUUUUCAGGUCUCAUUUUGUUUUAACGAAGAAUCGUGCUUAAGUCUAAUAUUCAUGUUUCUACCAUCUUGCCUAGAUUUAUUGUUACAAACCUGUGGCCGAGCUUGACUGCAUAUCGAUCUCCUCUUGAAACAAUGGUCUCCAUCGACAGUAAGGUGUUUUAGGUGACGGUUUUAGCAACAGAUGUUUCUGGACAACCUGGAGAAUGAUGCAGAUGCUUCUUUAUUGUACAUUGUUGUAGCUUUUGUACAUAGCUAACUACUGCUGGCCAGUUUUCUGUGUAUUUGUCUGGUGGUUUACAGCAGCGUUGGAUAAAACAUUUCGCAGUUAAUUGCAAUUGCAUGUAUGUAUUAGUAAUAGCGGUAUGCUGUCGAUGACCUAAGAGGCAUUCUUUGUGUAAAGUCUUGUUCUUGGUCGUGGAUCUUUCUCGAUAGUUAAUUACAUAUUGCCCUUAGCUUACUGCUUUUGCUAUGAACACUCCUAUAAUUGCUCGUUUCUUGCUAACUCAAAUCUAAAUUUUGGCGUUCCCUAGAUUGAGUGGUACCAAAACUAAGGGUAAUCAUUAAGUUUUGUUCAUGAUAUUCCGGGUUUGCUUCCUUAAACCCCAUCUGUCAGUCCCUCAUCCCCUCCAUUGUGCGGGAAAAUAAUGGAAAGCCCCCAAAUCCAGAAUGGUGGACAUUGCAACAAGCUAUCCUGCGUUUCCACCUUGAAUUCUCCAGCUGUUUGUGUCCCUAGAGCUUAGUUUAUCGCUGCUCAUUAUGUGGUAUUUGCAAUAUUAUUUACACUUACCAUAACCCUUAAAACUUCUUUAAUUGAAAUAAAACUUAGUACCAUACCAAUUUGUCAAGUAAUAAUCACGAGUAUUGCUAGAAAAAGCGACAAAAAUAUAUACUCCUUUCGUCCUACUUUGAUAGUCCUUUUUUUUUUUUUUUUUUUUUUACACAAUUUAAGAAAAAGUAGUUAACUUUGUUGGAAAAGUAAAUUUGGAUUGCUAUUUUUCUAAAAUACUCUCACAUUAAAUAUGGUAUAACUUCAACUUUCAUUAAAUGGGGUAGGUUUAUAGUAACAACUACUUACAUUGAAUAAGGAUAUUUUAGAAAAAUUAAAAUACAACUAUAUUCUUCAAUUGGAAAGUGGGUUAUAAUUUGGGACAGAUGAAAAAGAGAUACAGAACUAUCAAAGUGGAACGGAGGGAGUAUAAAGUUAUACUAAUACAUUUCUCUUGGUACAUAGUACUCCCUCCGUCCCAUUGUUGUUGUCAUAGUUCACCUUUUUUCAUGUCCCAAAAUUUGAGUCACACUAUAAUUUUUUUCUCUAACAUUCCAUUUGUAGCCUCAAAAGAGACAUUGAUAAAAUAAAAAACAAGUAUAAUGGAACUCACAAAAGCAAUAAAUAGACAUCAAAAAAAAAGGUGCGUGGACAGCACCAAAAAUUUUGAUGGCCAUAAAUAGGCGCGUGCUUGGCAACCGUAUGAAAAAGAGCUUACAUUUUACAUGGACCCACAGAUUCUUUUCACAUCACCAUAGACAGCAAUUAAGAUUUGAUAUCGGUCAAAGGGGUACGAUUGGAAAAAAAUGUCUCACAUUCAAAUUGAUUGAACUGUGCAUAAUAAGUUAGAAUCUCCAAAAACGUCCCUUAUUUUGGGACAGAGGGAGUAUUUCGUAUUAUAAUUCAUUACUCAAUAUUGUCUAUUAAACUUAGUACAUCAUGUUUCAUAAUCUAAAUCAUUAUUCAACAUUCACAACUAUUGUAUACAUCCUAUUGUAUUAUCAAUCAUCAUGCAAUAUUUACAAUGCAUAAACUAUGUCAUGGGGUUUAAUUACGAGAAUUAGCUUAGACAUGAUUAUGCCACCAAGAUCGAUCUCUGAGUUGCGGCGAGGUGACUUGAAUUUCCCCAUUUCUUGAUUACAGCAACCCAUGGCUCGCAAUUCUUUGAAUUGCUGUUCCUCUUAUUCUACGCGCGCACCUUGCCCGGUCGAUCUUCGUCAUGGCCCGCAAAUUGCAUCCUGUAACAGCGCUUGCCUACUAUUCCCUCCCAGUACCCUCCUCAGUCCUCACUGCCUUAUUUGAAGGAAAUGCAUCCGCUAAAACAUAGAACCAUGCUCGCCACUACAUUAAAAUGCACAUUUUGGUCAAACACUUUCCCAACACACAACCCUUUUAAUCCAAGAAAGCCUUUUUCUGCUUCUGCUGUAAAGUAUCCCAACCAAGAAGAAACGCCUGCACAAAAGCCAGCACAAAUAGUACACUGGUCCGGUCUUGACAACUGGAGAAGUAGCCCUCUUAAUCACAACCGUUUCUGGGGAGCCAAUGGCCCACAAACACCCCCGAUACAACCAUCAUUCUCGAAUUCUGGAGAAACCGGCGACAGUGGUUCAAUUUCAUGUUCUAUUGACUGGGGCUGUUGCUCUUCUUUAGCAGAGAUGGGGGCUGUGGUGCUAUCUACAGCUGACCCUCUUCAAAAAUCAAAGCUUUCCCACUUGGCUUACUCCAGAUGGUGCCAGGAGAGCCUUCCUGUUGGAGUCUGUGAGGCACCCUCUAAGCCUGCUCGUCCCCAGAAUCCGCAACUGGUUUGUUUUCUGAGAGUCCUUUUGGCCAUUUUGGUUACGGAGACAUUAAAAAUUUGAUCUUUUUGUUGGAGUUUAAGAGUUAAUGUGAGGAAUAGCAGAUAUGUUUGUGUAUGAUAGUCAUGUUCUUGAUUGAAUUGGUGGGAUUGGAGUUGGAGUUUGUGCUUCUGCUUAGAUGGUAAUCCAUGUGUUUGAUGAAUUUGGUAUGCUGGAGAGUUUAGGAAUUGUCUUUAUUGAAGCUUAGUUUCCUCUUAGAGAAUUGGCAAUGUAAAAACAAAACAAUAUUAUUAUGGCAGCUGCAUGAAAUGCUCUCGCUGUUAAUAAUUGACACCACUCUCUUUGGGUUUGUUUUAAUUUAGUAACUCUACUGUUUAUUAGUGUGACAAGCUGAGUACACUGUCUGCUCUUAGGACUGGUUUACUGUAUGAGAAUGCAGGUAUCUCCAAAGGAGAUUCCAUCCCCAAAACACUCUGGUUUGCCUCUUAAUGCAUAUAUGCUGCAUAAUCUAGCUCACGUGGAACUAAAUGCGAUUGAUUUGGCUUGGGACACCGUUGUUCGCUUUUCUCCUCAUUGUGAGCAUCUUGGAGAGGGAUUUUUUGCUGACUUUGCUCAUGUGGCUGAUGAUGAAAGUCGACAUUUUGCUUGGUGUUUACAGAGAUUAGAAGAGCUUGGAUUUAGGUUGGUAUGGUAUUUUUGUUUUUUGUGAUAAUUGUCUUUGUUCAUAUAGUGACUAACAGCCUCUAUCGUUCUUCUUCUUCUUUUUUUCUUUUUUUUUUUCGCCCCGGGCAGCUAUGGGGAUAUGCCAGCUCAUAAUUUGCUCUGGAGGGAGUGUGAUAAAACAUCAGAUAAUGUUGCUGCACGUCUGGCUGCAAUUCCACUUGUCCAGGUACUCUGUUGGAUGUAUCUUUUGCAUCUUUAGUAUCAUUUGAAAUUCAGAUGCUUAUGGGAUUAUGAUUUUCCAAAAUUAUUUCCGAUGUCCAUAACAGCUGUACCUGAAUCUAUUUCUCUUCUUUCAGAGUGUUCUAUGAAGAAAGUCUCAUACUGGAUAAUAUUAAAUGCCAAGACAUGUUUAAUGCUGCCUAACUGUAAGAAAGUUGUCGGGUUCCUAACACAAAAAGGCUAUCUAAUAUGGUCAUUAUGUCCUUACCAGAGAAGUUUCCCUUCCCCAGCAGAAGCCUUAGGUGGCUGUGAAACUAGCUGCAUAUUAUUGCCCUAGGUCCACUCAACUAUUAGAAGAGCACUAGGGCCCCUGAAAGAGCUACUAUUUAAUCCCAAACUGCUCCCGACUCAGCAGUGAGGUAGAGAUGAAUUGGGAUGGAGGAGCAAUACCCUACCCUUUUUUUUUAGCGGAUUUCUAAAUUGACAGUUGAAACAAAAAAAAGCAAGCUGAUUGACUCAAGUAGGACUAGUUCCACAUGGCAUGAUUCCAUAUUGAUUCCAACGAAGAGAAAUUUUCCCAGUUAGAUAUGCAGUUAGGAUAACGAAUGGUUCACAUCUUCUGUUCUGAUGUUCUAGGAGGCCAGAGGACUUGAUGCUGGGCCUCGGCUUGUGCAGAAAAUGGUUGGAUUUGGUGAUCUUAGGACUUCAAAUAUUGUGGCUAAGAUUGCCGAUGAAGAACUUGCGCAUGUUGCAGUUGGUCUUUAUUGGUUUCUUUCAGUUUGCCGGAAGAUGGGUCGUGCGCCUUGCUCUACUUUUAAAGGUCUAACACGGUUACACUUAAUUUAAGCAGACCUGUUGCAAGUCUUUCUCUAAAUAUUGUGUUACUUAUGUGGCAGUCUUGCUGGAAGAGUACAAUGUAGAGAUAAAAGGACCCUUCAAUUACUCAGCUCGAGAUGAAGUUGGAAUUCCUCGAGAUUGGUAAGUGUAGGAAAAUUUCCCUUCAUUGAAUCCAAUUAACUUAAUGGGAAGCAGAACAAAUAAUUUUACUUGGUGUACAGGUAUGAUCCUUCAUUUUCAAGACAAGGAGAUGGGAAAGACGGGCUUUCUGAGGUAUUUAAUUUGAAGCUUCAAUCUUUAUCAGAAACUGAAAAUGCAUCUAUUUGAAGCAUAUGCUUACCUUUCUAAGUUUGUUCAUCGAAACCGCCUGCAGGUUUACGAUAGGUUAGCAUGCAUAAUUUCUAUGGAACAAGAAAACUCAAAGAUGGACGCGUCUCGUGGAUGAAUCUUACGUUAAGAAGCUGUAUAUAAUCCAACUUCAUGAAUGUCAAACCUCAUGUGGAACAACAAAAACUUCCAUUGCCCUUCUUACUGGAUGGUGAUUAUCAAUCUUCUCUAGGAAAGCUGCCCUGCAAGGUCAUUGGCCUGGUUGUGAUGAAUUAUCUUGGCUUGUUAGUGUUUUAUAAUUCCUGGUCCAGGAUUCCCAUGAUAGCACCAGCACAACUCCAAUCAAAGACAUCCUUGCAGGUUCCCUUCUCUUGGGGUUCUUUUACGUUAAUCAGGGAUAGAAGAUACUUCGGAGCUACAAUUCGCUAUAUAGUACUCGUCCUAUGAUAUUCCUCUUAGCUGAAGUUAGCAAUUGAUGUUCUGUUAUCUCAACACUUUCAUCUCCAGAACAAAAGAUGGACAGGAAUUAUUCCACAAACAAGUCAAGGAAGUGGAAAGGAAAACUUUUUUCUAUUUGUUUUUCCAGCAAAGAAGGAAGAGACACCUGAGUGCGUCUACGUCACAUUAUGCUUGUCAAUCUGGAAAGUAAAUCUCUUGCCAACGAAGAAAUUAGCAUCUAGAACCUAAUUCUUGAUUCACGUGUCCCCCAACAAAUACUCCUCAUUAGAUUACGUAUUGAAAAUUGCAUUAAACCCAUCAAUUAUCACAGCCUGAUUGCUUACUAUGUUUAGUAUAGGAUGACACUUUAUAGCUACGUGUCCUAUUAUUACCAUACUCAAAGAAGAAAAGAAGAGAGAGUUUUCUAGAGGGGACCGACCUUUGGGAGGCAUAAAUCUCACAAGAAUCAAGAAUUCAACAUCCAAAGAAAAAUCCCAGAACAUCAAGAAGUGAAGAAAACAUCACAAAGAAAUGUGCUGUGGAGAUGGAGAUUGUAGGCCUUUGGCCUUCCUAUUAAGCCUGCCCUUCGCCUUUCUUGCUCUCCUCGUCUCUCUUGUGGGCGUCAUCAUUUGGAUUGUCGGGUACGGACAUUUGACUCAUUUUUCUUCUUUUCUUUGCAAAUUUCACGGCUGCUGCGUCGUUUUCUUGACUUUAUUUUGUCAAUCAUGUUUUGAUUCUCUCUUCUUUUUUUUUUUCUCUCCCUUUCUUGAAUUUUAUUGAUUGGUGUAGUAUACUGUUGAGCAUCAUAUGCCCAUGUUGCCUGUGCGUGACUGUGCUAGUGGAGAUGGCCCUGCAAUUGAUCAAAGCCCCCAUCCACGUUAUGGAGUGGUUCACCUCUCAGAUUCCCUGCUAGAUUAAUUCUUCUCCCUCUUUUUGUAACUUCACUUCAUCUUUUUCACAUCUUUGUUAGGAAAUUGUAGACCCUGUUUUGUCUUCCUCUGCAUCUCUUGUCGUUAUUGAAUCAUUUACUUCAUCCUAGUUGCUAUUUCUAAUCCUUCUAUCUCAUGCUUAUCAAUUUCUUUGCUUUUUUGCUGGGGAAAAUACUCAUGAAGAGAGAGGAGACAACAUUUGAAAGUAGAAAGAAGGAUUUUCGAACAUAUGAACUGCACUGAACCUUAUGAGAUUCUUGAACAUAAGAAACCACGUAUCAAAGAGGAUUACAUACAACAGUUAACAGAAUUGAACAUCUGAACUGCACCCAAAUUUCCUUCGCCACAAAACAUAAGCAAACAUGAUGAAAAAAAAAACAGCAUCAUUGGAAGGCCUUUCAUACACAACAGCUUUAACAUGCUAAUAUAUGCGAAGCACUAAAUCAAUUUCAGUCAAGAUUGCCCUUUUUGCUCUUCUUUGUGUGAUUCAUCUUUAUCGAAGGUGUGAGUCUGACCAGGCAGGCCCUGUCCGGUGAGAAGAUCUGUCGUCGUUUGACCAAUUUCUGCUAAAGUUUCGCCAACUGCAUGCAGCACUCCACCGCCCUGUCCUUCUUGUCUCGUUUCUUCUUGGAUAAACUCCUUUUCUGUUGGUUUGGCUUCUCCUCCCUCUUCCUCGUAUUGCUUUUCCUUGGUGAUGAAUCCACCUUCCUACAUAUGUUUCAGGGUCAAAAAUCAAUCAGCAAAAGCCAGCCAAAGAGAAAAAAGGCACGGAGUAUAACACAAUUCCCACAGCUUUUGCAAUUUUCUAGGACAAUGCAACAUGCAAAAUCGCCUAGAAAAUACUUUGAUACUUGAUAGGUGAUACCUCAAAUGUAAAAAUUUGUCUUUUAUUAGUGAUUCAUAAGCACAAUUCUUCAGCCAGAUAUUUGCUUUACCUUUUGUCCUGUGAGCAUCAUAAAUAAGUGGUGCAAACAAAUCAAUUACUCGUAUCUUCAUGGUAAAAAAUCAUAAUCAGUCCAAUGUGCGAAUAAUGAAAAUUAUGUCUCACUGAUUUACCUUAACUGGAGUUGAUUUCUUCUCCUCUAAUUCUCUCUGAGCCUCAGCCUUCUUCCUAGCUGCAUGCUCGGCAGCACUUUCUUCAGUUGCGACUACAGCAUCUUUGGCAGCAGCCAAUUUACUCUCAGUAUACCCGACAACUCUGUCCUGCACCCGCCACCUUAUCCCUGGCCACCCCAGCUACAUCAGCCAUCACUUUAGUACCCAGAGCAGCCUUUUCUGCCGUGUAAUGUGCCGCACCCCAGCCAGCCACGGCCGCCAUAUCUGUGGCUUCCCCGGCCACCUUUCCCAUGUAUCCUACUGCAGUUUUGCCGCUUUCCACUGUAAUAUCCCUAACAACCGCUGUUUGUUCUCCAACGUAACCAGCCGCCUUCUUGGUUGCAUCCACAGUAGCAUCCUUAGCCUGGACCGCCUUUUCCACUGUAACAUCGUUGGCCUCUUGACCCUUUUCAACAGCGGCGUCCUUCAAGGCUUUAGCCUUCUCACUAGCAACUUGAGUUCCACGUUCAACACCUUGCUUGACAGAUUCCUUGGCUUGGCCUGCCUUUUCUGCAGCAUAUUGGGAUCCAGUUUGAACUCCUUGCUUCGCUGUUUCCUUGGCUUGCCCUGCCUUCUCAGCGGCAUACUCAGAUGUUGCACCAGGUUUCUGACAUGCCGCUUCCUUUGCCUGCCGCGAACGCUCCUCGGCAGCCCUGAUGGCCUCCAUGGAAUUCUGCUGCGCCUGUUGCCUAUACUCGGUUAUCUCCUCCAAGGAAGGCAUUUCUUUCUCUUUACCUUCCUCUUCGCCCUUCUUCCUUUCGAUCCCUUCACCCCUUUCUUCAUCUGUGCCUCCACCGGCUUUCACAGCCAGAGACUCAAAAUGGGUAGCCAUUUUUGGGACCCUGUCUUUCUCUACAUCGACUGCUCGCUCAUCCGUAACAUCUUCCCUUCUCAUUUGCUCUGACGACAUUGUCAAUUCUUGAUCAAAAGAUGAUAGAUAUCUUUGGAAAUUUCUUUUGGAACACAAAUGGAUUUUAUGUAGUAAAAAAAAUGCAGUACUAGGAUGUAUCCUAUGCAAUGUGACAGUGUGUGAGAAUUCGAGACAUCAGGAAGUUUGGAAAAUGGUUAUAAAAACUGAGGCCCAGAGGUGAUGGCGGUUUCCAAGGAGAUCGAUGAAAGAAGAGGAAAUGACAGGUGGGCAAAGCUCAUGCAAUGUAGUGGUGUUGUGGGGUGGUCGCCUGUGUGAGUCAGCAAUCGAGUCAAGCAAAGAUGUACACGUGUUUUUUUUUUUCAGCAGGAAUGAUACAACGAAUCGGCUAUGCUUUUUGAAAAAUUGUGUGGAUAAUUGGAAUUUAGAAAAAAGAAGAUGUAUAUGUAAAAAUUUCCAAGUUCAAACUUAUGUAAAUAUGACUGCAUGAAAAUGAUUAAUAGCGGCAAAUAUGAAAAUGGGUCAACGUGUACACCAAAACGGACCGAGAAAUGGAUAGUGCUGUUUUGUUUAAUAUCACAAAGGAAAGCCCAAGUGCCAGCAUUCAGCAGGAACAUACUAUUGAUGAUUCCCAACAAUUUUUUGGCACAAAAACGUUUGGGAUGAAUUAUUUCGAGUCAUCAUCAUGAGUCACGGCAUACCCCUGUAAUCAUACAUCGUUUUACAGAAAUUCUUACGAAUUGUUUAUUAAUACAAUUCUUACAUUCAUAAUGGGAUCCAAAUACAUGAUCUUUCCUAUACGACAGGCAGCAGAAAAGGUGAUUACAGAACUUAAUAUUUUUUUUUUUUUGGUCAAUUACUGAGAGAACUCAGACUUUUAGCAUAUAAAUUGAAAUCCCUGAACAACCUUCAAAAGCCGGCAACUUUUGAAGGCGUCCAGAGGACUUAUAAACUAACCCCCCAUAGUCGAUGUGGGAUAGAACCUCCACAGGACCUGCUGCUAGAACUUAGUAAAUGUAACUAUAAAUAUUAGAACCAUUUCCAAGUCAAAAUCUGGUUUCCACUCACUGGCCUGGAUCCAACUAGACAUGGACGGUGUUUCAAUUGUGGUUUAAUCAAAUCCACUUGGAUCCUCCUAGAUGGCAUGAGGCUUGUUGUCCACUUGUUUCAUUGAACUAGCCCAAAGUGCUAAUGCGUUUAUAAUUCAAGUUGCAAAGCAGUUGCCAAUCAGCCCGUAGUCUAGUGCUGUAGACUAAUGGAAGUCCCCAAAGAGAGACUGGUAUUCUUUCGAGGGACUGAAGUAAUAAUCAGUAUGUUGAAUUGAUGAAAUUUGGCAGUUUGAAAACAUGCAUUUCCAACUGAAGUGCCAAAAGAGCUUCAAAUUUAAGGUUAACACGUUCGAGUACUAAAGAAUGACUUGUCAAAGCCCCUGUGUUGCAAAACUUCCAGUUUAAAAGGCGAUAUCGAUGAAUGGUAGAAUUUUAACCGCAUUAACAGAACAAAAAGAUGGAGCAAUUCUGACACAAGACAAGAGUAUGCUAUAGUUGCCUGAAAUUGGCCUAAAAAUAAUCCAAUAACAUUAAAAAUUCUCAAAAAAUGAGAACAACUUCUUAGUCAGGCAUCCUCUCAUGCCAAAAAGCCCCUUUAGUCUCCACUUUACAAUUGAAACAAUCAAACAGUGAUCAAAUUAUUCCCUUGCAUUGCAUGAGAUAAAUAGAAUAGAGCCAAUUUCUACCCUUAAACAAUGGACAUUUCUUUCUGUUGAUGAACUAAGUAUCAGUCAGAGUUCAUUCCUGCUACCCCUUUUUUCUGUAUCUUCCCCAUCAACCAAAAAGAGCUGCAUAAAGAAGUUCAUUCCAAGUAUCAGGCAAUCCAGGCAGACACCAAUGGCUGCAGUCCAGGCCUUUGUUCUCACUGUAGUAUGUUGGAUGUGCAUCCUUGCGAUAUUGUGAAAGUGUUGUGAUGUCCAAUAAAUAAACUGGUUUCUUGAUUCUGCUCAGCACUUUGUUCAGAAUUAUUGAAGCCAAUGGUGUGCCUGCCGGAUACCUUGCACCAAAGUAUGGCUGUGUCUCGCCAGCACAGGAUCUUGACGGUGCAUUCCAUUCCCUGCCCCUGAAUUCAAUUGCAGAGAUUAACAACCGCUAAGAUUCUGUAGACUAGUUCAAAGGCAAAGUUCUAAAGUGUUAAUCUUAUUUAUGUCAGUAUACUGACAAUGUACAUACACUGUUACGGUGGUUAGAUGUUUGAUAAUUAUACAAAAUUUAAAUUUAGAUUAAUUGUUAAGUUUUUAACGGCGAUACUAUAUUUACUGUAUCAGUGUGUAUAAAAUUAAUUUAUUUUUAAACAAAACUUCGAAGGGUUAACUCUUGAAGAAUUAUUUUUCACGAAAAAUAGAUAUUGCAACUUUUUUUUUUUUCUAAUUUGUUCAAGAAGAGACUCUAAACUUUACAACGGGGAGGGAAAAAAUAGGCAUUGCUACUUGUUAGUGGUGAUUUCGUAGUAGCAAAAAAAUGGAAUGCUAAAUUCUUGUCAAACUAAAUAUAUUGGUUCUUCUACAAACAACCAUAAUGUUUAUCUACGAGCCUUUUGGUUUUGAUAUGUAUAUGCAUAAUUUGCGUACUUGGAUUUUACAAUGAAAUUGGAGGAAAAUUGCAAUAAACUAAUCUCAAAUUGGGUGAGGAAUUGGGAACAGAGAAAUUGCUUACAAGUAGUGAGUAGGGGAAAUUCCUUGGAAGAUGACUUUAGUUUUGGAAGGAUCGACGUUCCGGUCGACCCAUCUGGCCCAUGUUGUCAUCCCUAUGUAGUAAGCAAUCAGACGGUUCAUAUCUUUCUGAACUUUGACGCCAUCUUGUAUGUAAUCCCAUCUGCGUUAGAUCAUAGGGCACUGAAAUCAAUUAAUACAGCCUAAAAUAUAAAUUGACCAUAAAAAUUUCAAUCAUAAAAAAUUUAUGAAAUUGGAGAAUUUACGGCUGGGAUCUUCCAGUAUGGGUCCACCAAUGCCAAGAGUUGAAAAUUAGAAGGUCCAUCCCUCUCCAUGCAUCUCCACCCCUAAUGGAGUCCAGCUUUAGAACUACGCCCUCCUUUUCCUUCACCAUAUCCACCAGGUAUGGGGUGCGAUAUAGUAGUAUCCUAACAUUAUAAUCCUAAUCAAACCAAAAACAAAUCACAAUUGUUACCACAAGGCCUCCAUUUUUCUUUUUUCUUCUUUUUUUUUUGCUACAAAAGAAUAUACAUGACAACGUCUAAGAGUAAUAAAAAGAAUCUCAGAAUUAUUAGUCGAGAAAGUGUAAGUGAAAGAUUUCGAGUUCGAUUCCUCCACACAGAAUAAAAUCUACUUGUAUGGUUCUAGUAAGUCAACCAUCUUUGUUACUUUAUCUGAGAAAUUUGAUUGCUACAUUUACCUUAAAUUAGAUCAACAAAAUUGCAUACAAUAAUUCUUUAACAUUCCAUUGAUGUUUAACAUAUUCCUUUUUUCUUUUUUUUUUUUGGUUCCUUCUAUCCAAGAGAGAACACAAACCGUAAAAGGGGAGAGUGUGCAAAAAGAAAGAUUGAUAGUUGAAUCAAAUACGUUAAGAAUCACUUGACUAAUGUUCCUAUAUUGUUUGGAAUGUGGUUUUCUUUAGAAAAAUUUUUAUGUUUUACGUGAACAUUAUUUUUUAAUCUUUUAUUUACGUCACAUACAUCAAAUCCUUACUGAAUAUUUUUCUAUAAAAAAAAACUUUUAAAAAUGACAAUCGAAAUUAAAGUUAAAUCUAAAACAUCAUAGUAACGACUCAAAACGUUUAACUUUUCAAAAAAGAAUUCGAAAAAUAUUUAUCUUCCUAAAGAUGACACUACUCACACCCAUUGCCAUUCACGAGUUGUUGAAGAUAGGAUUCACAAUAGGCCAGAUGGACACUUAGAAGAAAGCAAAUCGCAGACAGGAUGGUCCAUGGAUUAGCUGUUUGGGACUUCUUUUUCCCGAUUCCGUAUUUCAGUUCGUUUCUACCAACAUGCGUCCUUGUCCGGCUGUCCCGUCCCUACUUUCUGUUUUUGCCAACAAGGCAAUCACGCCAUCACUUUGACCAAAAAUCACUCCUAAGUUCCACAAAUAAGGGUAGGUGGUCCGAUUUUCUUCAUCAAUACAACAUAAUUUAUCCACUAAUCUCCUAUCACAGCCUCCUUAAGCUCUCACUUUUCUUAAAUUAAAAUAAAGUAAAUUAUACAAAUGUAUCGUUGCUGAUAAAAUAUAUAUAUAUAUAUAUAUAUAUAUAUAUAUAUAUAUAUACUCCUUCUAUACUCGCCUUCAUGGACUGAUGAAUAAAGUCUACCAAGAUUGGAUAAUUUUGUAUUAUACAUUAAAUUUCAACUUCUUCACGGAUAACUUUUAUAUACAUUGUGAGUGUAAAAAUUUUUUUAUGCAAGUAGAUUUAAAUCACACGACACUUAACACAAAUUCAAAUUUGAAAUUCAAAUCAUGAAUACAUGACAUAUAUCUAAAACGGUUAGUAUAAAAAAAAACAUUACACAAUCAAUAUAUAAAAAGUCAACCCUUUCUUUAUUAGCAAAAUUUUCAAUUACUGUGCGCCCUUAGAGUACAAUAUAAGCACACCAAAAAGAAGGAAGGGGCCAAAUAUGAAAUUAUGACGUCAUCCGACUCCACCCCUUUUGUUUUGUCUAGAAUAUUUAAUUUUUGCAGAUAAUAUAUAAUAUAAGUGGACCAUGGCUGUAUAGGUGCCCUUUAGUUAUAGAAGAGAAGAACCCUACAUUACAGCAGCUUUCCAUAGUCAAAAUUUCAUGAUAAACCCGGAUGGUGAUGUCGAAAUACAAAAUUUGUCAAAAUUGACAAGAUAAAAAACUUUGCAGAAAACCCAAUGAUCGAUUUUCUAUAUUUUAGGAUUUGAAACAUGAAAAAAUUUGAAUGCGAAAUUAUAAAAAAGAGACGUUGUAGCAUAAAAUUGAUUGAACAAGUCCAGAAUUUAUUAGGAAGCAAGCAAAUAAGCCAGAAUGCCUCUUUCACCAAAUUUAAUUCUACCAAAGAAGACAACAAAACCCGAAUUAAUUAAUUGAUUAGUCAUUUUCCAGCAGUCCUCCUCCCCUCUAUAAAAAGACAAAAAAUCAUUAAUUAUUUUAAAAAAUAAGCCAAAAGUCCUUCUCUUUUUUUCUUUUUUCUUGUGGACUACCGCUUCAACUUUAUGCGUGGUUUUCUUCCACAAUCAUAAUGACACCCUCAUAUUCUACCAGAUUUUUCAAUCAGGCCUCCCUCAAUUACUCCUGAAAGAUGGUGCAUAUUACUACUACUAGUAUUUUUUACCAUCACCAUUUUCAAAAAGAUUCCUGUUCUUUUUUUGUUUUUUAUGUCAAAACACUUACAAGACAAAUUGGGACAAAUUUACAACAUGUAAUCAUUAGCAAGACUUUUAAAUUCUUCUCAGUUUAAGUUCUUUUCACAGAAGUCUCAAAUGUUGCAGAUGCGUUUCUUUGUCCUCUUCUUUACCAUAGCUUUCUCCAUGUGAAAGAAAAGGCUAAAUGCGUUGAAAGUUUCAUGGACAUGGACCAAUCGACAACUUUGCAAAAAAAUUGAUUCUUUUCUUCCUCAAAACAACUGGCAAUUCACCAAGCACGCCAUCACUCCAGAAACUUUCUAGCCAAACAACUAUGGAGAAAAUGAGAAAGGUAUUAACAACUGGCAACUCACCAUCGGAAUAAAGAAGUCAGCAAAAAGUUUGUGUCCCAAAAAUUAAUGCCCUGAUCUAUCCGGUCUCAGGAGCAUAUGGGGUCCCAAUAUUUCCUUUACCAACUCGAAUUCCAUCUUAAAGACGGCAGUGACAUUCGGAAACCAAACAUUUAUUAUUAUCAAUUUACGGAAGAAAUCAAGAAACUGACAAUAGCCACGAAGGCAAUGGCAAUUGAAUUCAAAUCAAGUGCUGAAAAAUUGCGACGUGAACUAUAAAAAUUUGAGUUAUACUACUAUAUUAGGUGCGACAUGCCCAUUAUGUGGUAAUAUUACGUGAUGCACUUAGUGUUAACAAAAAUUCAUAGCAUUAAUCUGUCUGAAAAACACUUGCAAUUAUUAUUUGAUGACAGAUGAUUAGUUUUAGUGCAUCGCGUGAGCUAGCGAGUAUGGUCUUACUAGUAGCCUCUCCGUCAGUCAUACUGGCUUAGCUGAGGACAUGGUACAGUACGAGCAGAAUGGAGAAGAAAAUGGUUGUUUGACGGAGCGCAAGUGACAAAAUUUGGGGCAGAAAUAACAGAAGGGAAGUGUAGUCAUGAACAUCUAUCACUUCACCUUCCAAAAAGCUAGGACAGAGACAGGAGACAGGUGAUGCAUGCACCAAAUCAAGUCAUCAUUCAACCAAUUCAACAGGAAAAGUAGCUCAAAAUCUUGAAAACAUUAGGCGGUGAACCAUCAAGAGAUAAGACGCAUGAAGAAAGAAACAUGGCCGGAGAUUAGGACUAAAACUUACCAGAAAUGCAAUUUCAGAAAGCACCUCUUUCGUUAUCAGACUGUACCUAGCCUUCGGCGCCCAAGAGUGAAUCAUGCAACCCAAAGAUGCCCACAUGUUGAAACUCAAUGAAUCGCCAACAAACAUGAUGUUCUUCCCCCUCCAUUUCUCCAAGAAAUACAGCCCAUUAAACCUGCAAAAAAAAAGUAGCAGAGUUGGAACUCCAAUCCCAGACCAGAAGAGAAUUCAAGAAACCAAAGUUGAGAUUGAAGAGCACUCGUGGAGUUUGUACCUUGGGAGGUUACAUGAAAAUGGUUGCCACCUGUAUUUGAGGUACAACUUGUCAGGCCUCUUGUAGAGGAGACAGUUGAAUUCUGUAUCAAUGAAGGGACAUGAUGCAUAAUCAUAGAGGGGAUAUUGAGCAUCAUAUACCCAUUUGCCUCUGAAAAUGUUGCAACCAGAAGCAAGCAUUGUGGCUCCAACUGAACUAGUGGUACUAAUAUUGGCAGCAUUCAAGAAAUUGUCGAUUUCAUCAUCAGCUUUUGCUGUUUGACAUGAACAAAGAAAGAGUAAAAGUACUGAAGGGAUGAACAGAAAUCUCAUCUUGGAUUUCUAGCCCAGCAGAUUUGUCGGAGCUAAAUAACGAGGUUUUGAGGUAAAGUUUGUCAAUGUGUUUCAUGUACUAUAUAGUGUACAACAUUAUAUACUAAUAUUGUGUGAUACUGAUGGACUCUGGUUAGAAAGAGAGAGAGAGAGGGAGGGAGGGAGGGAGAGAGAAUGAUGAGAAAGUAUUCCCAGUUGCACAUGCCCUUGAAAAUUAGAUGAACCCCACCUCCCCCAGGCGCCAACAAACAAGUGUCUUUUUUUUUUUUUUUUUCUAAUAUAUAUCCAUUUGUGAAUUGUGAGUUUCUAUAAGCAGAAUUAAAAAGAAUUGUGAUUAAUCUGAUCUUGUUUGGGUUAUAUGCUGGACUUUAGCCUGUGGGGUUGGUAAUUUUUUUUCUUUUUUUUUUGUUGCAUUUGAAAUAUUUUGAAACCUCAUUUGAGUGUUCUUUUUCUUGAAAGAAAAGGAUGGCCUUUUUUAUAAAGUUCUCUUUGUGUACUUUUCUUGUGUUUGGUAGGUGAUUCUAAAACUUUUGGUAAAGGUGGCAAUAAACAUUAUUAUUAAUUGCAUAUGCUAAGGUUAAUUGUCUCUAGCAUCAUUAUUAAUUAAGCUGCACAUUUUGUUAAUGACUUCCACUCGCAGCUGCCUCUCUUUCUGUUCAAAACCAUGGGCUAUAAUACAUAAUAUUAGAUUCUGUUUCCUUCUCUUUCUCACAUUUGCUCUUAUUAACUACUAGUGGCUUAAGCAUUCUUUUUCCCUUGUAAACAUUUUAGGAAAUGAAAAUUUUUGAACAAACUCGACCAUUUAACAAAUACGGGGUAAUAAAGGAUCUUUUAAACUUAUCUAUAAUCGAUUUAUUCAUGGCUUUGGGGUACUUUCUAGUUCGACUUUCAAUUCUCCUCUUUCCUUUCUUUUCUUUAGUAAGAUUUAGAAUCUCUCUUUAGAUUUCAAAACAAUGUACCUGAAAAUAUUGUCAGAAAAGAAAUUUUUUUCCUUGAAAUUUGGUAAACGAGGUUUUUUUUCCCUUGAAAUUUGGUAAACGAUUGAACAUCUAAUGCAAAUAAACAACAAAGUCUCGACCGCCAGAUCCAAGCCCAACGAGACUACGGUCAUAUCCUUUGAUCUAGUGCUGAUUUAGGUCAUGUUUGGAUUGUAAUUUUUUGGAGUUUUCAUAAAAAAUGUAUGGUAACGAUUUGAUAUAUGUGAAGUAAAAAGACGAUCAGAAAACGUAUUUACGGAAAACGCAGAGAUUUUUUAGUGAAAAAUUCCUUUCUAAACAAGGCCUUAGACUUUUGCAAAAACUUCAACAAAUCAAAUGGGGGCCAUGAUUCAAUUUGUUUCUUUUGUUAAAAUCAAGUUCCUGGGAUAACCGGUGAAUAGAUAAAUCACAUGUAAGAAAAGCUCGACAUUUUUUCCAACGGUGAGAAUUUAAUCUUAGUCUAUUUUACUCUUUGAUCCAUCCUAGAAAUUGAAUAAUUACACGCACAUUUCCUCUAACGCUUUUGUAUCAUUGAACUAACCCACAUAAUAUAGAAAAUAAAAAUAAGCAAAAUCAUGAGUUUAAAGAGUUUGUUGUGGGAAAUUAAAAUUUAAGUCUAGAACUAGACGAGGUGUCUUUGUAAUUAGGACAAAGCUCAAGGGUGGAUAGUAGUAGUGUUAAAAAUCCCUGCCGUGCUCGUGCUUCUUCUUCUUCUUUCUUUAUCAUACAUAUUAGAACUUUCCGUGUGAAUUUUCUUUGCUACCAUAAUCACAUUCGUCCAAUUAAAGUAGUGGAGGACACUAGUGACUGUUGAUCGAGACCAGGCCACACCACAUAUUAUUAUUGUUUGAGUAUGAUAUUACUUUAUUUACAUGGCAAGAUAAAGAAAGAUAACAAAAAUGAAAUUGAUGUCUUGGAAGAUUGAAAAUUCAGCCAAUUGAGAUCGGCUGACUUCUAUCUUAUUGAAGUUACAAUCAAUCCAACAUCAUGGAACCAUCCUCAAGCUUUUCUUUUUCUAUUUCUUCUUUUCUUGUCUCUUCUUUUUAAUUUUAAUCACUCUAGAAGUCUGAAUUGGUAUUGUGUUUACAAUAUUGUUGUCAUUAGUUAAGUAAGAGUACUUGAAAGAUGGAUGGAAUUAAUUGGACAAAAGAGCUGAUAUGAUAUGGCAAUUUAGGGAUGAUAGUUUCUUUCUGCCAUGUAUCCAAUAGUUAUUUGCUUAGCCAUCACUCUUUAUUUAUCUCCUAACCAACCAUCCUGCUAUGUGCUCGACACUUGUGAACCUUAAUAACUCAAAGGCUUAUGAUUGGAAAUUAUUGUGUUUUUUGGUUACGUACUCUGGUUAUUUUCUUGCGAAAGUGGAUAAAAAUGAUGAAGUGGCACAACACCUGUAAAAUGUAGUAUUCAGCUAAUCAAUUCAUGGAGGGGACUGUUUUCAGGCACCGUUUUGGAUUGAGGGAUAGGGGUUCAUUUGUGAUUAUUAUUUGGACAAGAAUUCUAUUAUUAUUUUUUUUAAUAGAGGAAACUUUCUGGCUAGUGAGGGCAACGGGGCGGAAUUGGGGCUCCGCCUCAGCUUCUUCUGUGGGGUUAAUAAAAAUUUGUUAUAUAAUUUUAUUAUAAUUAAAUUCUAAUAAAUAAUUAAGUGCUAAAACAUCAAUACAUCAUCAAAUCAUUAUCUGUUGUAAUUUUAUAAUUAAAAUUCAUAAAAAUAAUCAAACAAAAACUAUUUGAAUAUAAUCUAACAUGAUGAAACAAAUACAACUAAAGUAGUCAAGUUUUCACUUUUGAAAAAAAUACAAUCACUAAGUUAUUAUUGUAUUUUAUUUGAAAAAAAAAAGUAUUGUUGUGUUAAGUGUAAUUGAGGAUUUAGUGUAAAUGUAUUAGUAAAUUUAAUAUAACUAAUUAAUAAUUUCUAUUAGUAGACAUGUAUAAUUAUUCGCAUAAUUGAUAAUAUCAAUUAUAUUACAUAUACCUAUAUAUAUUAUAUAAUACUUAUAACUAAUAAUAAUAUUAUUAUAAGUUUGAAACUAAUUAAAUUAAAUAAUAUAUAUAUAUUUUAACGGAUGGCGGGGCGGGGGUCCUUAAUGGAGAGGAAAAAAAUUCCCCCCUAACCCCCAUCGGCUGCGGGAAUCCAUCCCAAUUGUCAUUCAUAUUUCUAGCAGGCCCUUGAACUAUUCACUUUACAUGGUUUUGGUCCCUAAAUUACAAGUUAUCACAAAUAAAUCCUUAAACGAAAAAAUGCUUAGUUCAAGGAGUUCCAUCAAAUUUGAGUGUUAAAUGUAACAGAACUAGGAGCAAAAUCAAUCAAACAGAAAAACCGACCCAUGAUUUAGUUAAAAACCUACAAUGUUAAGCCAACUGAUAACGUGAAAUUUAAUGGUUUAUCAUCUUCUUUCAUCUUUCACCUUUUCUAGCCUUAAUUUGAUGAAAUAAUCAGUCACUAGACUUUUUAGAUUGUUUUUGUGGGUUGAUUUUUUUUUUGGUCUGUUUUGUCCCUAAUUCGGUCACAUCUAAUGGCCAAAAUUGACAAAAAUCCUUAAACUAAGCAUUCUCUUUUUUUUUUUGGGUUCAAGGGUUUAUUUGUGACAAUUUAUAGUUGAGAGGCAAAAACCAUGCAAAGACAAUAGCGCAGGGUUUGUCCGAAAAACUUCCUCUUUUUAAUAUGUUUUCCAACCAAAUUAUAUUUUGUAUACAUCACUAUCAUUACAGCACAAAAGUGUCAUAAUAACCAAUGCAAAAAAAAUUUCCAAACAACUUUCAACCCAUACAUAAUAUAACAAGGAGCAGUCGUAGACAGAACGUAAUGGUGGUACCUUUUGAUUUUGAAUUUUGGGCAAAUUUUGAAGUGUCAAUAGGGGUGUCUUUGGGUCUGUCAAGUAACAGUGGAAAAUCAAGAAAUGAGUACCUAAUAGAGUAUAAAAUUGAUUGGUUUUCGACGUGACAGAAUUCAAUUCAGGAGUCAUUGAGUUUUGACAUGAUGAAAAUUGAAGAAGGGGCUCAUGUAGUAGGGUCUGCCGUUUGUCCCAAGAAUCGAUCUUCCCCACAAAAAAAUGAAAACUCAGCAGUAGCCAUUUGCAUGGCGGCAUUCCUCCAUACUUCUCUUUCGGCGUUCCCUCACCUAGUCAACCUCAUGUAAUAAUUCAUAGUGCCGCCAAAGCCGCCUCCCCACCACUUCUUGGUGCUAACACCCUUGCACACACGCAUGGUGGGCAAUGGCGCACACAAUACAUAUACAUACAUACAUAUAUAUAUAUAUAUAUAUAUAUAUAACAAUAUUUGGGGGAAUUAUUUGAGGUGGAUUUUGAAAUAAAAUGCUAGUUAAAUAUUACUUGUUCUGAAAUUUUUAUAGAAAGGAAAGUGCAAAAAGAGGAAAGAUGUAGGGAGAAGCGAAAAGGGACUAAAAAUGGUGUGACUCGACUUUUUGUUGUAUGGCAAAUACGGAAAACCUUUAGUCUAGGAUAAUUUUUUAACGUAAAUCGCUGCACUUGAUUUUCCAUAAGAAACACUUCUUAAUCUAUACGUUAAUUUAGAGGCUUUCUUAAAGAACAAAUAAAAUGAAUUCCAAUCAUUCAAUUGGUGGCCCCAAAAUGGUACUUUUUUUUGUGUGGAAUAAAGGAGUCUUGUAACAUUGAUUAGUUACUUAUGAAUUGUGGGGGAUGGGGUCAAGUUUAGAACCAUAUGGAAAAAGCCACACUGUCUUGUAGUUUUUUUGUAUAGUGCUUCACAUGUGGCUUGGUCACUAAGACUAUCAACUUGUGAGUUGUGAGGCCUGAAAAAAAAGAACUUUGUAUUGAGAUCUUGAUCAGGGAAAUGAGGAACUGAAUCCACUUGGGGGUUUGCCCAAAAUGAAGAUUUUCACCCAAAUUUAAGUUUGGCCAGAGUACCAAAGAUCACGUUAAUGUAAUCUACAAUUAUAGAGAAGUCACGUAGUUUUUAGAACUAGGUAUUAUAAUCUCUGCAAUCAACUUUUGAAAUUAUAGAAAAAUUACUGUAGCGAUUUGAUAUAUGUGAGAUAAAAGAUGACUGAAAAAUGUGUUCACGGAAAACAUAGCAAUCUUUCUUUGAAAAAUUGCUGUCCAAACAUGGCUAACUUGGCAAGCCUAAGAGCAAAAUAUCUAGUUCUUUAGAACUUGAAUUUGAGACAUGCACCAUUUCUUUUUUACUGUCUACGAUUUAUUUAAAGCUUUUGUCACAUUUGAAUGGUGAUGACAGAUAUUGCUUCUAAAGCAAGUAGCUAGGGCAACUUUGGCCACAUGUAAUUUGUAACAUUCAUUUGUUGUCUUCUUGCAACGUCAAGUCAUCCAGCCAUCUUGAUCGUAAUUGAUAGCACCAUCUAACAUGGUGGAUCGGCUAAAACAAGAAAUCUUGACUGCAAUUGAUAGCAUCCUAUAAUAAACGUACAAAACUUACUUUACCAAGUAACGAAUGGGGUGUUUUAGAAGCCAAAAGGAUAAUGGAUUAGGUUCCAAGAAUCACUUUUUUAUCUCUAUUUUGUCCCCUCUCACCCUUACUUUCUAUCCUCUCCUCUCCCUAUUGAAGUUUUUAACUACUUUUUUGGUUAUACACGGAGGACUACAGUAAAGAAUGAGAGGGGAACGCUAAGAGCCCAUUUAGAUUACUAUUUUUUUUAAGUUUUUUUUUUGCAGAAAAAAUGUACCGUAACAAUUUAAUAUUUAUGAAAUAAAAAGGUGAUUAAACAGUAUAAAAAUCUGAUUUAACAGUUAUCCUGCUGUCCAACUUCUGUGAGGAGCUGGAUCCAACCUCAAUCAGGAAUUUCUUUCCUGGAUCAGAAUGGCAUCCAACCAUCAUUUUCCCCCAGCUUCCUAAUGGAUGAAACAUAGCGGCGGCCUCAGUAUUCAUGAAACUUGAAUUGUAAAUAAAGAUUAAUAAAUUAACUGCAAAUUUACAGGAUGCCACAGACCAGACAAUCAAGGGAUUUACUAUUAGAAGCCAUUCAUUCAUUCAUUCAUAAAACUGGGUUUUCUGCAAAUCAUAUGAUAGUAAGGACCAUUAAAUGGAAGAUUUCCCCUUCUAUACAUAACUAACUUAAACCCUAUUAUACUCUUUUAAGGCGAAACAUCUCCGCUGGCCAUUAUUUACACUCUUUUAACACAUUGUCAGCUUCCAUUUGCUGCAGGUGGAAACCAAAUAGUACGAACUAAGGCAAUCUUAUUUACGGCAGCAGCACAUUUAGACAAGCUCCCACUCAGUUUCAGAACUAUGAACUGGAAAUGACUUGGUGUUAGACUCUGCAGGACGAUCGGUCAUUGCUCUCUCUGCACCCUCUUGAUUUGAGCUUUGCUCGGUGUACCUCGCUGCAAGCUGCUCAUAUUCCUUCUUGUUUAACCUCAUCCUGGAGGAAAAAGCUUCGCGUAAUUUUUUCUACAAGAAGAAAUUUGUCCAGUCAGGGAAGAAAAGUUCACACAAGAAAUCCUUCAACUCUAACAGAUGAGAGAGAGAGAGAGAGAACCUUGUAGGAUUUGUGAUUGCCCUUCCCUUGAGGUAAAAAAUGAGGCUGAUCCCCCUCCACCAAGACACAUGUUUCCUCUAAUUUUGACUCAUUAAACGGCUCAAUAAUUUCCACGUCCGGGUCCACAGUAUCAUCAUUCUUGGCUGCAUUUACGCUAUAGUCAUCCAAUCUUUCUGUCAAGCAUAGAGAAAGAACAAUAUUAGCAAAAGCAGAGACCUACUGAGGAAGAGGCAGGAAAGUCACUGGUACAUAAAUUUGGUGCCUAGGUUGCGUCAGCCCAUACUGUGCUUGGCUAUUUUUUUGGACAAGAUUUUUUUUAUUGCGUCGUAAACACGUCUUCCAAUUACUUUGUUUAUAUCAAAUCACAAAAAAUGCUACAGUUAUCCUAAAAUUUUUUUCAUGAUCUUGCCUAUCCAAUUUUCUGGGAGAGAGAGAGAUAGAGAUCAUGAGAUUAUAUGAUUGUUUGUCGUGAAAAAUUUUCAGCCAAAAUGCACAAUAUAGAAGGAUGACAAUCCAUCAAAUAUGAAGUCCUAAAAAAAUCCCUCGUCCAACAAGUUCAGUCUCCAGAUUGAGAAGACAACAGGUAAUCCCAUCUAGUAAUGCCAUAAUUGACUUCACUUUAGGUAAAAAUUGAUCCACUUCAUCUCAAUUUGCAUAGAUGCAAGUCCUAGAAUGACUUAUAGAAAUGAUCCUCUCACACAAAGUUUAACCCUUUUCUGGACGCAAUAGACCGAGACCUUUAAUGAUUGAAUUACAUUCCAUCACUUGGAACUCGACUUUCCAAUAACUUAGCCAUAAGAAAGGUUGGAAUACAAUUUGCUUUUAUUAAUACCUUGGUGGGCCAUGAAGACCUCCUGCUCAACAGAUUUCAUGCUGUCUGUUCCAGUUGCAAUAGUCUUCUGAGUCUGGGAAACCACUCUGCUGUUUGUACAUGUGCCUACAGCUAAAGCAGUAGUUAGGGUGCGUCAAAUGCAGAAAUUCAUAAUGAAAUAAGUGAAAAGACAAAACUGAAUCCAGUUUUAGAUGAUACCAGAGGACUCGGAUGAUAAGCCAUCAGAAGAGGAAUCAGCUUGCUUCUGCUCAGCUGAUACAACUGACACAAUUGUUUUAGUAGCGGUAGCUGGUGAAUUAAAUGAAGCACGAGACAUAGGCAGACUGGUAUCAUCCAUAGGUUUACAAAGCUUCUCAUUUGCAAUUCUAGAGCAUUCUUCAGCGCCAGCCGAUGGCGAUAAGACAUCAACACAACCAGAGGCCAUUUGACAACUCUUUUUCAUUUGAGAAAAUGAGGACAGGUUUCUUAAAUUCUCUGAAAAUGGUGCAACUGGCCCAGUCACAGGGGGCAUAAAAUUUACCAUAGAAUUGCUUUUCCUACUGGUUACCGGACGUCUGUAAAGUCCAGUUUUCCUUUUACCUGUAUGCAACAAGAGUAAGAGCUAUAACUUUCACUGUGAUGGAAAAGAAUGAAAAGAAGCAUAUCCCACCAAAAUUUUGAAAAAGAACAGAAAGUCCAAAUCUUUACCAGAAAUUACUUUAGACUCAUCACUUAAUUUCCAAUUGGUAUCUCUACCAUCUUUUUUAGCAUUUGCUUUCAGUAUCAUUUUGGAGUGAGCAUAAGGAUUCAAUGACAAGUCAGCAGCAGCCACUUUCACAGGAUCAACAUAUGAAUCUGAGUGCAAAUCUUUCAUCACUUCUGAAUAGAACCUCUUAACACUAGCACCAACAGUCUGGACCUGAUUUUCAACAUAUUUGACAGCAUCCUGUCAAAAAUUAAACCACUUAAAAUAACAAACACCCACACUUUGAGACUACAUACACUUAGAUUCGAUAAGACCUCCCAAGGCAAAGCACGCAUAGCACAUUAUUAGAUAAUCAAAUCAGUAAUUUUGUCUGUGAAAACCACCACUAACCAACUUCAUAAUGUAUCACCAAAAGCAAAGAUAAGAACAUAAGUGGCACCAGAGAUUACUUUAGAAUAGAAAAGAUAACUUGUAUUCACCACAAGUAAGGGCAUCUACCUCAUACAUAACCUCUUCCAUCUCCAGACACAUAGCUUCAAACUUGUCAUAUAUGUUUCCAAUCCAUGCUAAACCUUUUAAGUCCAUCAUGCAGUUACUUCAGCACGUCAAGGCUUUAAUGCUCAGCUGCAAAAUUCAACAAAGGACUUUUGUAAGAUUUACAGCAAGAGCUUGCCUAAUAGCAAGAAGCCAUCGGGUACUAAGACACAGUUUAUUAAUUAUUAUAGCAGCAUCCAUUGCAAAUUUGCUACCAAGUGACAAAACAGUAUACAAGCUGAUCAUCAAAAUUGAGCAUAAUCAUUAUAGCAUAAUGAACUCAAUCAGUCAACAAUUUUAGCCCUCUGAGUCAUAGUUCCAGUAAAUGUUCUUUAGUCCUACAAUGUACAGUUCCCUGAUGCUCAAUAACAUAAGUAGAAGGGUUGCAAGAACAAACUAGGAACCAACAUUCUAGCUAAAAUGGGGUAGAAAAAGUCCACCAAAAUACAUUUCAGGCAGAGGGCUAGAAAGAUUCAUGCACAACAAAGGUAUGGAAUAAUAUCAAGGUUGGUUGAAUGUUUGUGAUAAAAAUUCUUAGUAGUUCAACCUGAUGCAUUGUUCUAAGCUGCAUAUUCACAAUCUACAUGUAAAGAGAAAUUAAAAUUUAGAAAAAAGAGUAAUUUCAUCUAAGCAAAUCCUCCAAAUAUCCAUCAGAAAUAUAUCAUCAAUAACAUAUAAUUCGAGCAGUAAACCAGAGGAAAGAAAAUUUUCAGGGAAAAAUAGUUUUGGUAAAUGGUUAGCUGAGACAUCAAAGGAAAGAUCCUACACAUACGAAGAAGGAUGCUAGAUUCCUAAUUCAUAUUGCAAAAGCCCUCUCCAACUCAUGCCUGUCAAUCUCAACAGCAGAGGGCCUCUAAGGUAAUUAUGAAUUAAGACCUUCAAAAGUCAAGCAUUUUUACUAACUUCAUAUAAUUCCCAAAAAGCAAACAGAAUAUAGAGAUUUUCACAGCAUUCAUGGUGCAGAUUUUUUUUUUUUUGCAGAGAAUAUGACUGAAAUCUUUGCAGAAGAAGAAAGCAUAAACCUAAACUGUAGAAUUUGCAGCCAAUCUUUGGCUAAUUUGAAUCAUUCAUAACAACUACAAUUUUAUAAGCUAGUACUUUCCAAUGCUAUCAAUAGUAGGCUUCAUCAAGCAUGACUAAACAUGGAAGCAUCAGAAUGAAGAGUUCAAUUAGUCAGCAUAAUUAACUAGGGUUUAUCUUACUGCUUUCAAUUGGAAAUAAGACAGCUAUUCCCGAGGAUCUGGAACUACUCUAGUUGUUGGAUGUUUUUCUAGAGAACAAGACAAUUAUAUUUAUUUGCACGACCCCCUAAGCCAAAAACCCUAUCCUCAAAUAGACCAACUCCACAUUGAUCUGUCAAUUUCAGGAUAGACAGACGUGCUUGAGCUUCACAAUCACCAGUUUAAAUAAGGAAUUGAAAAGAAAGAAACUAGAGAUCAAGUUCAUCACCCAGCAAACAGAAUGGCCUAAAGUUGAUUCGUCAGAUUCUACAUCUUAAACACUAAAUUCCUGUACACUGCCCCCAUAUCUAUAAAUCUAACUAGACAGGUACUCAAUCAAAUAAACGAAACUGCAGGAUAUGAUGGUAUGCACAUAAGAUAACAGUAAGCAAAAUGAGGCUUUCUUCCGGUGAUGCUGCAACCCAUGACAAAGAAGAAACCCCAUAACACAUUACUUUGGCGUAUAAAAUUGGAAAUUUGAUGUCGCCUUGCAUAACAAACCUUCACCUUCUAUUAGGAAAUAUUGUCAGAAAAUUCUUUCCCUAGAUUAGAAUAUACUACUACUUCUUUCCACAUACAAGGAAUAAUUUGAUGCUUUCCAUGUUUCAGAAAAAAGUCAAUCUUUAUGCUUUCCCAUAAUCAUGUUCGUCUAAACCACCCUUAAACCCAAAUCUCCCCCGAAACUAUUCCAAACCCAUCGAUUAAUUCAUCAAACACAAGCAAGCAAACAUCCUAAAGCCACAAAAACCAGACAAAGAAAAACCCACCAGACCACAAACUUAUCAGUCAUCACAUGAUCAUGGCCACUCUCUCCCCCAAACCAACACCCCCCCCCUUCACCUUCUUCGUCCCUAGCUUCCGAAACCAUCCAAAUUUACAAAACAAAAAAAGGUACAGGAACCACAUAGCAACAGCUAAACAGCAGCUUCGACACGAAAAAAAAAAACAAUUUUAUAGUCGUAAACUCAAAAUUUUUACCAGAAGAAAUUACAGAAACACAAAAAAAAAAAGGAUAACCUGAUCAGAAGUUAGAAAUACGAGUUCAAAAAAGGAAAAAGAAUCCAAAAAAGGACAUACACAUGCUAGAUAUUUUAGAAACAUGCGAUUAAAGAAAGUGGUGAUGAUGAAUAAAGUUAAAGCAGCACACUUACAUACUUGGGGAAUACAGGGAGGCCCAGAAAGGAAAAAAGUAAUCUUUCUCUCUCACUUCUUUUUUUUUUCGGAAGAUAAUUAGGAAAGAUAAGCCAAGAAAAAGGUUAAGUUUUUAGCUUUGAAGAAAGAGAUGAUAAAUUGAAGUAUUAGUAAUAGGUCGUAACUUGGAACAGAGGUAUCACUAACAUAAAAUAGGGUAAGAGAAAGAUAAGUUUAAUUGAGUAGGAGAAUUAGAAACGUAUAGGUGGAGCUCACCUGGUUUCCUUGGGUAUGGGUUCUUGACACGUGUAUUCCUAGAAUAUACUUAAAGGUAAAAUGCUACCAACCUAAAACAUCUAUAUAUAUAUAUAUAUAUUAUAGUAAAGACUAAAGAAGGGCGAAUUUAAGAAGCGAGGAGGAGUCAGGGGAUCAAAAUUUCUACAUUUUAUGGUUUCAAUUUGAGUCAUUAGACUAAAAAAUUUAAAUACCUAGUAAGUCAUUAUUCUAAAAAUAUUUGGGUUUCUUUUUAUUAAUAUAAAUGUCAGUAUUGUCUUUUUUGCAUACUAAUAUUGUGGAAAAGAAUAAAAUUACAAUACAUGUUGGCUUUCUUUUACUUUUUCUUGUUAAUUCAAGAGUAGUUGUUCUUUUUGGGGCUAAAUAAUAUUCAUGGAAUAAACAUGUUGUGUUAUUGUGUUUUUUUUUUUAGAGUGUAAUCUAUCCAAAAUUACAAUUUUUUUUAAUUUUUGACAAGAUUAGGAUUGUAUUGUUCUAUUUACAUAGAGCAUAUUUUAUCUUUCAAAAUAGUAGUGAAGUUACCUAUGAUGUUUAGUGGAAUCACAACUUCUUGCAACUAAUUCCAUCUCGAAUUCCUUAUUCCUAAGAGUUUUUGCAACAAAACUUAAGAAAUUAAGUGAAAAAUUGCUUUUGAAAGAAGCGAAUUUGACCCCAAGAAAAAAGCAAAAAAAAAAAAGAAGAAGGGAAUUUGACCCAAAUAAGUGUCCCUCAAAAUAUAAGAAUCAGAAUUCAUUGCCAAGAAAAUUCUGCUUAUAGCGAUGCCCACUUACAAAGGAUCAACUACAAGGUCCCUGAGUCCAUGAUGUGAGAACCCUCAAAGUCCAACUCACUUUCUUUAACUUUUUGCCCUGUCUAUUCAAGGGUUGGUAAAUUAUCGUCAAACCGAAGGUAAUACAGAUUACUUGUAAUUGUAGCCCUUGUAAGAUUUACACUUUUAAGCUUUGCCUAGGCUACCAAUAAAUUUGACAAGAAAAAAAAAAGGAACAAGAAGAAGAAGAAACUUAGAUGGCACCCAAGUCAAUAGGCCGACUAAUGAUGUGGAAAUAAUGAAUGCUUUUGUCCCUUGACCUAUUAUCCAGCUUCCACUACUGUUUUCUCGACUGCCACCAGAAGUUUGAAGAAUUUCAUUACAAUUUCCAUCCUCCUACAAGCAUAGCGUCAAUACAGUUUCCUGUCACUAAUUCUUGGCGAAAAUCCGUUUUCUUUCAUUUUCAACCUUUUGGACAAAAUCCAAUCUGGAAGAGAUAAAGAAACUAUGAUACUUGACGUUUUCAGAUGGAACGUAUCCAUGAGAAUUAUGUUUGGAUAAAAUUCGCCUAGCAAGAAUCUAAGGAUAAGAUAAUGAUAACCAAUCUUGUAGACUUCAAUUUCCAAGGGAUCAUAUUUAUCGGAAAAAAAAUGAUAAAUGCAAAUAUGAUACAGAAGAACAGAUGAAGCAAAACCAAGAAAUAUAUACGAGAAUACAUUCAACAGAAAAGAUCAAAUCCAAACUUAAGAGAAACAAAGUGGUAUUAUAUUUCAAUGUCAACCAGCAGCUUGAAAAUCCCCAAAGUCAUCAUCUGGAAUGUCUUGUGUGUUUUGGUCUUCUGGAGGUUCUAAUUCUUUAGAUUGUUCUUGAGGUGAGACAGAGUCCUCUGCUGCUGAAGAUUCCUUUAGACUGAGUUUUGAAGGCAGCUCUGAUGGAGAUGUUUUAGGACUCACAACGGGCGAUAAUGGUGCUGGUGGUGGUUUGAUAGAUAUCACGGGCUCCUUUUUACUACCCUUCUCCUCCAAUGAGAGAUCAUUUAAGCCCUGUUCAAAAAACUUGGACCCAGAACUCCGACCACUUUUCUGUUGAUAAAAAGAGGGCUUAAACAAUAUUACAUGAUGGAGGGACAAAUUUACGUACCAAUUAACUCCUUCAAUGUUUGGAGAACUUACAUUUUUUAUCUGAAGUACAAGUUUUUCUCCUUCUUUUAAACUGUAAUCAACUGAUGAAGUAUGCUGAUGUUGCUGUUCCAUUUCUUCUGCAGUUUUCUUCUUGUUUAGGUACCUUUUAACAGAAAAAGCAGGCUAAAUUUGGUUAGCGUACGCAUGCAUGGGGAGGAUUAAACAAAGCUACUUUCAAGCCUUGUAAAAGUACAGAAAAUCAUGGUACUGUUCGCAAGAAUGCAGAGGAUUACUUCAUAUGGUCAUGCAGGGCAGCUUGGAAAUCAUAAGCUUCGGGUCUUUCUCGAAAUCCUAUGCCGAUGAAAGCAUGUCGAAGUCGACCUCCUGCAAAGAAUGAACAAUCCUUUGCAUGAUCUUUAUGGGCAGAUUUUCUUAAAAUUGAAAUUAUUUAAGGAAUCAUAUUAUAAGUCAAGUGCAUUUUGACCUCAUAGGCAAGCAGCCAAUGCCCUUAGAGAUUCGUGUGCUACUAUGCAAAGGAUCUAUUUAUGCUCCUACCAGUUAACAUGACCACCUUAUAUUAAUUCAGCAUCAUGUGCUUAUAAGAUCUGUACCAUUUUGAAGUAUAUUGGAGAAGAAAGUUCAUGCCUAAUAGCUAAAACCAAUUGCAGAUGUAAACACAAUUGAAUAUCGUACAGAACUAUUUGAACAAGAAAAGAAAAGAGAAAGAAAGGCUUCCUUGAUGUACAAUUAAAUUCUUAUCUACCACUUUAGUUUAUUCGAAAAUAUUAUCUACAUUCAUCAAGUCGAAUAUCUUGUAAUUCGUGAAAAAGAUUACGAGUUAGCAUGGAAAUGAUGUAGAACAAGAUAAGAAAAUCCUGGCCAUACAUUACCUUAACUUUAUCUACAAGGUACUAACUUAAAUUGAAGUUCAUUUAUUAUCAACUAAAUGAAAAUAUUUUGCAAAGUCAACCAUGACAUUUCCUAUGAAACCCAUUCGCUUUCUUAAAAAACCAUAUUCUGACUUCACAAUUCUUGAACUUAAACAAUUAUAUUUAAACUUGGGAUGCGAUUAAACUACUCUAUUCUUGUACUUAAUAAUGCUUCUUAUUUAAAUGAUUUAACAUCAAAACCGAAGAAGUGGACUAAAGAAAGCUCAACCUAGGGAGGAGAAGUCGUAUGACAAGAGAAUACAGGAGAACCAUUUAUUAUAUUCUAAUUCUCCAACAGAAGAAAAGUGAUACUCUACAGGUUUUGGAAUUUAAAAGAAUAAGAAAGAUAGAUUACCAAUGUUUUCUUCGACCCGCAGAACAAAAUAUCUGCAGAAGAAUGUGAGAUAUAACAAGCAAGUUAGUACAGAAUGAUUUCUGAAUUAUCCAAGUAAGUGAGAUUAAUGAAUCCCAAGUCCAAGUUCAAAAAAUCAAUCAGUAUGAUCUCAUUAUCCAAUAUUUUACUGCAUUUCACUACUUAACAGGGCAAACAUUAAAAAAAAGAAAAAAAAAACUGGUAAAAGCAUAACUGAUGGCAUCCAGUGGACAAUCACAAAAAGCAGAUCUUUUGCAUACACCCCCAAAAUGGUGCUACAAGGUGCCUGCUACUAACUUAGAGCAAUAAUAAAUUUGUUGUAAGAGGGAGUUGAAAGAGAUGAUGUUGGUGACAAGUUAUCUAAACCUGCUGCUGUCAAUCACAGGCUCCACAGGAUGGGGCUCUCCAUCUCUUAGAAAUGCCCGAGCAUACAAUUCACCUAUUUGGAAAACAACAAUUUUCAGCAAAUCAUUACUGAUGGACAAAACUGAUUUCAUUUGCACAAACUUUUUCUAUUUGGUAGCAACUAAACAACAAAAAGCUACCUGUUGUCUUAUCUUCAAGUCUGAUAAUGCAUUCCUCUCCUUUGCUAAUAACUUUUAAAGCACCCUCCCAUGCCCAUUUAUUGACAUUCCACUCAUCAGCCCUACGAAGAGCAACAAGUCAAUUAGCAAAAUAGAAUCCAGGAAGCAUAUUUAUCUAUUUUCUGACUUUGACAUGACUCAGGUCGACAUCAAAAACUUUCAUGUUAAGUAUAAAACUCUGCAUGAAAUGCAAAAUGGGUCCUAAAGGAUCUAACUCUCCAGCACCGGAUUAGACCUAGCAACCCAGUAAUCUGGCAAGAUAUGACCAGAAUAACUCAUAUUUGAGUCUAUCCUUCAAAUGGCAAAAAUAUUGGUCCAUACCCCUACAAGCACCUUAGUAAUCAAUCAUAAAAUUUUUGGAAUAAGUUUGUCCAUCCAAACCUUUUUGAAAUCUCCAAUGAUGGACUACAUUUUUACUUUCUUGGCGGAAUAUUAAUCAAGCCAAUGCAUGAAAAUUUUCACUAUUUGCUUCAGCUUUCUAUAACAGUAAUACAACAUGUAUCCCUUCCAGGGGAAAGACAAACGCAAUCACAGUCAAGAUAAAUGCAAAAAGCUGAAGAAAAUUUUAUGGACAUAUUACUAGGACUCAAACCUAGGUUAAAAUAUCAAACCGAAGUUACAGCUCUCUCUCUCUCUCUCGGUGUUGCAGAAGAAGAUACCAUAGAGAAACAAUAAGACCUAUUCCUAUAAACAAAAGUCAUAUUCAAAAGAGAUCACUCUGAAAUACCUGUAAGAAGCCGCACUUUUUCUUGGAGGGAUCUGUGGAGAGAAUAAACAAGAUUAAGUUUAAACUGAUGGUGGAGUUAAUUACACUCAAAUUUAUAGAGGAUAGAACAAUGAUGCAACAUGGCAGGAGCAUCCUCUAUGCAUCUCAUUUUUGUCUUGCUAUUAGAUAUCUGGACUACGAUACGAUCAUGAUCUACCAAAUCUUCACACUACAAGGAUCAUCACCUACUUAACAGUGACAAAGAAGAUUUGAUCAUAGAUGCACGAUGACUGAGAGAACCUUUUGUUCAAUAAACACUUCCUGAACUAUAUCCUCCAACAAAGAUACCUCUAUGCAAUCCAAUUUCCACACUGAGGAGGUGCUUUACUUGUAUCAAAACAACAAAUGGCUGGACCAAACGUCUAAGACAGCAAAGAAUUUUUUGAGAACAAUUAUGAACUGCUUCUACAGGAUUACCAUACAGUUCUAAAUUAAGAAUUAUGUUCAAAUCACUAAAUAACAGGAAAAACCAAAAACACUCCUCAUGGACCAACAAAUAGGAAAUUGUACUUUGCCCUAACAACCGCUGCAGAAGUCUUAGCAUAUUUUUCUAUCUGUUCAUCACAAAUGGCAUUCAUCAGAAUAUACCUUUGCAAAGAAACAAAUGAAAAACGGCCAGUUUUCCCUUACUAUAUCACAUCCUCACGAGUAUAUGUAAGUUAUACAUUUAACUUCUGGAAAUGAAUACAUCAAUCUUUUGCUCAUCAAGCAUUUAGUUUCGCAACUUUGCAAACCACAGUACAGCAGCACCUAAAAAAACUGGGCAUUAUUGAACUAGAUUGAUUAACAUCUAACACAGAUAAAUACAUUACAUAGCAAUUCACAAAAAUAGUCACCGAUAGACAAAGCAUUAAUCUCAAAAAAUUCACCAUUCAACGACACAAUCUAAAUAAAUGGCGCCUGCAUUGAAGUAAUUUCAACAAUUCAAAUCUAAAAAGCCAAAACUAAACCUCAGUUGAAGAAAAACAUUUUUUUUACACAAAAAAUGACUAAACCCACAAUUUUUGUAAGCUAAACCCCAAUUCGUUACCUGUAAUCGAACCAACACAAGUUCAUAACUUUAUACUACAAACAGCAAAAAGUCACUAAUUAUCCAAAACCCUUUUCAGUAAGUAACCCAAAAAUGGAAACUUUAUACUGUUUUCAGCAAAAAUUAAGGAAAAAAGGGACUGGCAAAUAGAGAGAGGGAGUACCAAAUAGACGUAGCAUUCUGAGACUUGGAAGAGAAUCAGCUCAAUAGCUUCUUCAAUUUCUUCUUUUUCAUCUGUUUUCUUUUCUUUCUCCAUUGAUGUGAUUGCUAUUCGAAAAGGAAUUUCUCACGGGAAUGAAAAAUUAAUGCAAGCAAAAAGCGCGUUCUUUUCUUUCCCCCCUGUAAUUUAACCGCGCUGAAGUUCUUGACUGUUUCGCUUCCAAUCUGGAAUUGGCAAAAUGUGUCUGGGGAAAAAGAAUUUUAGAAUAGGGGUAGGCUGGGAAUUUGGAAAACAAGAGGGUGGGUGACUAAUAUUAAAAAUUUUAUUAGAAAUAGGAUGCCGGAGUUGAUGGGACUAUCUAAUUCUGAUCGAGUAGUUUACUUCGAUUUGAUUAUGAUUAUUGUGGACCGCAGGUUUGAAGCAUUCUGUAGGCUUUCAGCCGUCGGAUUCUUUGACUGUGGAAGUCAACCAGUUGUUGCUCAUGAGUUGAUAUGGUGGUUUGCUUGAUUUCUAAGCAAGGGAGAUCCAGUAAAGUCCUUAUGAUUAUCUGAAUUUAGGUGAGAUUAGAUACAGGGAAAGAAAAAAGAAAAGAAAAGAAAUCAGAUUUAUGUAUGAAUAAUUUGGAUAGGAAUUAAAAUAGAUAAUGAAUUUUUUUUUUUUACUAAAAUAAAGAGUUGAAAAUUUCCUAUCAUACAUGCACGGUCAUCAAAAUAGAAAGAAGUUUGAGGGUGUGUAUAUGAAGAAAAUUGAGGUCGAAACCUGGAAGUCUCAUCCACUCUUUUGACUUACAAGAAAGUCAAGGUAUUAUUCCAAAGUUGGUAGAGAAUAUCCGGAUAUUUCCCAUCUCUUCUGCAACAACAUAUAGCCAUUUGUUCACCUAGCAAAACAACUUACUAGUACUAUAUGUUGUUAUUUGUAUUAAAGGAAAAAAAGGGAUGUCUCUUCAAUUGGUACUUCAAAGGUUAUGAAUUAGUAGAUCAAGAUGAAAAUUAUCGAACACAAAAAUGGUAUUAGAGGUUCCUGCCAUCAACAUAUGUGGUGUAUAGUUUGGACUUUGGCAUAUAGUUUCAGCUAGAUUUUGCUUAGCAGUCUUUUUGCUUGUAAUGACUGUCGGCAGUAUGAUCAGUUGAGAAUUUGCUGCUUCUUCAGAGCCGGAGAAGUUCAAGAAAACAUUAGCAGCUAAGUAUAAUCGGUUGAUGAGUAAAAAUGUACAAAAAUCACCUUAGUGGUUCCUGCUAUCAACUUGCCAUGAAGAGCAGAAGGGUGUUCACAGACCAGAGGCUGCAUUGGAGCAACGGUUGCUCCAUGCCAACUCUUUUCACCACAACUCAACCAAGACAGUGAUUUUGGUGACCUUUCGUGCUUGUUUGUAACAAGAAAUGGAUCCAUUUCCUUCUGACAAGAUUUCAAAAGUUCAAAUUCCUAUAUAGCCUAUGGAUUUACAGAUAAAUUUCCUUAGGAGCACAGCCGAGAUGCUGACUUAGUAUGCUGCCAAAAAAUGAUUCCUCAGCGCGAACAUUUAGUACAUGAACUCUGUAGAUACGAACUCCAAUUGGUAACGCUAGUGAUGAGACGGUUUGAGGGUGAUGCUAGUAAGGCACAGUUGCAGUCACUGUCCUGUGCCUUGGAUCCGUGAGAACCGUAUUUACAUUGAUAAAGCCUGCUUCUCUCAUUACUCUUUCAAGAUCUGUCAAAUAAUACUCAUCCAGGAAUGGUUCAGUACUCUUCAUUAGCGUAAAUAGCACCGGUGAUAAUUCCUGAGACAUGUAUCAGGACAAUCUAGUUCAGCAGCUUGGCUAGGAAAACCACAUUAUACCAGUCAUCUUGAGAAUUUUUGCAGAGCAGGAGAUGGUAGGGAACAGAAACACCUAUGAACUAACGCUUUCAUGGUCAAAGUUAUAUGAAUCUAAGAUGUUGCUCUGUAUUAUAUAUCUGUAUUGCAUAUAUUACAAUGUUGUCUCCUAUUUCAACAUGUGCAGAAAUUUUGAACAUGUAGUGCUAUUAGUUUGCUCAAUCGCACAAACUGUAGGCAGAGAAAAGGAAUAGGAGAAGAGAACUUGCCUGAAGAAUCUUUGAUUUUGGCUGCAAAAAGGAAACAAGUGUUUAUCAGAUUGAAAUGAUCCUUUGGUAAAUAUACAAUUCAAAACCUCAGGAGUUAUAUUAUUUACCGAGUUGUCUGUGAUUGCAAAAGUUCCUCCAGGUCGAAGCAGUCGAAGGGCUUCUCUCACCAUAUUUUUUAUCGCUCUUUCAGGGCAUUCAUGGAACUGUAACAGCUCAAAUGAUUGAGACUCUGAAUCAUAGCAUUAUUAUUUCAAAGAGUUACCGGAAAAAAGAGCAUGGCACGCACUUAAAAUUCUAAAGGUGCAACCAUGGGCAAGAGUACUACAGCAGCUGCCUAGGCAAAACUUGUGAAGGCUUAUACACCAAAGAAUGUUUCUGUCAAUUUUCAUGCAACAUGCUUCUUGCGUGAAAAUUGAGCAAGCGAAGAUGCUACUCUUCAUUUGGUAAUUUAUCCAUGACAUUGUAAGGUUGCGUGGAUUACAGCUCAAACUUCUAAGAGUAGCAAGAGCCACAACAUGUUAUAAGAGAGUUUUCUCCUAAAAUGUUCAGUUUUAGGAAGAACAACAUGACUCUCUGAUGAUGAUUUAGUAC